rnacentral:lncRNA from 1 species
UUUUUUUUUUUUUUUUGUAACUAGAGUCUUAUGUUGCUUUAAGGGGAGAAAACGCUUGCCUCAUGUUUCAUUUCAAGAACAGUGAUAGGUGUUUUAAGAAAAAUAUUAAGGAGACUAACAUUGUAAAUAAUGGUAGAUUGAAGUUUAAUUACAAUAGAUAGAGAGAAAUCAAAUAAACUCUUACCGCAAGUAACUCUGGUGACUGUAGAGCCCUAGAUAAGAACUCUGAAAUACUUCCCAAUUUUAAACUUUUGAUUUGCAGACAAAGGGACUGCAGAGGUGUCCUCAAGAUUUCCGGCAAUUGAUAUUCUGCAAACGCAUCAUACACACAUCUAGGAUAGAGACGAUAACAUUCCCCAGGUUGAACGCGCCCAGCUCUUCCUCUUCUCUACAAUCCAUAACCACAUAGGAAUUCAGCUUCCUUAAAAUAAAUAACAUCUCAGCCUUCCAUAAAUGUAAUAAUACAAGUAGAGCGCAUUAAUAAAAAUUUGAUUAAUAAAAGCUCCCACAGUACCAUUUAAAAAGAUUGUAAAAAUACAUUUGUCAGAUGCUGAUCUGUCUUUAAUCAUAGAGUGCAGAGGUCUAGAUACUAUGUGCCCAGCAACCCAGGUACUUUUGAGCCCGGAAGAGAUGCUCAUGUAACUCAUGACGACCUUUUAUAGGAAACAUCAAUGAAUUUUUUUAAAAGAAAAAUUAUCAGGGAAACGACCAGCAGACAAACUGAUCACCCAACAAGGUAAAGCCAACCAAGUCAGAAGGAACACCUUGAUAAUAAGUUAAUGACAUAUACUUUCAACCCAAGUCUUAUCCCAGAAAAUUAUGGUACGCUAGGGUUUCUACUACUCAUUCUACAGCACAGAGGCACAAUGUAGGUCAAAAAUGUUUCAAGUUCAACCAUUAUGGCUUGGAUACUGCAAGGUCAUAUUAGUUUCAUCUAAGGGCCAAAACCUUCAGCUAAAACACAGAUUACACCCUUACCUGUUGAGCAGAAACCUUCGAUAUCCAGGAAGGAAGCAAACAAGGAGUAUUAUUCAGUGCAUCAUAUGAAGUCUCUUUUGCUUUUCCACAAUCAACAACAAAAACAACAUCAUUAAUUGUGAUACUCGUCUCAGCAAUAUUAGUAGCCAGCACUAUUUUUCUGACUCCAUCUUCAGGCUCAUCAAAUAUUAACCUCUGCAUGCAGUUCAAAACAAAAUAAAUAGGAAAUAGACCAAUAUGAGUUAGCUAGAAAACUCAGCAGUAAUUCCUUCUUUCACCAACAAUUAACAAAAAUCUGUGCCAGAACUCGCAGGACAGAACACUCAACUAACUAAUUGACCAGUAACCAACAUAGAAGCAGAGCAGAGUACCAAACACUAAUGCAGACAAAUGCUGGCCAUUGCACAACUAUUGGGGCAUCAAAAGUUUACCUGCUCAGAACUGGCCAUGGAACCAUGGCAUGCUAGCAACAAGACUCGGCUUGGAUCACCUAAGAGAGGAUUUGCAUGCAACUUUUCCUUCAGAGAAUUUAUGUCAUCCCACCCAGUCAUAAAGACUAGAAUGGCACCAGGCCUUUCAUUCUCACAGAUAUUGCAUAAGAGAUACUCUAUGAGAUUAAAACCGAUACAAUCAGGAUUCCAACAGGCUAGAGAUUCCCGAGUCUGGGGACUGUAACCUUUAAAGUUAGCUGCCUUGAGUGCAUCCUGCAUAUAUUCCAGUAAGGAAAAAUUGAUAAGAUGCUGACAAUUUCAUAGAAUAUAAUGGUUUAUGUGAUCACUUGUAUACCUCAACAACAGAAGCAAUUUGACUUUUCCUCUUUCUUGGUGCCUGUUUACUCAUUUUCCACAUCUUUUCUUGGCCAUAAUCAUCAAUCUGAUUGUAUGGAGUUAGCCUGCAACCCGUACUUUCCAGAACAUCUUCCAGAAAAUGAGUUCGAACAGGGUAUGUAAAACCCUAAUUUGGAGGAGAAAAAAGAAAGAGAAACACACUUAGAAAGCAGCAAAAAUGAAAGACCCUAAGUGACAUUAUUACAGUAAAUAAAAGUAGUGUUUCAUACAUCUAAAUCAUCUGCAACUCAUAAAUGGCUGGAGAAAAUGUUAUUCACAGGAAAUUUUGAACUUACUGGAACAUGAAUUAUCUGAGCCCUGCCAAAGUAGGAUGAGAAAAGCUCAGCAUCUAGGGUUGCACUCAUCAGAAUCAACCUCAGUUCUGGCCGGCGAGGAAGGAGAUCCUUGAGAACAAUAAGCAGAAAAUCUGGCAUCAAAUGAUUAUAGUGAGAAGUCACACUUCAUAAUCCAGAAUUAAAGCCUCAGUCUAGACCUAGCCAUUUAAUUACCUUCAUUCAUUCCGCGUUCAUGAAUCUCAUCCACAAUGACAUGAGUUACACCUUUCAAACUUCCAUCGACUAGCAAUCUUCUCAACAAAAUGCCAGUGGUACAGAAGAGAAGCCGUGUGUCUUUCCCUUUCAUACCCUCUAACCGAACCUUAUAUCCAACCUAAGAAGGAAAGAAAAGUGAAGGAAUUGCAAAAAGCAAAGUAAAACAUGACACCCGUAGUUUUUUUUAUCACAAAGUUAAGGAAAACUCACUGAAUCACCGAGCUUCUCCCCUCUCUCAGAAGCAACUCUUUCAGAAACAGACAUAGCAGAUAUUCGCCUAGGCUGUGUACAUAUGAUACUACAAACAGCUCCACGGGAAGCUUCUAUCUCAGAUUCUAAAAUGAAUUGUGGAAUUUGGGUGGUCUUUCCGCAGCCUGUUUCCCCUGAUAUGAUAACAACCUACACAUACAAACUUAUAUGCAUCAUUGCACGAUUCUGUCAUGCCAGUCAACACUAGGUGUCAAAGCUAAUAAGCAAUUAUUCUCUAGUCACAGGCCACAAUUGCAUAAUCAUAUAUUCAUAUUACAACAAUUGAAUGCUUCAGUUAUCCACAACAAGGACUACCAGUCAUGAAAUGUAGACAUGGAUUUCAACAAAUACCAACUAGAAAUUGUAAAAGUAGAACCAAAGUCGGAAUCGCACUUCUACCUAACCAGGAAUUGAAUUUUCUGAUUUAGUGAAGAAAAGAAAAAAAAAAACAAAAACAAAAACAAAACAAACAAGCAACAACUUGAAACAUCAAAGUAAUGUAAACCUGAUUUCGUGAAAUUGCUGUCAACAAAGCAUCCUUCUCUUUAUAAGCUGGGAGACUUCUACGAAGUUCCAUAACUUUUCUGCCUUCACGAGAUUCCUGCAGAACCGAUAAAAUUACACAUGGAGAAUAAAAACAUAUAUCAUCUUAACUGAAUGACAAUCCUGCUGGGAACAAACGUCUAAUGACUGGCACUGGCUAAUUUAAUGGGACAUAAACCAGACUUAAUUCACUAUUUUGAUCAUCCAACCUUAUAUGCCACAGAAAGUUUAAUUUAAAUAAACACAGAACUAAUACUAUAUAAUCUAAAUUAAAAUAGUUUAAGUUAACUGUUUUAUGAUAAUAACAGAAACAAAAACGAGGUAUUGUGACAACAUAACAAGGUAGGACAUACCUGCCAAGCUUGUUCCUUUUCCCGCAGCUGCAAGCUUCUCCUCCAAAGAACUUUUUCCAUCACAGCAUUAUUAGAUACCACUGGUUCAGGUUGCUCAAAGAGCCCUUCAUCAGUACCAAUACUGCCACUACUGCUUGAUCUAGAAAAGGAAACAUCUGGAAAGGUUUCCUUAGUUCUAGACUUCUGAGAAAGGAAGUCUCCAAGGUAGGCCUCAACUCUCCUCAGCAACCCAAGAGGCAAGCUCACCUUUGAAUUUAAAAAUAAAAUUAAAAUAAAAAAUAAAAAAUAAAAGUUAGUUUAGAUACAUAAGAACUACUACUUUUAUAACACACUAAGGGCACUUAAAAAUAUCAUGAUGUGCUGGGGGAGCCAUCCUAUGCUCCUAGCUAAUCGGCUUUUUUAAACGUAAACUAAUUUUUUGGUAUUUACUAAAAAUGAAACAUCACGUGAAAAAGUGGAGCUCAUGGAGGCAGGAAACUGAGGGAUAUCAACAAAAGGUUAAUCAUUAAAUAUAAGAGUCAAAAUUUAAGGUUAAAGGUUAUUACCUCUCUUUGAGGUCGCCGGUCAUCGAGAUCAAAUCUGUAGUUUGGCAGGGGUACCUUACUGAAUACAGCAACCUUUGCAUACAGAUGGCUGUCAAAAUAGAAGAAAACUUAAUCAGACUUUCUUGAAGUUACUGAAACACUUAGAUGUUGAAAAAAAACCAACCUGUAAAGUCCCAUUCUGCUUGCCAAAGCGGCUAUGUCAUCAAAAUCACGUCUAUCUUUUUUCUCCCUUGAAACCAACUCUUGCUUCUUGUCGUCACGUAACAGCAUGGUUAACUUCCGUUUCCACUCAUCAAUGUUAUCAGAGACUGAAGCAACCUGUAUCAAAAAUAUUAGAAUAAAUAAAAAAUCCUACCGACUAAAAUAUUAGAAGCAUGCAAUGCAAGGCAAGGCAGCAAAGAUGAUAUCUAAGCCUUAUUCAUCGCUACAUUCAUGCCUCUUUGCAUCAUGCUUCUACCCUAACCCUCAGCAGAACCUCUCCUCUGCUUUUCAACAGGCCUAAUCUCAAGGUUAUUGUCCUAAUGUAUAAAGCACACUUAGAUUAACAGCGCCGCAUAAAAGAAUCAUCAAAAGCAUGAUCAACAAGACCUCGAUUCCGCCAUUUCGAGCAAAGCAUUUACAAUCACAGUAACUAAAUGGAUUAAAACUCGAUCACACUUGGUAAAACUGAACCGACUCAAUUAACAACCUGCUAACACUUCAAACCUCACAAGCAGAGCUGAAAUCAAAACCUCAUCACUACAUUCACACUCAGUAACACACAGUAAAAGCUCGCAAUUAACAACUAAACACACAGAGUAUAAUCUAACCGGAUUCGACGACAUGUUAUAAUCGCGAUCGGAGACAUCAUCGGAGACGCCGCCGGCGCCGUCAGAAUCGCGCUGCAACUCCGGCUUGCGGAGCUGUUCCUGCGGCAGCGUCUGGUAGUAGGCCCGAGUGCCAUUGGAGCGAGCCUUGCUGAGGGAAGCGGGGGCAGUAGUCUUCUUCAUGGAGGCAAUUGAGGCGGCGGAGGUGUAAUUAGGGGAGGUGAUGACGGAGCGGAGGCGGUGGUGGGGAGGGACGUAAACGGCGCCGUAGGGAGAAGGAGGAGGCCGGUCCUUCAUGGCGAGCGGGAGAGACGACGGCGGUGACGGUGAGGGUCUCAGGGCAGAGGCGGAGGGGCAAAAAGGGAAUUGUGAAUGUGGAGAAGGAGAUGAGAGGUGAGGAGGAAGAAGAAUCGGAGACUGUGGAGAGAGCAUGCAAUGUGAGAAGAAAGAAGAGUUUUCAGUUUCGUUAUGCUUUGGGAAGUGCGCACGAGCUGGGCUAAGAUACAGUACAGAUUCUCUGGGCCUCUGGUGUACUUUCAACAGUUCAACUUAUGGUUAGAGCCUUCUUUUUCUAUUUUCUUUUUUCUUUUUCUUUUUCUUUUUUAUUGAGUUCAGUUUCUGAUUCCGUAAUCUUGGAACCUGCCAGAUUGUAAUAAUUUUUUUACCCCCGCCAAGAUAACCACCAACUGAUCAACCAAAAGUCAAAAGUCAAAAGUCAACUGAUAAACCUGUAACAACAAAAAAAGUCAACUGAUCAACCAAAAUCAGUAUUGCAUAAUAAGUCGCGUUUUGAAGGCGACACAGGUAUGAAACCGUUAUCAUUUUUUUUUAUGCUAAAAGACUUAAAAAGAAAAGCCUUUAAAACAACCAACUCUGAAGAAGUCGAAAUUUAAAGCAAUGUGAAACCGUUAUCACAGUAGAAUUGUAUAUUAGAAAUUUGAGUCUCUAGUAUGAGGUUCUCAGCUAAGUAGGCUUUCGAGUAAUUAUCAGAUGAUUUCAGACGUACCAGGUGACAGUGACACUAACGGCUUAUAAUAUAACUCGAAUCUGAUUAACCUGGCAAGUGCUUACCCUGGCAUGAUUAUUGAUUAAUUCAGUGUUACUGAGCUUCAGGAGGCAAAAAAAUUCAUAGUUAUGAAAUAAGAAAACAACUCUCCCAGAUUGGUUUUAUGCCUUCCUUCUUUUUUUCUUUUUUUUUUUCUCAGAGUUUAACUCGACAGAAAGCAAGAAUUAAUCCACGAAUCACAUGGUAACUUAAUAAACAUAAACACUUUCACUACUCCCAUCGUUAUAAGUUACAGUUUGAAAAACAUAUUCUUUCUCAACGGUCUUAUUCAAAUCCUCAAGUCUUCUGUGGUGAGGGAAAAGAAACAAAAAAAGCUUUUUGUAGUAGCAAGUCUCCUCAGCAUACAUUAUCUAACACCAAAAAGUUGCGGAAAGUUACACCUUCUUCAAGUGCCUGAAGGCAUGAAUUGCCUCAGAAUCUGGUUUAGUAUGUAUAGCCCUUGACGAACAUUCCUUUCUUGGCUUCUUCUGCCUCACCAUCAGCGGAGUACCUUCCUAGCUGAGCCAAGGAGUUUGCCUUUGCUCGUAUCAAAAGUGCCUGUUGUGCAGCUUCUACAUUUUCAGGACGUCCUUGCCAUGCCUUAAGCACAGAGUUCUGCAGGGCACGAGCAUACGAGAAGGAAACAUGCCAUGGGUUGGGGCUCUGGUUCAUUGCGUUGAGGUUGAGGGUUGCUUCUACUUCAGAUUGUCCUCCUGACAAGAACUGUGAAGAAGACGGAACAAAUAUCAAUCAAUCAGUAUUCAAAUUUUGUCAGAAACGAACAAAUAGUGAAUCAAAUUCACACAUACAAGAGUAAUGACCCAACUACAUGAACCAGCGAUAAGACUAACUUCCCCCAAUGCAAUUUGAGGCUUAAAUUUCUAAGUUUCAAUUUUAGCUCAGACACAAAACCAGUAAAUUAUAUCAUGUUCCUCAAAAAAAAAAAAGUAAAUUAUAUCAUGGAAACCAACUCAAAAACAUGAGUGGUUGGCCUGACCCGUCCCAUACAAACAGUAUAUUGGGUUGCUUACUGAGUGGUCCAGAUAUCAGGCUAAGCAAAUCCUUUAUCGGUUAAAGGAUUAGACAAAAUUAUCAGGGUAUUUCAGUCUCUAGUACUCUCUAGUAAAAGAAAGAAGGAAAAAGUGGCAGUUUUUUGAAUUAUUUCAAAAGGGAUCAGGUAAUCUUACCAUGAUUCCAGGAACUGCAGGAGGGACUCUCCUCUUAAGCACUGUCAAUGUAGCUUUAGCAAUGGCCUCUGGAGAAGCCUUUUCCUUGUGUUCAGCUCCUGGGGUAACCAUGCUUGGCUUAAGAAGGAUUCCUUCAAACACCACAUUGUUUUCAGCCAAGAAGUAGAAUACUUCUGCCCAGACCUUCUCUGCCACUUCAAGGGUCCUUUCUAUUGGGUGGUCUCCAUCAAGAAGAAUUUCAGGCUCCACGAUGGGCACAAGACCAUUGUCCUGCAAAUAAUGUCAUCGCAACCGAUCAAAACAUUAAUCAUAGUACCAUCUAAUAAACAAAAAGGUAUAGUCUUAUUAGGCCAUCUUUUUAUAUCUCAAGCCACUACCAACUAAUAUAGCUCCGUAUAAGUGAUCAUACCUGAGAGAUGGCAGCAUAUCGUACAAGUCCCCAUGCAGCUUCCUUAACUGCAAGAGCAGAGGGACCACAUGGAACACUAACAACUGUUCGCCUGCAUAAUAAUAAGAGCACACCUCAGUCAAGUGCUUUAUGUCCAGCAGAGUGGAUAAACUAACCAAAUCAUGUUGAUAUGCAAAAUUAAUACUCACCAUUUAGCAAAACGAGCACCUUGCUUGUAAUAUUCAGCAGAUCUUGAAGCCAAUCCAUCUAAUCCUUGGCACCAGGAUUCAUUGUUUGAUCCUGGUAGGGGAACCAAACCCUGAAACCAAAAACAAGAUACAUGAACAACCACACAGGGAUCUCACUCAAAGCACUAAAAUAAAUUUCUCAAGCAAUAUAACGCAUGCAUUCUAGUAUCAUCUACACCUUACCUUAUCAACUUUGAUUCCAGGCAUAAUGUUCUGCUCGCGUAAGACAUCCACAAACUUCUUCCCAUCAGUUGUCGACUGGUAAAGUGUUUCCUCAAACAGAAUUGAACCAGAGAUGUAUUCACCAAGUCCAGGAGUGGUCAACAAAAGUUGCCUGUACGCCUGACGGUUAGCCUCGGUAUUGUCCAAGCCGAUAGAUGCCAACCUCUUUCCAGCUGUUGCGUUGGAUUCAUCAAUAGCAAGGAUUCCACGUCCAGGAGAUGCAAUAGUUUUCUAUACAAUUCAACAAGAAACAAAAACAAGCUCAUAUUCCAUAAGCUAUUUUCCGUCCACCUUUAAUACUUCUUACAGUUAUAUAAGCACAAUUAUUCAUUCUCCAAAAAACAAAAUAUAUAUAUAUAAGCACAAUUAUCACCAAUCGAGUCGAGAGCCUAGCUCCCAGUCUUUUCUGUAAUUUUCAUCACAGUAGUAUCUCUAUAUAUUCUAUAUUAACAGUAAACAAAUACGGCUUAAUUCAUCUUAUAAACAGCUUAAUUCAACCUAGCAGUAAAAUCUCAGAUUCAAGAACUAAAACGAUGCAUGCAUCACAACAGUUACAACCAAAUCGAACCACGAUAAGCUAAUAGAUUAUAUGAGAGUCAUCGGUCAAACCAAAGAUUCCAAUUCCGGUCAGAGAUGAAAUCAAAUAACGAUCAAUCAGCGAAUCAAGUCGGAGAUGACUUACGGCUGUCUGGACGAGCUCGUCGGUGUAGGCCUUGGCUUGGAUCGGGAAGGAGACGCGGCGAGGAGCGGAGACGAGGCGCGUGGACGACGACGAUCCGUUGCGCUGGGUGAAGGACUGCUGACCGAUCCACUGAGACGACGUCGCACUGAGUUUACAGGCCAUGGCUCCUCGAUCAACGGCGACGAUUGCUCGGAGCUUACAGAGAGAGAGAGGUCGACUGAUUUGGGGUGCUUCGAGGUUUGGUGAUGGCGGGGUUGGUGAGAGUGAUAUAAGCAGUGAUCUAUUUCUCGGAGAGUCCGCAGCUGGCUUUUCCCAAGUGUUAAUAGGCGACACUACCAAAUUGUCCGUAUUGUAUCAUUUUGUGAUUUACCGAAGUAUCCUGGCUUGAAUGACUAUUAUGUCCUUGGCAUUGUUUUGGUUUUUGGACUCACGACAAAAGGAGAUGUGGAAAUGUAGAGAGUUGGUAUUGUCGUCGUGGGUGAGAGGAAUGGGUAGAAUCGUCCAUAGGCGGAAUCUUGAGUUGGUACCCCUUGAGAGGUUGUAGACGCCAAAGAAGAUGAUUUUGGGGUCCAGGUACUAUUACUUUCGCGGUUUCACCAAACAAUUGACAACAGUCCCGUUCACACGGUCACUAGCUGACCAUGAAACAUUUGCUCAACUAUCAUUAGAUUNNNNNNNNNNNNNNNNNNNNNNNNNNNNNNNNNNNNNNNNNNNNNNNNNNNNNNNNNNNNNNNNNNNNNNNNNNNNNNNNNNNNNNNNNNNNNNNNNNNNNNNNNNNNNNNNNNNNNNNNNNNNNNNNNNNNNNNNNNNNNNNNNNNNNNNNNNNNNNNNNNNNNNNNNNNNNNNNNNNNNNNNNNNNNNNNNNNNNNNNNNNNNNNNNNNNNNNNNNNNNNNNNNNNNNNNNNNNNNNNNNNNNNNNNNNNNNNNNNNNNNNNNNNNNNNNNNNNNNNNNNNNNNNNNNNNNNNNNNNNNNNNNNNNNNNNNNNNNNNNNNNNNNNNNNNNNNNNNNNNNNNNNNNNNNNNNNNNNNNNNNNNNNNNNNNNNNNNNNNNNNNNNNNNNNNNNNNNNNNNNNNNNNNNNNNNNNNNNNNNNNNNNNNNNNNNNNNNNNNNNNNNNNNNNNNNNNNNNNNNNNNNNNNNNNNNNNNNNNNNNNNNNNNNNNNNNNNNNNNNNNNNNNNNNNNNNNNNNNNNNNNNNNNNNNNNNNNNNNNNNNNNNNNNNNNNNNNNNNNNNNNNNNNNNNNNNNNNNNNNNNNNNNNNNNNNNNNNNNNNNNNNNNNNNNNNNNNNNNNNNNNNNNNNNNNNNNNNNNNNNNNNNNNNNNNNNNNNNNNNNNNNNNNNNNNNNNNNNNNNNNNNNNNNNNNNNNNNNNNNNNNNNNNNNNNNNNNNNNNNNNNNNNNNNNNNNNNNNNNNNNNNNNNNNNNNNNNNNNNNNNNNNNNNNNNNNNNNNNNNNNNNNNNNNNNNNNNNNNNNNNNNNNNNNNNNNNNNNNNNNNNNNNNNNNNNNNNNNNNNNNNNNNNNNNNNNNNNNNNNNNNNNNNNNNNNNNNNNNNNNNNNNNNNNNNNNNNNNNNNNNNNNNNNNNNNNNNNNNNNNNNNNNNNNNNNNNNNNNNNNNNNNNNNNNNNNNNNNNNNNNNNNNNNNNNNNNNNNNNNNNNNNNNNNNNNNNNNNNNNNNNNNNNNNNNNNNNNNNNNNNNNNNNNNNNNNNNNNNNNNNNNNNNNNNNNNNNNNNNNNNNNNNNNNNNNNNNNNNNNNNNNNNNNNNNNNNNNNNNNNNNNNNNNNNNNNNNNNNNNNNNNNNNNNNNNNNNNNNNNNNNNNNNNNNNNNNNNNNNNNNNNNNNNNNNNNNNNNNNNNNNNNNNNNNNNNNNNNNNNNNNNNNNNNNNNNNNNNNNNNNNNNNNNNNNNNNNNNNNNNNNNNNNNNNNNNNNNNNNNNNNNNNNNNNNNNNNNNNNNNNNNNNNNNNNNNNNNNNNNNNNNNNNNNNNNNNNNNNNNNNNNNNNNNNNNNNNNNNNNNNNNNNNNNNNNNNNNNNNNNNNNNNNNNNNNNNNNNNNNNNNNNNNNNNNNNNNNNNNNNNNNNNNNNNNNNNNNNNNNNNNNNNNNNNNNNNNNNNNNNNNNNNNNNNNNNNNNNNNNNNNNNNNNNNNNNNNNNNNNNNNNNNNNNNNNNNNNNNNNNNNNNNNNNNNNNNNNNNNNNNNNNNNNNNNNNNNNNNNNNNNNNNNNNNNNNNNNNNNNNNNNNNNNNNNNNNNNNNNNNNNNNNNNNNNNNNNNNNNNNNNNNNNNNNNNNNNNNNNNNNNNNNNNNNNNNNNNNNNNNNNNNNNNNNNNNNNNNNNNNNNNNNNNNNNNNNNNNNNNNNNNNNNNNNNNNNNNNNNNNNNNNNNNNNNNNNNNNNNNNNNNNNNNNNNNNNNNNNNNNNNNNNNNNNNNNNNNNNNNNNNNNNNNNNNNNNNNNNNNNNNNNNNNNNNNNNNNNNNNNNNNNNNNNNNNNNNNNNNNNNNNNNNNNNNNNNNNNNNNNNNNNNNNNNNNNNNNNNNNNNNNNNNNNNNNNNNNNNNNNNNNNNNNNNNNNNNNNNNNNNNNNNNNNNNNNNNNNNNNNNNNNNNNNNNNNNNNNNNNNNNNNNNNNNNNNNNNNNNNNNNNNNNNNNNNNNNNNNNNNNNNNNNNNNNNNNNNNNNNNNNNNNNNNNNNNNNNNNNNNNNNNNNNNNNNNNNNNNNNNNNNNNNNNNNNNNNNNNNNNNNNNNNNNNNNNNNNNNNNNNNNNNNNNNNNNNNNNNNNNNNNNNNNNNNNNNNNNNNNNNNNNNNNNNNNNNNNNNNNNNNNNNNNNNNNNNNNNNNNNNNNNNNNNNNNNNNNNNNNNNNNNNNNNNNNNNNNNNNNNNNNNNNNNNNNNNNNNNNNNNNNNNNNNNNNNNNNNNNNNNNNNNNNNNNNNNNNNNNNNNNNNNNNNNNNNNNNNNNNNNNNNNNNNNNNNNNNNNNNNNNNNNNNNNNNNNNNNNNNNNNNNNNNNNNNNNNNNNNNNNNNNNNNNNNNNNNNNNNNNNNNNNNNNNNNNNNNNNNNNNNNNNNNNNNNNNNNNNNNNNNNNNNNNNNNNNNNNNNNNNNNNNNNNNNNNNNNNNNNNNNNNNNNNNNNNNNNNNNNNNNNNNNNNNNNNNNNNNNNNNNNNNNNNNNNNNNNNNNNNNNNNNNNNNNNNNNNNNNNNNNNNNNNNNNNNNNNNNNNNNNNNNNNNNNNNNNNNNNNNNNNNNNNNNNNNNNNNNNNNNNNNNNNNNNNNNNNNNNNNNNNNNNNNNNNNNNNNNNNNNNNNNNNNNNNNNNNNNNNNNNNNNNNNNNNNNNNNNNNNNNNNNNNNNNNNNNNNNNNNNNNNNNNNNNNNNNNNNNNNNNNNNNNNNNNNNNNNNNNNNNNNNNNNNNNNNNNNNNNNNNNNNNNNNNNNNNNNNNNNNNNNNNNNNNNNNNNNNNNNNNNNNNNNNNNNNNNNNNNNNNNNNNNNNNNNNNNNNNNNNNNNNNNNNNNNNNNNNNNNNNNNNNNNNNNNNNNNNNNNNNNNNNNNNNNNNNNNNNNNNNNNNNNNNNNNNNNNNNNNNNNNNNNNNNNNNNNNNNNNNNNNNNNNNNNNNNNNNNNNNNNNNNNNNNNNNNNNNNNNNNNNNNNNNNNNNNNNNNNNNNNNNNNNNNNNNNNNNNNNNNNNNNNNNNNNNNNNNNNNNNNNNNNNNNNNNNNNNNNNNNNNNNNNNNNNNNNNNNNNNNNNNNNNNNNNNNNNNNNNNNNNNNNNNNNNNNNNNNNNNNNNNNNNNNNNNNNNNNNNNNNNNNNNNNNNNNNNNNNNNNNNNNNNNNNNNNNNNNNNNNNNNNNNNNNNNNNNNNNNNNNNNNNNNNNNNNNNNNNNNNNNNNNNNNNNNNNNNNNNNNNNNNNNNNNNNNNNNNNNNNNNNNNNNNNNNNNNNNNNNNNNNNNNNNNNNNNNNNNNNNNNNNNNNNNNNNNNNNNNNNNNNNNNNNNNNNNNNNNNNNNNNNNNNNNNNNNNNNNNNNNNNNNNNNNNNNNNNNNNNNNNNNNNNNNNNNNNNNNNNNNNNNNNNNNNNNNNNNNNNNNNNNNNNNNNNNNNNNNNNNNNNNNNNNNNNNNNNNNNNNNNNNNNNNNNNNNNNNNNNNNNNNNNNNNNNNNNNNNNNNNNNNNNNNNNNNNNNNNNNNNNNNNNNNNNNNNNNNNNNNNNNNUCAUUUCAACAUAAUCUGUAUCAAUAAAAAGAAACAACAAAAUUAGGGUCUAGGAUCGAAACUAGAAAAAGAAAAGCUAACCUGUUUGAGAUGCUUCACGACUUGCAGGUGAUAGGAUUGGAUUCUCAGUUCUUAAAACUCAUAGUCGGAAAGAACCCAGACGUAGAACACAACGUUAAUUUCCGGAAUCCAAAAUCUUCUUCCUCCAAGCGAAACCAAUCUGGGUUUCCAACUAAAUUUAAGAAUUAGGGGCUGCAAAUCGAUCUGGGUAUUCAGCAAACUUUAAGAUUUUGGGGCUGAGAGGAGAAGAAGAGACGACGGAGGAGAGAGAUAUGACAUGUAGGUGUCUUCUUUUCCAUACCAAUUGACUUAAUUGCCAUUUAAAAAUGAUUAAAAAAAUACAAAGCAAUAAUUUUAGUUUAAUUUAACCUCAUUAUUUUUAUCCGUUGGAUUUAAACGAGCCUAAUCUAAUGAUAGUUGAGCAAAUGUUUCAUGGUCAGCUAGUGACCGUGUGAACGGGACUGCAAUUGACAAUAUAUUUCCUUAAAAGAAUUUAGAAAUUAUAUACCAAGGUAAUUAUUGACUUUGCUAUAAGGCUGAUUGUGGUUACCAGGGCGAAUGUUGCAAUAAUCCUUUUAACAACGAUUUCUUUAGAGCAAAUGCACUUAUUUUAGGUGGGUUAGACCAAUUUUCAAUCCCAGUUAAUAUAUUAUUUAUCUACAUCAGUCAUUGAUCUUUUGUUCGACAAUACAACAACAACAUCGAUCAUAAGACCAAUUACUAUUCACAUUUUAUAUAGACCGUCAGAUCUUGAUCUGUAUUAGAUGUAGUACCAUCAUUUACAUCUUCAUUUUGUCUUCUUCUAAUUAGUUCUUAAUCAGUCUGUUAAUUUGUCUAAUUAGGGUUAAGCAUGGUUAGCUUAAGUGGCCUACAGCUCACUGCAACGUGUCACAUUUGUGGCCUCACUACUCUUGUAUAAAUAUAUAGUAAGCUGCGCCUCCAUCUUGUAACCUUAGCUUUCAACUUCAAUACAGACAUCUUUCAUUUCUCAAAUCUCUAGUAUCCAAGCUAUCAUGGUAUCAGAGCCAUGGUCACGUUCUUGUGGCUGUGUGCUAGCUUCUGAAUCUCUCCUUGCUUCCGCGAUUUCUUUCCAAUAGGUUUCAAUUUCAUUUUCCCCAAUUUCAAAACCCUAAACCCGAUUAAUCCAAUAAAUGUGUGCUAGCGUCGAAUCUAUGGUCGUUCUCUGCUAUCAAUGCCAUCCUCUGAAAUCGAAAGUCUCAGAUCGGGAUUUGCGAUUAGAAAUCGUAUCGGAGUCUUCUUUUGUGUGUCGGAUGUCGUCGAUGUAAUCAGGGUACUCUUAUGUACUUUAGUCACCAUCAUAGUACUUCUCUGCUUUCGCGACGUCAGGGGACGAGCUAGAGUUCCAAUAGCCCUCAUCAGAAAGCAGUCGAUUAGUCAAUUUGUCCAAUUUCAACGCAUUCAUCACUAUGAUUCAAUAUGAGAGCAGCUGGUAAUUUCUUUCUGAUCUAGGCUUUUCUAUCACGUGGAACAUGAAAUCUCUCUUUGAUUUUUGAUUGUUCUGCUUGCUUCAUCAGUUUUCCAGAUUUAAUUUUUCUUAUCAAAGUUUGUUUGUUGUCAACCCAAAGAAAAAAGGGACGAAGCAUUAUAUUUUUCUUUUGUUUUUGGACUGGUGGAUUUGGGUUGAAGAGUUGGAUUGCAGAAUUGAUUUGUAUGGCUCUGUGUGUUGGUUGUGUUUUUUUUGGGAGAUGAGUUUCCUAUGUCCUAGUGUUGAAGUCUAGUUGUUGGUAGAAUUAUAGCUUUUGGAAUGCUGUUUUUGGUGAUAUUGUUGCUGAUGAACUUAAUUGAAUGGAUGGGUGUUGAGUUACUAUUUAGCUGUAUGUAUACAUGUAUUGGGCUGCUAAAUUUAAAUAGGUGCUUCUUCUAGAAUAUAUAGUUUGCUUUGACUCCAAUUAUAGAGGAUUUGGAAAUCUCUUUAUUAAUUCGGUCAUCUCUCCCCCUUGAAUCAUGAAAUUUCUCUAUUGUCUGGGUUGUUGUGCUUCAAUUAGCCAGUUUUCCAUUUUCAUUUUUCAUAUCAAAGUUUGUUUGCCGUCAACCCAAAGAAAAAAAAGGGGAUGAAGCAGUUUAUUUUUCUUUUGUUUUGGACUGGUGAGUGUGGCUUGAUGAUUUGGAUUAUCGAUGGGUUUUAUGGCUCUAGUGUGAAGUGUAUGCCUGAAUUUGGUGAAGAAUUUUUUGGUUUCUUCGUCAUUUGGUGUUAGUUGCAUUUAAUUGAAGACUACAUAGGAGAGUUUUGUAGUAGACUGAUUAUAUGUGCAACAAUGUCCUCUAAGUUUGCAGCAUUGCUAGUUCAUGUCUCUAAUUGUGUAAAGUUGAAAAGAGUUAUGAUGAUGUUCGAUUGCCGAUGAACAUAGAUGUUUUUCAGAGGUGUAGUUGAUAUAUAUAUAUAUAUAUAUAUAUAUAUAUAUAUAUAUAUGCAGAAGAUGAUUGUGAAUUUGUCAAAGGAUGUUUGCAAAUUGAGAAUUUGCAGUGUGCAGUGUUGCUUCCAGUUUUUUCAGAUUUAUUAAGAAUUUUCAGAAGUUGCAAUUUGUUUAUCAACCAAAGAGAGAUAAGAUUUUCUAGUUUUUCAUUGUUAUUCUGGAUUGUUUGCUGCCCUGCCAUUGAUGAUCUCUUAUCUGUUGCCUAUACUACAACCAACAAAGUUCUAAGAGAUGGACUCAUAUUGCUACUCCAAUAUAGGCUUUUUGAUUUUGGGGUGUUUGUUUUGCCUUUAGUUCUACAUCAUGUAGUCUGGUUUUAUUGAUUGAAGCUUUAAACCAACCAUUAUGCUUGUCACCAAGCAUAUGGUUGAGGGAGGGUGUUAAGAGUAAGGCUAGUUUAGUUAUUGUUUAUUAAAACCCUUACCUAUAUAUGCGAUGAGAUGUAACUGUUCCAAUCAAGGAAAUAUAUAAGAUGUAGUCUCAAGCUUUCUCUGUGUUUUUUACUUUCUUGCUCUGCAUCUUUUCAAUUCAAUAAACUUAGAAUCCUAGCAUGGUAACAGAGCCAAGUUCGAUCGGGCCCUUUUCAUCUCAUGCUAAAUGAAAUCAAUGUGUGAAAUCUCAAGUCAGCUAAGUUUAUCAUCAGUCCCAUCAAUCUUUUAGAUCUACUGUUUCUCAGCUUAAAGUUUAGAUUUGUUUAGCUUUUCAGUAGCAUAUAUAUCUCUUAGCUUGUUGGAAGUUGCUUUGUACUGUUGCCAUCAUCUUUUACUGUUGAAUCUGAAGAGUGUCUAAAGUAGAAACCUAGAUCUGAAAGUUUUGUUUUUCAAAAUCAAAAAAAAGCUCAAGACUUUAUCUUUGUUUAAGUCGUUCCUUUAGCUAGCAUGACUAGUAUUCAAAAUACUUCUCAGAACACUGUGUUUCUACCUAAUACUAUACUGGAUGAGACCAACUACUUAGCAUGGCUGUUUAGGAUAGAGUUUUUCUUAGAUAGUUAGAACCUCAUGGGAUUUGUUGAUGGCUCAACACCAUGCCUUCCUCAGUUUGUGCGUUCUUCUGAUGGAACCACAACUUAACUCUCACAAGACUAUGUCAACUAAAAAGUUCAAGACCAAAAUAUUGGUCACAUGAUUGGCUAAACUUUGAGCAAGGUUGCCACAAAUGCUGUUGUGGGUGCUAAAAAUCAUACACAAAUGAUAAUUUGUGAUAGCAGGUGAAAAACUUACAGGCUGAAAAAGACUCAGUCUAUGAAAAAAAGUGUUUGGAAUGAAUAAACAACAAAAGGAACUGUGAUAAUGGUUAAAUAAAAGAGAAAGGAGAGACUAAAAGCUUGUAUUUAUAUUGAAAUUAAUUGUACAACGAUGGUGACAAUUCUAUCAGUCUGAGAAUGCAGAAAAUGCAGUGCAUUCAUAUAUAAGGGACAAGAAUGCAGCUAGAAAAAUAUCUUCUUGUGAACGUUGGAGGAAACACGUGUAGGGCUUUGAUGAUUUCUUCUUGACCAAGAGAAGAUGAGGAUAUGCCAGACUGUGCAAUACCAAUCCAUAGGAGAAUUCAAACAUGGGAGCCUCACGUGCUAUUUGGUCAACAAGCAUUUCCACUCACUGAAGUUGCAGCAGUAUUGGUGACCUGUGAAACUUUGUCACCAUUAUCAAUUUUAUCCUUCUGUAUAAUAGUGCAUUCACUAAUUUUACUGAGUUCACCAAGCUCUAUCAGCUUAACAUCCCCCCUCAAGCUAGUGCUAGGGUUACCAAGCACUAGAUUGCAGCACAGACAUUGAAAAUGAGCAGUACUCAGUCCUUUGGUAAAAAUAUCAGCAAACUGCUCUAGUGAAGGAACAAACUGAAGAUUAAGUUCACCUCUUGCUACCUUUUCUCUUGUAAAAUGGAUAUCCACCUCCACAUGCUUGCAUUUUGAUUUAUGGAUAGGAUUUGAAGCCAAGGAAAGAGCAGAAACAUUGUCACAGUGUAAAAGAGGAGGUUCAACAAGAAUUACUGAGAUAUCAGCUAGGAGAUGUCUCCACCAAAAAAUUUCACUUGCAGUGUCAGCCAUGGCCCUGUAUUCUGCUUCUGUGGAAGACCGAGACACUAAGUGUUGCUUCUUUGAACACCAUGAGAUGGGACAAUUUCCCAGAUAUAUUACGAAGCCUGUAGUAGAUCUUCUAUCAUUAGGAUCUCCUGCCCAAUCUGCAUCUGAAAAGGCUCUAAGCUCUAUUGGUGCAGGAGCUGGUUUAUAAGUCAAUCCAUAGUUAACAGUGCCAAUCAAAUAUCUGAGUAUCCUUUUAACUGAUGCAUAAUGUGUCUCAGUGGGUGCUUGCAUGAAUUGACAAACAGUGUUGACACUGUAUGCAAUAUCUGGCCUUGAAAAGUCAAGUAUUGUAGGCAGCCAACAAUACUUCUAUGAGUGACAUCUUCAAACAAUGGACCAUCAUCUUUGACUAAUUUGGCAUAUGGUAAGCAAGGAGUAGAGCAGCUCUUUUUACCUAACAUCCCAGCUUUAAUAAUCACCCCAGCUGCAUAUUUAGAUUGAGAAAUAAAGACUCCUCCAGAUGGUAAAUAUUCAAUCUGCAGUCCCAAGAAAUAGUGCAAUAACCCCAAAUCCUUCAUUUCAAACUCAAGUUGCAAAGCAAGCUUCACCACACUGAUCUCAGUUUCAUCAUUACCUGUCAAGAUGAUAUCAUCCACAUACAACAACAAAUAAACCAUGGAAGACUCAGUUGCUUUGACAAAUAAUGAGGGAUCUGAAUGAGAGCUUUUAAAUCCCAAAGAUGGAAGGAAUGAGGUAAAUCGUUCAUUCCAAGCUCUUAGAGCUUGCUUCAAACCAUAUAAAGAUUUUACCAGUUUGCACACAUAAUUUGGAUGAUCUGCAUCUUCAAACCCUUGAGGCUGUGUCAUGCAAGGUUCUAAAAAAACGCUAGGCGCUAGUCGAGCGGAUAACGCCCAAAAGAUUAAUCGGAGAUUAAUCGGGGAUUAAUCGGUUUUAUAUUUUUGUAUUAUUUUAUUUUUUAUAAAUAAUAAUUAUAUAAAUAAAAUUAUAAAAAACAUUAUAAUACAUGAAAUUACUCAAAAUAUAUAUGUAACGGCAUUAUUUUUGACUAUUUUAGUUUAGUUAUGUAGAUUAUAAUCAUUAUAUAUGAUAAAUAUUAAAUAAUGAAAGGUAUAACAACUAGCUAUAUACAUAUAUAGAUUUUGACCAAAAGAAUGUAAAAAGUAAAAGUUUGUUGGAUGGUGGCCCUUAACCAAAUGUAAGGCCCAAUAAUAUAGGCCCAUAAUGUAUGGUAUAAUCUUUAGCAGUUUAACCUAAUUAUCCUCUUUCUCUAUGCUUCAAAGAACAAAUUUAUCCUUUGUGCCUGCACUCUCUCUUCUACAGACGGUGACGACUACAAAGAAAUGAAACUUCAACAACUUCGUCACCACCGUAAUCCCAUCCUCAUCAUCAUAUGCUUCCUCUUUCUCCCCUUUUGCUUCCCCUUCUCUCUCUGCUUCUCUCUCUAUUCUCUUCUUCUCCAUUUGAAUGCUACAAAAACCCAGAUUUCAAAAUUCAAGAAGCCCAGAUCCCGACCGGUGACCGUUCUACCAAUCUGAGGUUGAGUUUUAUAUUGGAUUUGGGUUUAUUUUUUUAUUUUUGACGAAAAUUCCAAAAAAAAAAAAAACGGCGACGCCGACCAGACCGCCCAGCGUCGCCCAGGCCGCCUAGUCGCCGCCCAGCUCGCGUUAGAGGCCGAUUUCCUGCCCGCCGACUACCUCACCCGAUUACACUGAAAUCGGAACGGUCUAGCGGCGUCCAGCGCCUAGCCGCCGCUUAGGCGGCCGCAUAACCCGUUUUUUAGAACCUUGGUGUCAUGAAAACUUCUUCUUUCAACACACCAUGCAAAAAGGCAUUUUUUACAUCCAUUUGAUGAAGUUUCCAGUUGCACUGAGCUGCUAAAGCAAGAAAUAAUCUCACUGUAGUGUGCCUCACAACUGGACUGAAAGUUUCCUCAUAGUCAACACCCUCUUAUUGACUAAAUCCUCUAGUAACCAACCUUGCCUUGUGUCUAGCUAUAGAACCAUCUGCAUUUUUCUUCAAUUUAAAGAUCCACUUACAGCUUACCAAAUUUGUGUGAGACUGAGGGGGUACAAGAAACCAUAUGCCUUGAUGAGUAAGAGCAUCAUACUCUUCUUGCAUUGCUUGUUUCCAUUCAGGGACUUGAAGGGCUUGCUUGUAAGUGUGAGGCUCAGAAUCUGGAGUAACUUUAAUUGCAACAUUUGCUGCGUAGAAGACUUUCUUUUUGAAAAUUCCAUGUUUGCUCCUUGUCAUCAUCGGAUGGUCAUUGGAAUUAAUAUUUGAUAGAGGAACAAAAGAGACAAGCCUGUCAAAUGAUUCUGGUGAUGGUGGCUGAAUAUCAAUAUGAACUUCUGAUAAUGGAAUGUAAGGUUCAUCAGUGUAGGAUUCCGGAUCUCUACAUCCCUCAGUAGUAGGAAAGGUGGAGCUAUGAUCAAUAAUUAGAGGUAGCUCAGUGCCAUCAUUGACUAAAACUUCUGUUGCAGUGCCAUCUGGAGCUGUAGAGGAAACUGGUUGUUCUCUUGCAGGUUGAGAUUCAGUUGUAGAUUGAGUCAUAGUUGGAGACUGAACUUGGACAAGGUUAGGCUCUGAUGAGAGUGUGUGUGAGGGAUGCUCAGCUGAAGGAUGAAGUGAACAAGGAGCUGUGAAGAACUGAGUUACCUGUUCAGCAUUGACAGAAUAAUUUUUUCUGAUAAUAAAAACUUGUUUCAUCAAAAAUGACAUUUCUGGAGAAUAUGAUUUUUUUUGACACAGGAUUGAAGCAAAUAAAACCCUUAUAACCAAGAGCAUAGCCAAGGAACACACAAGGAGCAGUCUUAGGUUCUAAUUUAUUUUUGUUAUAGGGUUUUAACAAUGGAUAACAGGUUGAACCAAAGACUCUAAUGUGAUAAAUGACUGGAAUUUUUUUAAACAUUGCCUCAAAAGGAGAUUGCAUAGACAAGUUUGAACAAGGCAUCCUAUUAAUUAGGUACACAGCAGUGGCACAUGCAUGAUACCAGAAAAUAACAGGAAGAUGAGCACUGUGAAGCAAAGUGAUAGCAGUUUCAACAAUGUGUCUAUUUUUCCUCUCAGCUAGGCUAUUCUGUUGUGGGGUAUAAGGACAUGACACCUGAUGGAUAAUCCCAUUUGUUGCCAAAAAUUCAUGAAAGAAGUUGCUGUUAAAUUCCCCACCCCCAUCUGAUUGAAAAUUUUUGACAGUAGUAGAAAAUUGAUUUAGAAUAAAGGCACAAAAAGCUUUGAACAAAGGUAAGACCUCUUUUUUAUUUCUCAAUGGAAAAAUCCAUGUGUAUAUAGUACAUUCAUCAAUAAUUGUGAAGUAAUACUUGUAACCCUCAAAUGAUGCAGUGGGAGAAGGACCCCAAAGAUCAGAGUGCACAAUUUCAAAGGGAACAUUUGACUUAGCACUAGACACAGGAAAAGGUAACCUUGAUGAUUUACCAGCUAAACAAGACUCACAUUGUCACAUCCCGACCCUUAAAUUUUUUACUUUAUUUACUAACUUGAUUAUAAUAAGAAUUUUACCGUCUCCGUCAUUGAGUUAAUAGUUUAAAUUGGUCCCUAGAGGGGUUUCGGGGAUGAUUAUGUGCGGGGGAUUAUUCGUAGGAGGAAAAUACGACGACGGUAAAAAUGGUAAAUUUUACCUAGUAAAAGAUAAUUUUUAUUAGGGUAUUAUUUUUUCGGGGUGUUUUAUUUUGGAGUGGGUUGAUUUAUAUGGGUUUGGACCGGGUGUGGGAGAGGCCCAACACCCACACACUCACUUCUCUCUCUUUUCCCGAUUUUCUUUCCCUCGAAUUUUUCCUCCCGCUGCCCGGUUUUUCGGCCGUCCUCCUGCCGCCGUCCGACCACCAUCUGCCGCCGCUCAGGUCCCAAACUGACGGCCUCCGACCUAGCUACCUCCCUGGACCGGUGACAGCCGCCUUAGCUCCGCCGUGAAGGAGCGCUCUCCCCCGAAAUGUUCGACUGUCCAAAGCUUCACGUCGCCAGAACUCCCUCCUCCGGCCACCACAGCCGACGAUCCUUAGCUCGUUUUGUAGCCCUCCUCCCGUGCAGCAACCUCUCCAAAGAGCUCACUCUCUCUUGAGCUAGGUAAGGAGAAAUAUGGAGUUGAAAUUUCUAGGGCUUUUAGGAUUUUUUAGUCGAUUACCCUAGCUAGGCUUAGAUUUUGGGUUUGUGCUAGUUAGGGAAUUUGUAGAGCAUGAUAAGAGGAUUAUGCUGUCAAAUUUUCAUAGAAUUUGGAGGUCGCCGAAAUCGGCCUCCGGCCGCCGACGCCGGCGCCGAAGCUGUUUGGGAGAUUUUUAAUGUUGUUAAAUUUGGAAUAUUAAGGGGAGUUUAUUGAAGUGAGUUAUGAAAUUUUUGGAUGAGUUUUGGAUAGGUUUAUGAAUUUCCGAAGUGUGGUAUUUUUGGCGGUUAAAUAAUGUAGAAUCCGGCCGUAGGAUUUAAGUCGUAUUUUAGGAGAGGUUGUAUUUACGGCUGCGGUAUGUUCGGUGAAGGUUGAGCCAUUUUGAGUUAAGAAUGGCGUAGAUGGGCAAUGAUGGGUGUGUGGAAGGCUCACGUUUAAUUUUGCCCAUUUUGUUUAAUUAUUGGAUUUUUAGUGGGAAAUUAAUAUUAUAUUUGGAACAGGACGUGAGGAGGCUCGAGCAGAUGAGGCCCCAGAUCAACAUCAGGCUUAAGCCAACUUUGUGAGUGGACGUUUAUUUUAAAUAAAUGCAUGCUAUAGUUCAUGGUUGAACAAUAAAUGUUGCGGAAUAUUUUAACGUCAUUUUAAUUUGAUGAUUUUUAUUUCUCUUGGAGAGUUACCGAAAAUGAGAUUUUCGGUGGAUAUAAAUAUGUAUUUAUGAGGAGAGUAUGUAUAUAAAUGCUAGCUAGCCAUAUGUGUCUGUCCACCUUAAUGGCGUAGCAUAUAGCCGCNNNNNNNNNNNNNNNNNNNNNNNNNNNNNNNNNNNNNNNNNNNNNNNNNNNNNNNNNNNNNNNNNNNNNNNNNNNNNNNNNNNNNNNNNNNNNNNNNNNNNNNNNNNNNNNNNNNNNNNNNNNNNNNNNNNNNNNNNNNNNNNNNNNNNNNNNNNNNNNNNNNNNNNNNNNNNNNNNNNNNNNNNNNNNNNNNNNNNNNNNNNNNNNNNNNNNNNNNNNNNNNNNNNNNNNNNNNNNNNNNNNNNNNNNNNNNNNNNNNNNNNNNNNNNNNNNNNNNNNNNNNNNNNNNNNNNNNNNNNNNNNNNNNNNNNNNNNNNNNNNNNNNNNNNNNNNNNNNNNNNNNNNNNNNNNNNNNNNNNNNNNNNNNNNNNNNNNNNNNNNNNNNNNNNNNNNNNNNNNNNNNNNNNNNNNNNNNNNNNNNNNNNNNNNNNNNNNNNNNNNNNNNNNNNNNNNNNNNNNNNNNNNNNNNNNNNNNNNNNNNNNNNNNNNNNNNNNNNNNNNNNNNNNNNNNNNNNNNNNNNNNNNNNNNNNNNNNNNNNNNNNNNNNNNNNNNNNNNNNNNNNNNNNNNNNNNNNNNNNNNNNNNNNNNNNNNNNNNNNNNNNNNNNNNNNNNNNNNNNNNNNNNNNNNNNNNNNNNNNNNNNNNNNNNNNNNNNNNNNNNNNNNNNNNNNNNNNNNNNNNNNNNNNNNNNNNNNNNNNNNNNNNNNNNNNNNNNNNNNNNNNNNNNNNNNNNNNNNNNNNNNNNNNNNNNNNNNNNNNNNNNNNNNNNNNNNNNNNNNNNNNNNNNNNNNNNNNNNNNNNNNNNNNNNNNNNNNNNNNNNCCAAAUCCACCACAUGGCCGGCACCGGCAUCCACCCCUACCACCAGCAAUGGGCCCCGGCGGCAGCCCCUCCUCCUCCCCCGGCCGUCGCCGCUGCCAUUCUUAACUCUGAGAGGGUAAAAAGAUUAACCAUGGCUAUUUUAGUCAUUUUAGUCGAGAUUGAUGUCAUUUUGAAAGUUUAUGUAUAAACUGAUUAAAAAAAAGGUGAGGUAUCAAACUGAUUUUAGACCUAAAGUUCAAGGUAGUAAAGUGAAAUUAUCUCUAAAAGUUUUAUCGCUUGCGGCAUGCAUUCGAUUUUUUCCUUAAAAAUGGAUUUGGGAAAACAUAAAUAUUUUUCUUAUUAAUUUAUUUUUGUCCACUCACUCUAACGUUAUUAAAUGUUUUUCCCCUGGGCCCUUUGUUUUAAAAUGCCUAGUCUGCAGAGUUCGGGUUGGAUCUAGUAGGAGACGAGGCAUAGUCACCCGUUUUUCCGCCAGUUUUCCUCAGUAGGUUAACUGUUCAACCUACUCGUGUUUUCUUGCUUCCGCUAGAGUCUAGUAGCUCUGGAUACUUUGGGAUUGUUGUAUAUUAUUUCAGUGGUGUGCUCGGCCUGUUGAUUUGAUGUUUAGAAUCUCUGAAGGAUAAUGUUUGCUUUUAUUAGCUGGAUAUUUAUGUGAAGUUUGGACGUGUUGUAGUAAGAGUGUAAAUUUGAAAUUUUCGAGUUAGGGUUGUCCAUUUUCAAGGGAGAUUUUACCAAUCUUUUCGGUAAAAUUUUCCUUGGAGGUGGUCCUCGCACGACUUACUCCGGGUUUCAGGGUGAAAUUUGGGGUGGGUCGUGUCACAUAUAAAGACCGACAUUGAUCUGAAGGGAAAACAAUGUUAGCUUUUGACAGAAUUCUAGACACUACUGCAUUAGAGGGAUGACCUAGUGUGCCAUAAGGAAUGCGACACUUUAUUUCCAAGAAAAGCUGAAGUGGUACUAGCUGCAACUGGGAGAAGUUGAUGAGCAAUUUUCACUGGUACUGGAUAUAGUCCCUUGUCACACACACCCUCAUAUAAGACUUGGCCUGAAACCUUGUCCUGUAUAAGAAAUUCAAAGGCAUCAAAAAUUAGUCUCACACAAUUGUCCUUGCAGAUAUUGUAAACAGAUAGCAAAUUCGCAGCUAGAUCAGGACCAAUAAAACAUUGUUCAAAGAGAGAUUAGUUUUUCCAACUUAAAGAGUGUUUGACCCUUUUUUAGUAACAGGAAGACUAUCACCAUUACCAAUUUGCACUGAGUCUGCAGAGUUGUAGGAUGUGACAUUCUGAAGAUUAUUAAUAUCAGAGGUCAUAUGAUUGGUAGCUCCUGAAUCCAUCAACCACACUUCACCAUUUGAAUUUGCACAGGCCAUUAAGGCAGUAUUUCCUUAUUGCUGGUUUUGAUUGAGAUUGGCAUUUCUCCAGUUGCAUGUUUUGGCAAUAUGGCAUGUUUUCUUGCAGAUUUGACACUCCACACUUGAGCUUGUUGCCUCUCCAGUCUGAGGUGAAUUCCUUUGACUACACUUGUAUGCAGUAUGCCCAAGUUUAUCACAAAUCUGGCAUGUUACAUUCUUGUAGAAGUUGUUGCCCUUGUAGUUGUUUCCCUUGUUGUUGUUGUUGCUAUUUCCAUUGUUCCUACCAUUGUUGGAAGGAAAUUGAGGGAAACAGUCACCAUCUUGAGGACUAAAAUUGCCAAUGAAAGCAGUGUUCUGAGGAAAAUUAGAAAACUGGUUAUUGUCAGAAACAAUGAACUGUGAGCCUUGUUGUACUACUGAACUUUGUUAAGAGUAGGGCACUAGGUGGUGUUGAGUUGUGACAGCUGAUGCAAGGGGAGAAUAGAUCCCUACUGUAGACUGAGAGCCAUUCACCAUGUAAGGGGACAUAUUUGUGCUGGAGGACAUGUGAUUGAGAGGCAUGGAAGGAUUCUGAACAUUAGAGCAUGAUACAGCUAUAGAGGUAGGACUAAACAUGUGCUGCACACUAGACAUGUCAUUAAACAAAUAGUUUCCAUUUGGAGAAGGACUACUCAUGAACCUUGCAGGAGCAUUAUGGUGAUUAAAGUUUAACUGUGACAUGUUAGCAGUAGGAUUAGUAAAACUAGUGAUGGUAGACAUGGGACCAUAGCUCAUAUGAUUUACUGUUGUGGCUGCAGGAUUAAUAAAACCAUGUUGUGGUUGCUGUGAUCCAAAACUCAUGAGUCCCAUAGAGGCAUUAGGUGCUCCAACCAAAUUAAAACCAUUAGUAGAACCAGAUGCUACAGCAUAACCAUUAGGAGUACAAAAAUUGGCUGAAGCAGAAAAAUUGGUAUUCCAAGGAACAACAACAUUAUUAUGAGCAUUAAAACUUGUUGGAGCAGCACAGUUUGCAGCCCAAGGAAUAGCUGUGUUAAAAAUGGUAUUUCCAAAAUUUGGAGCACUAGACAUUGAACCAUUUUGAUUUUGAGCAAAUAAAGCAAAAAACUGAGAAAAAGGAAGAGCCUUUUGCUCUAGUUCUAUUUCACUCUCAGCAGAUAACAAUAGAGAUCUAACCUCUUCUAGAUCAAUAUUGGCCUUUCCCCUAAUGAUUUGUCUAGUAUGACCAUAUUCAAUAGGCAAGCCAACAAGAAUCAACACCUUAACAUCCUGGUCUGACAUCAUAACCCAAAGAACAGCUAAUUUAUCUCUAAUGCUCUUGAACCUUAGCAAAUAUUUUUCAAUAGAGUCACCUCCUUUUUGAAUAAACUAUAAUUCUGCCUAUAACUGCAUAACAUGAGCCUCAGAGACAGAAGCAUACCUCUGCUUGAGUCUAUACCAGAUUUCCAUAGACGAUCCACAUCAUGUUGCCAAGACAAGAGGCUCAACAGUAAGAGAGUUUGCAAGGGUGUUUAUGAGAGCACUAUCCUGCUCACACCACUUCUCAUAGGUUGUUGUGUUGUCUACCUCAGUUCCAUCAGGAUUUGUAAUGCUUGGAGAGGGACAUGGAAGGGUUCCAUCAACGAUUUUGAGCAUGCCAUGGCUCUUGAGAUAGUGCCGCAUCUGAUACAGCCAUGUUAGAUAGUUGUUAUCAUCGAGCAUCACAGAGAUAACAUUGCAAUUGUUAUUUGUGCGUGCCAUGACCCACAAGGCUGAGAAGAAACCAAGCAACAGAUGAGACUAGAAAAAUAGAAAAGAACUAGAUUUGACUGAGUAGGUAUAAAUACAAGCAGUAGUUGAAAAAACAAUGGUGAAACCAAAAAAUCACAGUAGUUGAAAAAGAGAGUUUUUGAGUAUAAUAAGUGUAGCGGAAGAGAAUGAGUUUUGCACUUGUCAAGCCAUAGGCUCUGAUACCAUGCUAAAAAUCAUACACAAGUGAUAAUUUGUGAUAGCAGGUGAAAAACUUACAGGCUGAAAAAGACUCAGUCUAUGAAAAAGAGUGUUUGGAAUGAAUAAACAACAAAAGGAACUGUGAUAAUGGUUAAAUAAAAGAGAAAGGAGAGACUAAAAGCUUGUAUUUAUAUUGAAAAUAAUUGUACAACGAUGGUGACAAUUCUAUCAGUCUGAGAAUACAGAAAAUGCAGUGCAUUCAUAUAUAAGGGACAAGAAUGCAAUAGAAAAAUAUCUUCUUGUGAACGUUGGAGGAAACACGUGUAGGGCUUUGAUGAUUUCUUCUUUACCAAGAGAAGACGAGGAUAUGCCAGACUGUGCAAUACCAAUCCAUAGGAGAAUUCAAACAUGGGAGCCUCACGUGCUAUUUGGUCAACAAGCAUUUCCACUCACUGAAGUUGCAGCAGUAUUGGUGACCUGUGAAACUUUGUCACCAUUAUCAAUUUUAUCCUUCUGUAAAACAAUGCAUUCACUAAUUUUUAUGAGUUCACCAAGCUCUAUCAGCUUAACAGUGGGAAGCAAAUGUUCCUUUCAGAUGUGGGAAAAUCUGAAGCUUAAGUUUGCUUCUCAAAACAAGCAAAACAUCCUACAGCUGAAAUCCAACCUUCAAAACCUGAGGAAGGGUGCUGAUGACAUUGAAACAUAUCUUGACAAAAUCAAAGAAGCAAGAGAUGCCUUGGAAACUGUUGGAGUUCAAGUAGAUGACAAGGACAUUGUGGUUACUAUUCUGAGAGGUCUUCAUGCAAAGUUUGCUGCAAUUAAAAUAGUCAUUAGAGCGCAGUUUGUGAGCUGCUCACUGAGGGAACUUAAGACCCUUCUUAAGGCUGCAUAAAUUGACAUUGAGAAUGAAUCUCAAUCAUCCAUUCCUCUCACUGCCAUGGUUGCUCACUCUCACACUCAAAUGCCAUCACUUGGAGCUAGCUCUAGCUAUUCAACACCAUCCUCAGUCCAAACUCAGUCAUGUGUGCUAAAUCAUCCUCAGUGUAGCCUGUUAUGCAAUGCUACUCUCAACCUUAAAUGCAAAGUGCUCUUCAUGCACCACAAGUUCCACCUGGUUUUUCACCAGUGUCUACUCAAAAUGCUCUCACUCCCAUGCCUCCAUAAGUUCAAACCAUCCUGCAGCAAAAUCCACAACAGUCUUAUGCUACUUUGACAUAUGGAUUUGAUGGAUCUUCCUCUGUGAACAAUGGUGAUCAGAAUGACAAUAUGAACUCCUUCUCAUGCUUUUAUGCUUGAAGAGGCAAUCCUAGACCAUCUUUCAACAAUGGAGGCAACAACUUCAACAAUGGAGCAAGGAACUUUGGCAACAACAACAACUUUGGACCACCAGGCUUCAACAACAAUGCAGGUCAAGGCAACAAUGGAGGGUCAAUCACUUGCCAGUUCUACAACAGGUUUGAGUAAUCAAGAACCUUGCUGAAUAAGCAAAACAACAACAACAUGAACUUUGGGAACAAUGGAGGCAACACUAAUGGUAGCUGUAUCAACUGUGGAAGAAGAAACCAUAUUGUGGAGAGAUGUUACUACAUAAUUGGCUUUCCAGAUCGAAAACAAAACAACAAUGCAAUGAGAGGCAAUGGGAACAAUGCCAUGUUCAAUGGAAACAAUGUUAUGCCUAAUGGGAACUCUGCCAUGCUUGCUGCUACUCAUAAUGCUCCUCAGUUUUGGCUUACAGACACUAGGGCCACUAAUCACAUGACAAGCAAUGGCCAAUCUCUGAACAACCUGACACCCUAUAGUGCUUCUGACACUGUGCAUAUUGGUAAUGGUUCUCAGAUGAAAAUCACACACACUGGCAACACAAUGCUUGGUCCAUUUAAACUAAACAAUGUGUUGCUAAUUCCUGAACUUUCAGCUCAUCUACUAUCUAUUUAUCAAUUGUGCAAACAGAAUAACUGUAUGAUGUGGUUUGAUGAAUUUAUGUGUGUUAUACAUGACAAGGUGUUAGGCAAAGUUCUCUUCAAAGGUCUGAGUAAUCAAGGGCUGCCCCCAUUCCAUUUGAGCUGCCACUACUUCAAAGAGAUUCAACAGAAAAGCCUGCAAGUUCACAAUUAUCCUCUUCAGUUUAAGAGACAGCUUUUGUUGGAAAAUUGGUCAAGCAUUCCCUGUGGCACCAAAGGUUUGGGCACCCCUCCAAUGACAUAGUUCAAGCAAUGCUAAAUAAGUGUAAUAUCCAUAGUGUAGUUGUGACACAGAACAAGCUAUUUGUGAACCAUGAUUACUUGGCAAGUUCAAGAAGCUACCUUUUCCUAUGUCUAAUUCUAGAAGUUUAAUUCCUUUUGAGAUAGUACAUUCUGAUGUUUGGGGGCCUACUCUCUACAUUUCUAUUGAUUGAUUCAAGUAUUUUGUACUGUUUAUUGAUGAUUGCACCAGAUUCACAUGGAUUUAUCACAUGAAAACCAAAAAUGAAGUACUUGGUUAUUUUCAGUCCUUGUGUGCUCUUGUUGAAAAUCAAUUUAGUCAUACUGUUAAAUGUCUAAGAAGUGAUGGGGGAGGUGAAUAUGUGAACAACAAGUUCAAAGCCUUUCUUGCAAGUAAGGGCAUUUUGCAUCAAAUCUCUUGUCCCUACACCUCAGAACAAAAUGGGAUCUCUAAAAGGAAAAAUAGACAUAUUAGAGAAACUGCCUGUCACCUUGUUGCAGCAAUCCUCUCUUCCUGCUCAUUUUUGGUAUCAUGCAUGUGCUAUAGCUACCUUUUUGAUAAAUAAGAUGCCUACUCCUAAUUUGAGCAUGUAGUCUCCCUUUGAAAAACUAUUCAAUAAAGCUCCACCAUUGGAACUGUUAAGGGUGUUUGGAUGCACUUGUUACCCUUUUUUGUAAACCAAGUCAGACAGAUCAGAUAAAUUACAACCAAAAACUGUGAAGUGUGUGUUUUUGGGUUUUGCAGCAGGUUACAAGGGAUAUAUAUGUUAUUGUCCUGCCUCUAAGAAAUAUAUCAUAUCAAGGCAUGUCUUCUUUGAGGAAAAUAGCUUCCCUUAUGCAGCAAAAAGUCAGUCUUCAUCACAUCCAGCAGUGCACAUGAGGUUACAACCUUGCUCAUUUACUCAGACUCAGCUCCUAACACCUUUGUCAAACACACACAGUAAUCCAUCAAAUACAGGUCAGUUCACUCUUUUACUCAGCUCCUUUAAUGGUUCAUCAGAUAGUAAUCCAAAUCAUGUUGUUGAUAACUCCAUUCACAUGUCUCCUUUAUUAUCUGACAAUGACAAUGCUUUACCCACUGGUCUAUCCCAUGAGCCAAACUUUCAUCAAUUUGUGGAUAAUGAGCCCUCUGUGACUGUUUCUUCACAAAAUAAUGAUUCUUCUCCUAGCCAAGCCUUUGAUCAGUCUGCAAACAUUGAAAUUAUUUUUGAAGAGUCAAAUGGGGAGUUGUAUGUUCAAUCUGAGCCUGGUGUUGGUUCCAUCUCUCUUGUUCUCAAUUGUGAACCCUCCAGACCAACUCAUCAAAUCUCUGAUGCCAACAUCCUGCAUCCAAUUGCUGGUCUCACUCCAACUACUAAAAAUGAGCAUCCAAUGCGCACCAGAAGCAAAAAAGGAAUAGUACAGAAAAAGUGUUUUCUCUCAGUCAUGAAUCAAGACACUUCUAAUCUUUCAGAAAUUGAACCCUACUCAGUCAAGACAGCUCUACAAGUUCCAGUAUGGAAGAAUACAAUGCAGGAGGAGUAUGAUGCCCUCAUGAAACAACAAACCUCGUCCUUGGUUCCUUUGCCUCCAGAUAAAAAUCUUGUGUCCUGCAAAUGGAUUUUCAAAAUCAAGAGAAAUGCAGAUGGUUCAAUUGCCAGACAUAAAGCAAGACUAGUGGCAAGGGGUUUCAGUCAAGAGUUUGGUAUAGAUUAUGAAGAAACCUUCUCUCCAGUUGUAAGGCACACAACAGUUCGACUAAUUUUAGCAUAUGUUGCAUAUUCUGGUUGGAUCUUGCAUCAACUUGAUGUGAAAAAUGUCUUUCUUCAUGGAGUGUUGAGUGAAGAAGUAUAUAUGGCUCAACCAAGUGGUUUUGUAGUUGCUCCUGCAACACAUGUGUGUAAACUGCACAAAUCUCUUUAUGGAUUGAAUCAAGCUCCUAGAGCUUGGAAUGAAAGGUUACACAACUUUCCUUCCUAAACUUGGUUUCUCCCCUUCAUAUGCAGAUCCUAGUCUGUUUGUGUUAAUCACAGGAACUUCAAGAGUUUAUCUUAUAUUCUAUGUUGAUGAUAUCAUUGUGACUGGCAAUGUUGAUGAUAUCAUUGAUGAAAUCAAAGUCUCCUUACAGUAGGAAUUUGACAUGAAUUCACUGUAUUUCUUCCUAGGUCUUGAAAUCAAAUAUUUGAAGAAUGGUGGAAUUUUCAUAUCUCAGCAGAAGUAUGCAACAUACCUUAUUCAUAAAGCAGGUCUUAGACACUGUCAUACUCAUUUGACACCAUGUCAGUCUGGAGUGAAGCUUUUCUUAGAGAAUGGGAAAACAAUAGACUCAUCUGAAGGCCCUCAUUUCAGAAGCUUGGUUGGCUGUCUCCAAUACUUAACAUUCACAAGGACAGAUAUAACAUAUGUUGUGAACUCAGUAUGUCAAUUUAUGCAUAAUCCAUCUUUUGAACAUCUUAUUGUAGCAAAAAGGAUACUUAGAUAUGUCAAGGGCACCAUUGAUUAUGGUAUCUGCUUCAGGAAGGGUCCUCCACUUACUGAUUCUCCAGCACUCCUAAUUUAGCUCGAUGCCUUUUGUGAUGCAGAUUGGGCUGGUGACCCAAAUGACAGGAAAUCAACCACUGGCUUUGUAAUUCUUAUUAACAAUGCUCUCAUCUUUUGGUGUAGCAAGAAACAAAAUGCAGUGUCAAGGUCCUCCACUGAAGCUGAGUAUAGGAGCAUGGUUGACACAACUUCAGAGAUCAUGUGGCUCUCUCAUCUGUGACAACAUAUCAACUCUUGCUUUGGCAACAAAUCUUGUAUACCACUCCAAGCUGAAACAUGUUGAAGUUGAUGUCCACUUUACUAGAAACCAAGUCAAGGCAGGAACAAUCAGAGUGCAAUUCAUCUCUUCUAAAGAACAACUUGCUGACCUCUUUACAAAAGGACUGUGCUCACCACAACACAAUUACUUUUGUGACAGCUUGAAGUUGCUUCCACACCAUCAAGUUGAGGAGGGGUAUUAGAUGUAGUACCAUCAUUUACAUCUUCAUUUUGUCUUCUUCUAAUUAGUUAUUAAUCAGUUUGUUAAUUUGUCUAAUUAGGGUUAAGCAUGGUUAGCUUCAGUGGCCUACAGCUCAUUGCAACGUGUCUCAUUUGUGGCCUCACUACUCUUGUAUAAAUGUAUAGUGAGCCGCCCCUCCAUCUUGUAACCCUAGCUUUCAACUUCAAUACAUACAUCUUUCAUUUCUCAAAUCUCUAGUAUCAAAACUAUCAAUCUAAACGGCCCAUAUUAGAGAGCCUUUUGGAAAAAGCUGUCAGCCCCAUGUGCAUGUCUACUCCCCAUGUGCAAUUUGGUCUCACGUGGGCCAUGUGGAGAAAUUGGUCUUGGAGUGAGAGAUGGAUUAAUCUUUAACCCAAACCAUAGUCAAUCAAGAUAGGUCCUGUAUGGGGUCUAACAUAAACCCAGUCCAAUUUUUUGCUGCUAGAUUCAGUUUUUGGUCCAACCUCUCAGUCCAACCCAUGCAAAUAGUCCUUUGCUGCAUUUGCUCUUAAAGCAAGUGCACUGCGAGCCUUUGAGACUUCCAAGACCAAGCUAUAUGGCAAGAAAACAAAAAAAACCCUGAUACACUACAAUUUUGUUGGUCGAUUUUUGGACUAUAUCAUCAAGCCCACAAUCAAGUUUUGGUCGCUGACUAAGUCGACCAAUAGGACAAAUGGAGCGCAUGUGUUUUCUGAUAAGUGAUAACUAAAUAUGGGAGUUUGUCUUUUUGUGAAAAUGAUGAUUCUAUUGGUAGGUCUAUGUUAAGUAUUUUCUUUUUCAAAAUUUUGGAGUGCAUAAAAAUCCAAAAAGCACGAUCAAGAGGCAAAAACUAACAUUUUGCCUGCCUUUUAAUUCUUCGGGUGCAUUUGCUCGUAGUAAUCGAUGGUUCGAACCCUAGCCAAACAGCUCUGGACCCUAGCUAAAUUAAGCUCAUCCCACUGCUCGUCCCGAACAUUACACUCAGGACGGGAUUGGGACGGGCCUUGUGUUUUUGAGAGUUGAUCUCACCCAGGUCAUAAUAUGAUAUUCUGAUUACAUAACAUGAUCUGGACAUUUUUGACAUGCUAGAUAAACUCUCAUAUUGGACUAAUCUGGACAUUCUAGACAAUGUGAUUAGAAACUGUAAACCUAAAUGCAAGUAUAUCAAAAUGAAAGCAAGUAUAGUUUAAUAUCAAUCAAUGUAUGCUAUACACCACUCAAACUUAAAGAACAAAUUAACUUGGAUGUAAUAACAAGCUGAUUGUAUCCUUUAAAAAAAACAAUUGGCUCCAUAUUAUUGUAUAAAGAAAUUAGUUUGCUUUCUACAUAGUCUUACAUGCAUAUUCACAGUAGGGUUCUUUCUUGAAACAUCCAUUCAUUAUGUACACUAGAACCAUAUUAAACAUAUUGUGAUAGAUUGAAUAUGUGCAAUCAAAUUAGAAGCAGGAAAAUCUCCAGGUUCAUUUGAAAGAGGCUGACUUGAACUUGGAUUUGCAGCUUCAAGCAAAGCCACUGGAGGAGAUGGUGAUCCAAAUGAUGUCGCCGUUGAUGAAUUUUGAAGGCUAGAAGGAGAGCGGUCCGGUCACACAAUUGCUUUCUUUCCUCUGGCCAUGAUAGUUUUUGGGAGAGAAUGAUGGAUUGAGGUUUUUAGGGUGAAGACCAGAAGAAGAAUGAUUUAGGGAUUUCAAUUUUGCAUCUUUGAUAUGUGGGAUUUGCUUGGAAUGAGGUUGAGAUUUGAGAACGAUUUGGGUUUCGCACUUUUGCGAACUCAUACUAUAAGAGAGUGAUAGAGAGUUGCACAAAAGAGAUAGAGGUGCAUGAGAAGAGGGUAUGAGUUAGUAUUAGGGUUUAAAUCAAUGGAUUAGAUGAAACAUGUCAAAAUAAGCAAUGGUCAGGAUUAAACCUGAUUGAUUUACAUACGGGACAGGACGGGUCCCGUUGUUUCUCUAACGGGACGAGAUGAGAUAGGCCUAGUAGUAAUUGCUCCAUAGAUCCUAUAUCUAUCUAUAUGAAGAAGAAAUCAUGUAACGAGGUGGGUUCUUAUUUGUACAAAUGGUACUUCGAACUUGGAACGAAUAUGAAGAAAUUAACGAUACUUAAAGAUCUUUUGAGUUGUUCUGCCGGAUCGGUCGCUCAGUAGAGCUCCAUCCUAUACUAUAUUAUACCAACCCCCCCCUAAAAAAAAAAAGGGUUACAGCGGAAUAGAACAAAUGAUGUCGAGCUAAGAGCACUUUCAUUCCUAUAUAAUAUAUAUAAAAAUGGUGGAUGUAAGACUCCACAGCGGAUCAUGUCCUUCAAGUCGCAUGUUGCUUUCUACCACAUCGUUUUAUUUUUAGUUUUAAAUCCCGUCUCAUCUCGUCAACUUUCGGGAUUUCGGUUUUUUAUGUCCAGCCCUACAAAAAUUCACCUAGCCACCAUUUUUGUAUCAAAAGGAAAAGUCCGAUUGCAAAAAUUAAAUAGAUAAAUGAAGUGAAAUAGAGACUGGACAAAAUUGUAAGGCUGGGCAUGGGACGGGAUAGAGCUAAUCCCACGGCCCGUCCCGGACAUUGAAAUCGGGACGGGCUUUGCGUUUUUUAGAUUUCAUCCCACCCGGGCCCUAUCAUGGUCAGGACAGGAUGGGAUGGGUCCAGUCCCAGAUAAAAAAAGUUGAAAAUAAACUUGUAAGCAAAAGAAAGAGUUUUAUAAUUUUAAAGUGCUCUCUACUCUAUUAUGUAUUAACAAGUACUUGUAACAUAUUAGCAAGUACAACACGGUGUAAUAAGAGAGUUUAUAUUAUAAACUUUCUCUAAACAUGUCAUCACUACUAGGGUGCAAGAAGAAAGUCUACAACAAUCAACAAAUUAAAGUAUUAAACAUCACUGUUAUUGAAUUAGAGACAACCUAGUAACUUAAAGAAACAAAGAGGUAAGAUUAAAACACUUAAAUGAAAGACUCAAAUCACAUCUUAAUCAAUAAAAAAAUCAAUCAUUAAAAUAGUUAUGACGGGACAGGCCUAAACGGGACUUGAAUUAUCCGUCCCGUGUUCCGUCUCGUUAUAUAAAAACAGAACAGAACGGGUCUGACGUUUUGAGAUUUAAAUCUCGUCCCGUCCCGGCAAAUUUCGAGACAAGCCCAAGAUGAGUUCGAGAUUACGGUUUUUUAUACCCACCCCUACAAAAUUGUGCUUAGGCCAUUUGCUUUGCUUCACGGAUGGGUUGGAGUGUUGGACUUCGUGUGAGAAAGUGCUUGGACCAUAAUAGUGUCAUACUCCAUGGUAUGGAACUAUAGAAUAGACUUAACGUUAUUACGGAAAGCAACGAUAAAAGGUCCGAAUGAACCUUGAAGAAAUAAAUGAACAUAGAGGUCUAAGUAGGGUAUCAAGGGUUAUGAUCGUUAUAUUGGAUUAUGGUGACUUGGUUCGUUGGUUGCACUUCUAAGUAAGUCGAUGACUUGAAAACAACUCAUGUCCAAGGAAACGUUAGUAUGAAAUGUCAAUUAUAACAAAUAAAAGUUUUGUGGGGAACAAAUGGUAUAUGUUUGUAUAGGAUUUAUGUGAUCAUGUAAAUAUGUGAUACAAAAAAUUGCAAGAAAAAGAUUUAAAAUUGUGAUUAAAACUGGAUUUCCGAAACUUUUCGGAUUGAAACCCAAACACCUCAUUUCCGAUCCAACCCAGGCCAAACUCAACAUUUCUUUUGGAUGUGUUCUAACACUCCACAUUAUAACAUUUCCACCUCUAAUCACAAUUACCCGCAACUAUCCUCCAAUGCGACAUGGCUCGUAAAUUAUAAAUAAGGAAUAAUAUCUUAUAAUUUUAGCAUUUUGAAAUUAUAACAAAAAUGGCAAGUACUCUAUUUCCAAAAUAUUUUGGAUUGAAAUUUGAACACCUUAUUUUUGCUCUGACCCGAAUAAUUAAGGUAACACUCCACACCAGAAUGUUCCCAUCUCUAAUCACAACCACCCAUGUCAGCAUUUCCUAACCUUAAUUCGCAAUUCUAAAUUUUGGAACAAUAUCUCUUAAUUUCGAUAUUUAUAGAAAUUCCAAUUGGAAUGACAAUUAUUAAAUUCCAAAACUUUCGGUUUGAAAUUCGAAAAACUCUUUUAUGAUUUGGUCCAAGCCAAUUACACCGUUUCUUUUAAACAAGGUUCUAACACUACUCGUCAAACUUUUCUCACCUCUAAUCACAAUCGUACAUGUUAGCAUUUCACCUUUAAUCACAAUCACUCACAUUAACAUCCAACCUUUAAUCACAAUCACUCGCGUCUACGUCUCUUCAAACGUGACACAACUCCCAAAUCAUGAAAUUGGAAUAGUAUCUCAUUAUUUCAAUAUUUUGUAACUAGAUUUGGAAUGACGAUUACUCGUUUACCAAAACCUUUAAUCACAAUCACUCACAUUAGCAUCCAAUCUUUAAUCACAAUCACUCGCGUCUACGUCUCUUCAAACGUGACACAACUCCCAAAUCAUGAAAUUAGAAUAGUAUCUCAUUAUUUCGAUAUUUUGUAACUAGAUUUAGAAUGACCAUUACUCGGUUACCAAAAUCUUUCGGAUUGAAAUUCGUACACCAUAUUUCCGAUCCGACCCAUGACAAAGACACUAAUUUUCGGAUAAGAAUUUUAACACUCCACGUCAGAACGUCCCGACCUCUAAUCACAAUCACCCACAUCAGCGGCCCCACCGGAAAACCUUCUCCUCAUCCAGCUCACACGUCCCACUGUUAAGUUAAACCAGAAAUCCCAAACCCUAACCCUAACCUGCGACUCAAACUUCUUCUUCUUCAUCCUCAUUUCCCCAAACAUCCAAUUCCACCAAUUGAUACACUCUUCAUCUCUUCAGAAAUCCACAAAGACCUCUCCUCCUAUCCCCAUGGACGGCUCAGUGGACCGAAGUAAUCCACCGCCGCAAACGGCGUGCACGGCCAACGGAAACGGCGUCGUUUCGAAGACGAGGCUGAGACUGAAGCCGGAGAAGGAGCACAAGUCGGAUAGCUACAACGACCUGCAGCAAUUGGAUUUCAGUCCUCUGCUCUUCAGCUCGCUCGAGCAUUACUUGCCGGCGAACAUGCUCAAUGUGCCGCGUGAGCUCAAGCUCCGGUACAUGAGGGACAUUCUGCUCCGGUACACCUCCGAGGGCGAACGCAGUCGUGUAAGAAAUUACGAUUGUCUCCUCGCUUUCUUUCUCUGUUUGGAAAUGCAAGAUGAUCUGGCUUGAAUGUGAAUGUGGAUGUUUUGGGAAUUCUGUGCUGUAUCGUUUUCAAUUUCUUGGAAUUGAGUGUGUGAAAUGAGCAGGCUCUGCUGCAAUUGAUGUAGAAUAGGUAAUCGUAUCGCCGUAGAUUGCUGAUAGGCAUUGGAUUUACGACUUGGUGUUUAUGUGAAUGCUGAUAUUUGUGUGUAUUUGAUGUGGAAUCUGUUUCUGUGUAUCAGAUUAGAAAUUGUGUUUACUUCGGAGCACAAUGUGCAAUGUUAUCGGGUUAAUAUAGUCAAUGUAGCAUCAUUUUGCUCCGCAAAAGGCUGAUGGUUGUUUUCUGUCUGAAUGAACAGAUUCAGCGGCAUAGAGAAUACAGAGACAGGAUCACAUCAAGCUAUCAGGUUCGUUUAAUUGAAGAUGCUUGGUUGAAAGAGUUUGGUAUAAUCUUUACACAUGUCUGACUACUUCUGCAAUUUAGGACUUGAGAGUUUGUCUAUACUUCAUGUAAGCAUAAUAUACCGGCAUUGGUUUCCAUUUGCAUAUGUUGUCUUCCUUAUCGUUCCUUCCUCUUUGUAGUAUCUGCACGAGGAGCUAUACACUAUGCAAGCUGAACAAUUCUUUGUCCCGUCAUUUCUCAAUGUCAUCAAUGAGGGCACAGAGGGUACUUUUAGAAGUAUACUCAACGAACCCUCUCCUGGAAUCUUCACAUUUGAAAUGCUUCAGCCGCGUUUCUGCGAAUUGUUAGUAUCCGAGGUAUCAUGUUUGGGUUUAGGAGUUUAUCUUUCCUGUAUAUUUGUCUUCCUGUUUGCUUACUUGAUUCUGAUUAUUUAGGUUGAGAAUUUUGAAAGGUGGGUCCAUGAGACAAGAUUCAGAAUCAUGCGACCAAACACAAUGAACAAAUUUGGUGCUGUUCUUGAUGACUUUGGCUUUGAAACUAUGCUUGACAAGUUGAUGGAGGAAUUUAUACGCCCUAUAUCUAAAGGUAUUGUCUCAAAGUUGUUAUGAAAUUAUAAUAAAAUCUGGAAGUAUUACAUAAAGGUUUUUGAACUAAUGAUAUACUCUUAUAUCUUGAGUGGAAAUGUUAUGUAGUUCUCUUUCCAGAAGUUGGUGGAGCCACACUGGAUUCACAUCAUGGUUUUGUUGUUGAAUAUGGAAUGGAUAGGGACGUUGAGCUUGGUAGGUGCUACUUAUCUGAGAUUUUGGAUUUCAAUAACUUCCCAUUCUUUCCUUCUUACUCCAUGCAGUAAAAGUGUAGAGUAAUGCUGGAUCUUUGAUAUCUAACAGGUUAAUGUACUGUAUUUCUUAAUUCUACUGAUUAUAGUAAGCCCAAAAAAUAAAAUCAUCUUUCACAUAUACUGCUUCCUUGCUUAGCUGACACCAUUUCUCCUUAUUUAUUUUACAUUAUGUAUGCAAACUCUUUCAUUUCCUCUCUGUUCUGAAGCGUUUAUGGACCAACCAUAGUUUUUUAUUGUAGGUUUUCAUGUCGAUGACUCGGAAGUCACCUUGAAUGUUUGCUUGGGUAAGCAGUUUAUUGGUGGGGAGUUGUAUUUUCGAGGUGUUCGAUGUAAUAAGCAUGUGAAUUCAGCGACACUCUCAGAGGUAUGCUAAUCUUUAAGAUCAGGUUUUUCAGUACAGUUGGAUAUGAGGCCACUUUUUUUGAACUUUUGAGAAGUACAAGUGCUUCAGGCUAUCGUAUUGGGUAAUGUUCUACUUCAAAAUAGCUUGUUGCAUCUUCACUAUAAAUUGAAAAUUUAAACCACAGAAUAUGGAUAUGCGCUAUGAAUGUUCUUUCUGAUAUAGACUGGCAUAUUUAAUUUUAAUUCCCUUGUUCACUUAUUAAUAGGACGCUUUUUGUUCUUAUAGGAAGUCUUUGAUUAUCCUCAUGUUCCGGGACAUGCAGUUCUUCAUCGUGGUCGCCACCGACAUGGUGCUAGAGCUACAAUAUCUGGGCGUCGAACCAACUUACUACUAUGGUGCAGAAGGUACCUUUCUCCUUCACCUUUUGUCCCUUUAAUGGACUUUAAUAAAAGUGUUAAUAACCUAACACAAAGGUUUCAAGGAUCACACCCUUUUGAGGUUUGCACAUCAAUUAGUUGCUCUAUGUCAAAAUGUUAUCCAGUUAAUUCAACUUAUCAGUUUCUUUAUGCAUCAAAGUAUUCGGAACUCAAUGUUUUGGACAAGUUGGAUGAAAUAUCAGAAAUCUAGGGGUUUCGUAAUGGAUGGAUGGUUUUCCCUAAGCAUAUAUUCACGAUUGACUUCUCAACUGAUUGUGAUUAAUCCACAACAUACUCAAUUGUGUGGAAAAUGUAUGAUGUCUUUUAAAAAGGAAAAAAAAAAAACUCAACAGUCUAAGGAUAAGUAACUUUCGGAUGUUGUUCUGGUUUCAGCAUUGGGAAUCUUACACUUGCAUUAUGAUGUAAAUAGCAGCCAAUGAAAAGAUAUUAGGUUCUUAGUUCAUUUUGGUACCAGUAGUUAGAAGCGUUUCUAAGUCAAUACUUGGGUUCUACUGCAAGGAUUAUUUUGAUUAAUUAGAGCUGUUCUUGUUGAUCAAUUUGCAUCUACAAUCUUCUUGUAGUUCGGUCUUUAGAGAGCUGAGAAAAUAUCAAAAAGAUUGUUCUAGCUGGUGCGGAGACUGCCAUCGGGAGAAGAAAGAAAGACAGCGCCAAUCAGUUGCUGCCACCAAACUGGUAUUGAAAAGUUUGAUAUGAAGAAGAGACUAGGAAAUAGUAAUCAGCACAUGUUUAAUGUUUGGCAUACAUUAAUCUCGUGUGGCAUCUGAUGCUUUUCAGGAAUUACUUAACAAUGAUGGAUACUAGAGCUGUUCGACAUGCAACUUUUGCUUGUGAAGUUGUAAAUUUACAAAAUUCUCAUCUUUAUCUCAACAUAUAGAAGAAUUUUCAGUCUAUCCUCUCAAUUUUAAUUUCAGUAAUAAAUGUAGCUAGGCUAUUUCUUAGUAAUGAACUCUGCAUUCAAUGCUUUUGCAAGGUAGUUGUUACUAGUUCAUACACAGUUUCGUCAUGUAAUUGUGCUGGCCUUUUCGUAGUUAGUUAUAUACUUUAUGCGCUUUAGAUUGAUGUAGUUUCCUCUGUUCAGUAUGUGCCGACUACCAUGACCAACCGGACAUACAAAUGAUCCAAGUCCAACGUUCUUUCCCUGCUCAGUAGGUAGGUCUACUCAGAUCCCCACUAGAUUGUGAUUUAUCUUGUGUUAAUGAUAGAAGCAAGCCAAACAAUAUGUUGCCUAAAGCCAUAUACCAAACGUUAGUGCAUGAACCUGUCAAUUUGUUUUUGGUCACUAUGAACCUGUGGAUUAUAUCGGCAGGGACCAGAUAGCAUAUCUCUGUGUUGUGCCAUUCAUUUUCUUUCUGACUUGGUAGUUCUGGAGGUGGAAAGUGAACACGUUCUUGUUUUGUUCUUAAAUUUCCAAGACAGGUGUUUUAAACGCAUAUUUGAUGACAAUGUGAUUUGCUUACUUAAGUAUACAAGUGAAAGUGAUAUUCAUGUCCCUCUGUUUUUGUUAAAUGAUAUAUUCUGCCUUGGUGGCCUGUCUAGUGCAAUGAAAUAUAAUGAAGGAUCAUAUGAUUCUACGAGUUUUCGCCAACAUUUCAUACCUACCUAAUCUCUUUGGGAAUCUUCUGGGUUUUGCAAGACCUGAAUGCAUUGCAUCCUCUAUUGAAGUUAUAAAUGUCUUCAGGUCUAUUCAUAUGGGUGCCUUAGGAUUAUAAUAUCUUCCCCCAAAGGCUUUCUUGACCUUACCGUGAUUAGUUUACUUCAAUUCAAGUGAUGCAUAAUUCAUUGCUUGUAGGUCUCCUACCGAUCAUUGUCAUCAGCCUCUUUAUCAUCAAUCAAAUUAAUACCAUCUGGAUCCUUCUAAGAAGUUAUUAGACCAAUUUGUUUGUAGAAUAUGCAUGAUUGGUACAACUCUUCUAUUUUCUAAUCGUCAGAGCAGGCAGCUCCAAGCACUUUUAUGUGGACCAAACGCAACUCAAGCACUCGGUGGCGUUCGAGUUGUGUUGUUAGGUAUAAACCAAGGACGUGGAAGAGAAAAUCAUACGUCGAUAAAGCGAUUCAACACUCCAUAAUACUAACAUUAAAUGAGUGGGUAUAUAAUUUACUAAUAACACAGAGACUUUGUCAAAUGAUUAAGAUGAGAAGAUUAUGGGCGUCAUGUUAAAGAUAGAAAAUUUAUUAGAAAAUAAAGAAUUAAACGGUAUUAGCUAAUGUGUGAAAGCCGAAAGGAAAGAGCAAUCACAACUAGAAACCCACCUAAAUAAUUUAAAAGUUUGAAAAAUGUUAAAAAAUCAUUGAAGUUGCAACACGGUUUUUCUUUUUCUAGACAACAGUAAAACUCAUCUUGAACCCUUAAAUUUUGAAAGCCGGGCAUGAGCCUAUCGAGUAUCGUACUCGCAUUCUGUUGAGUUCAUGUGGUAUACAUCAAAAUUCUUUGUUAUAUACUUGUAUUUUGUUGUUUGAUUCUGGAGUUAUGUUUAAAUCGACCACUCUAUCAACGUUGUGUGGUCCUAUAUGAACGAAUUUUAUAGAUCUGGCUAACCUAGCAGGAAGUUGACAAGACAACAAAAUGGGUAAGUAUGAGACUUGAGACCACAUCCCACAUUAGAAAUCAUAAUAGGGAAAAUAAAAACGAAAUGAAAUGAAAAAAAAAAAUGAAAAUAGCAGUUUGCAUGUAUUGUAUUUGGGGACGGUGGAGAUUGCUUCAUGCCUACAUGCAUCUCUCUUAACCGUAUUGUAUAAUUUGAAUUUAUAUAAUCGCCUCUUGCUAAAUUAAUAUAUGAAUAUAUGGAGUCUUCUGGGGUCUUAGAUGAUAAUCCUAAUUAACUAUGUGGUCUUGAUUUCGGAUAUGGAUUAUUUAGUGAGCAAAGAGAUCUUGGAAAAUCUCUUUGGCUGUCUUUGAUAAUUGUCUAAUCACACCGCCCAAUAUGUUGUUUGUUAUUAGAAGUCUAUCUUGGUUUAUUAACUAAACCACUUGUUGGAAUUUCUUCUGACAACUACCAUUACCUCCCAUAAUGCAGCAUGCUGCCGUGAUUUACAAACACAACUGCCUAAUGCGCAGCCUAAUUUUUUGAAAUUAUCCAUGCAAGUUGUUUUCCAAGAGUCUAAUCAUAUACAAAAAUAUAUAUGAAGAUGGAUGUUAGCAAUUUUCAAGUCGAGCUAUUGGCACUACUGGAGUUCUUGUUGCAUAAGCGACUGCUGCUCUUCAUCAUGAGGUGUCCACUCAGUCGUUUUUAACCAUUUCAGAGAUGAUGUUGUGGAAGGCGAUUCAAAGUUGCUCAUCGAUUGCUUAUUACACCAGCGGAUGUCUGUUUCUUAGAGGAUUAAAGUACACUCACGAAAUCCUCAAACUUGGUCCACGGUUUGACUCCAUAGUCGACAUAUGUUAUGUGAAGCUAGUUUUGUUGCAGAUUGUCUGACUGAUUUUUCUCAUUCUCAUCCUAUUCUUUCGGUAUGGUUUCACUGUCUCCCCUUUAUUAUGUCCCUAACGUUCUAUUAGGUGUCCCUUGCGGUUUUGUUUUGUAGUAAUUUUACUCUUCGAAAAAAAUUGUCAAGUAUGUUAAUGUUGUUUAAUUUGUUUGUAUACCAUAUGAUGUGUACAAGUGUGAGUUAGUAUGUGUGGUGUCUUAGACGAAAUUUUUCUUGUACUCUAUUAUUAUGAACUUGAAGAAAUGAACGAUUGAUGCUAAUUUGGAUCUGAGAAGCAAAAACAAUCCAUCUAUAAAUUGAGAUUGGAUUGGAGAAGGAUGCACGAUAAAUCUUUCAGCAAGGACAUAGACAAGUCAGACAAAAAAACAAGGACAUAGACAUGUAACAUGGUCCAAGAAUCAUAAUUCAAGCUAUAUAUUGGUUUUUAACUUUUUAUCCUUGUAACCUUGUUUUCCCCCAAUUAAAAUUUUGAAAGUAGCUAGGUCUUUUUCUUACUUUGUAAGCCAGAUUGAAAACCCACAAAAUGCAUCGGAUUGGUUUUUCAUUACCACCCGUAUAUUGCUUUACAAAUUACAAUCACAACCACCUAGUUUAGAGCCUAACUUUACAUUUCAUGUAUGCCAAAAGACUGAAAAUUAUGAUUAGAUUGAAAAAACAUAAAGAUGGGGGCGGCGAAGUUGUUAGCAAUAGGCCAAUAGUUGAGUCUUCAAUUUUGUUCACCAAUCACCGUAUGAUGUGUUUAGUUACCUAUUAGUAUAUAUUUGUCGGUGAGUCGUGACCUGGUUAGUUAAAAUGUUAGCUAAUAAUUUUAAAAUCAUGAGUUCAAACCUCAUUGAUAUAUGUAGGGUGUGUGAGUUAUUUAAUAAAAAAGUUUUAAAAAUAAAAUAAAAUGAAAUUAGCAUGGUUUCUUGAUUGAAGUGUGCUAUGCUGUUGUCAGUCGUGAUUACCUUGUCAAUAAUUGACCGAAAGAUUUACGAUCAGUCACUAUUAGUAUAUAUUUGUCGGUGAGUCGUGACCUGGUUAGUUAAGGUGUUAACUAAUAACUUUGAAGUCAUGAGUUCAAACCUCAUUGACAUAUGUAGGGUGUGUGAGUUAUUUAAUAAAAUAAAAAAAUGAAAUUAGCAUGGUUUCUUGACUGAAGUGUGCUAUGCUAUCGUUAGUCAUGAUUACCUUGUCAGUAAUUGACCGAGAGAUUUAUGGUCAGUCACUUAUUAGAUAUAAAUAAAUCUAAUGAUGAAGAGAAUUAUUUUUUAGAGUUGUUUUAUUUUCAACACUUGGAUGUAAUUGUAACUGUAACUGUAAUUGAUCAUGAAUCUCUUGAUUAGUAACUGUUCAGGUGAACAAUACUGCACAAUUGUGAUAUACCUUAUAUAUAUGUCAAGACUAUUUAAAGUGUUUAAAAUGCUCGGAUCUUAUUUAUAAUUUAUAACAACGUCCAUCGAUAUCAUAUCAUCAUAUGGGUUUGGAUUGAAUCGGAAAAGAACGGACGACAUUACUUUCAUGAUAGGACGUAAACAUGUAGCAUGGUCCAAGAAUUAUAUUGUCCAAAUUAAAAUUUGAGAUUAAAAGUUGUAAGCACAAAUGAGUCAUGUAUUUGUUUUUUUUAGUUCUAUAUUUGUUAAAUAUGUACGUAGGACGAUAUAUCUAUCGUACGACCUCAAUGUAUUGGAAGUAAACAAAGGCAGAUGGUGAUAGGUAUUGCAUGGUCUAAACUACUUCAUUUUAUGCUAAUUUUAGUAAUUUAUUUCGAAGUGAUAUCCGAUUGUUGCUGUUUGUUUAUUCAUUCGAGUCUAACGAAUGCGUGCAAGAAUUCAUCGUUGAUUAGCUUACGCUAAACCUUACGUGUAACCAACUAACCAUAAUUCCAUUUCAAACUGAACCUUGGAUAAAUUAGAAACCAUAAGCACGAAUAUUAAGACUCACUUCCUCCCCGUACGGAGACGUCCACUUGAAGACGGACUUGAUUUCAGAGGUUAAUUUACUUAUAAACUGGAUAUUAGGAUUGGUUUGUAAUAGAGAAACUUAGCAAAAUAGUUUCAUUUCUUCAUUUCUUCAUGUCUAAAAUAAAAAUAAUCUCUUCUUAUAUAACGUGGAUCAUUUCUAAAAAUAGGCAACAUUUCGUGAAACGUCAGAGUUGUGUAUUUUUCUGCUGAUUUAGUGCAUCGAUAUCGUAAGAUGUUAUAAAUGAAUUUUAACUUAUACUUACGCGUAACGCAUGCAUAGAAGUUUGUAACAUUCCAUAAUAUCUGAAACACAAAGCCUUCUUUGAUGUCAUUAUUGCCAAAAACAGUUAGCUUUUCAUGUGAAAUGUCGUAGAUGCGUCUUAUCAGGCGAUUUUGUGUGUCGAUUUCCUCAUGUUUUAUGAACAAAGUUUGACGCAUUGUAACAAAUAUUUAGAGUUCGGUAACAUUUCACAAGCCUAGACUUUCAUAAAAACCUAACCCAACCUUAUCCACCUCUCUGUCCCUCGCUCCCCUACCUUCUAUGAUGGGAUCAUUGCCAAAAAUAGACAACUUUCUACAUGAAAUUUCGUAGAUAUGUUUUAUCUGUUGAUUUUGUGUGUCGAUUUCGUAAUUACAAACAAAGUUUAACGUAUUGUAACACAUACUUUUACAAAGUUUCACAAAAGAUGAAAAGCCUAGAUUUUCAUAGAAACACGAUUCAACCUUAUCUGCCUCCCUAUCCACCCUAAAGCUUGUUUUCUAACCCAUUUCCAUUUUUGUUAAUUACCUCAUAACUUUGAAACUUCACUAACUGAACUUCUCUUUUCUUUUCUAAUGCAAUGGAUGAACAUUAGAGUUGGAAGGAGAAGUCAUCCUAUCUUUUGUUGAAAAAGACGCACACAAGACGGAACAAACAAUCGAGAUUCUCGAGUGAUAAAAUAUCAUCACAAAUCACAAUAGUACAGUAUUGAGACGUACAAGUUAUAAAUAAUAAGAGAUUAUCCCCGAUUUAGGGAUCAAUAAACUCUAAAUCUAGUGUUACGACAUUCUUAAAAUGAAGUGUUCGAUUUGGUUAAAAUAAGCGAAUCUAACCAAAAUAACGUCAUAUUUCAUGUUUUAAACAAAACCAAUCUUAUCCAAUAACGUCAUCGCCAAAAAUAUCUAAGUUUCCCAUGUGAAAACUAUCGAAAUCGCGGCUUAUUUUCUGGCUUAGUGUGUUGCUUACGUAAGUCUCGUUGAUGAAAUUCGACGCCUUAUAUAUUGUGAUGUAUAAAAUUUCGUAAUGUUUCACGGUAGACACCAAACUCUAACCUUUGUGUUUGCCUCUCUGUCCCUCCCUCGACUCACACACGUAUUAUUUUUCCGCUUUCCGAUUCCCAUUUCCCCUGGCCUCUCCGUUGUAGUUGAAAUUACCUCACAGCCCCUCAUUUGCCUAACUAUAGCACCACAUAUAUAUAUCUGGCCUCUCCUCCCUCCUUCCUUACUCUUCUCCUUCUUCUUCUUCUUCUUCUUCUAGCUAAGCUAGGUGUCCUCCACACUCCACCACCAAUCUCAACUACAACAUCAUCAUCAUUUACACCGAGAGAUCAGAUUAAGAUCAAGAAUGGGGUUACAGGGCCAGAUGAGCGACUUGUCGUCCGACUCCAUCCCAAUCCUCCUCCUCGCCGUCGUCGCCACCUUCGUCAGCCACCUCCGCUCCUCCCUCUUCUCCUUCCUCCACUCCCUCGGCCUCUGCCGACGACCCGACCGCCGUGCUCCCCCCACAGACGACGGACUCCUCACCGCAGUCGGGUCAGGACUCGCCGGCCUCGCCAUCCUCGCCGAGCAGCUCAACCUCAACAGCCUCUUCUCCUACCGCUACGACCACAGCCGCCACCGCGAAGGCGCCGUCCCCGACUGCAUCGUCUGCUUGUCCGCCAUGAAAGACGGCGACCGUGUCCGCAUGCUCCACUGCCGCCACCUCUUCCACAAGCACUGCUUCGACGGGUGGCUCGACCAGCUCAACUUCAGUUGCCCUAUCUGCCGCUCCCCGCUCGUACACGAGGAGCGCGUGAACCAGACGCGCCGCCGCGUGGGGGGUGACCUUGUCAACUGGUUCUCGCUGCGCACCAAUUGAAUCUAUCUAGCUAGCGAAUGAGGUUGCAGUGAUGUUACGUCGAUGAUGAUGAUAGGCCGGCCACUAGCCACGAGAUUACGAUAGCUAGCUGGUGCCUGGUGGUUUCUUAAUUUCUUCCUUUUUUUUCCUCUUUUUCUUUUUUAAUUUUAUUUUUUAGAUUUCAGACAGUUGUUGGCAGUUUUUGUCCUUCGACUUUCUUUCUUUCUUCUUUUUUUUGGUCCCUCCAAAUUUUUGUCUUUAUAUUUCUCCUUUUUUUUUUUUGAAAAAACUCUCUGGGUUUUUUUUACUGAUGUUGGCUCCUGGGUUUUUCUUGAUAAUAAUAAAUAACAAGGAACCGAGUCUCCUUAAAUCAGUACCGAGUUGUUUACUCUGAAUCUCUGAUCAUUUCAUUACUCGCAUGCAGCUUGUGUUGAUGGUUAAUCCGGAUAUAUUAAGCAUAUAUAGUUACAAAAAAAUAGUUACAAGAGAGGAAAGAGUAAUUAUACUAAUACACUGUCUACUCAUUCCUUCUAACUUUAUAAGUAAAGAUACCGUCGCUUUUAAGUAUAAAUGAGAUUUUAAAUACUAUACACGACAUUUAUUUUAUAUUAUUUUGAAUUACAAGAAACGAGAUCAAAUGUAAAUUGAGCUCAAGAAAUUUUUAAUGGUGUUAUUCCUCUCCGGUUGUAGAUGGUUUAACAAGGCCACUUAUUACUGCCGUCGAUGAUAAAAUUCUGCUCAUUAUUAAUGAAUCAUUCUUUUAAUAAAAAAGAGAAACUCUUAGAAAAACUAACACGAAACCGAUCAAAAUGAAAGGCACUACUUAUAGUUAAGUGAGUGAAAUACACAUGCCACAUUUAUACAUUUCUAUGUUUAGCUCUAACUGUACCCGCAGCCACUACAUAAUUAGUGUUUAGAGAAACAUGUCAGCUUUCUGGAUAAGGUGAGAUGCAUGUUUUUUUUUAUUGGCGAUAGUUAGAUUUUGCCAUUACCAAUUUACUAGUAAUAACAAGCAGCUUGAGAUUCCCUUUUGUAAGUUUCAUCCACUGUCUUGUGCAACCCUUUCCUAAGAGAGCAACAAAAACGUGACUACUUUUCAUUUCAAGACAUUGAUAGAAUCUAUGUUGGUGGAUGUAGAAAGUUAGGAACAUGCCCAUAGAUCUAUGCCUAAUACUUGUUUCAGUCGUUUGGGGUUGAUUACGAACUAAUCGGACAACAAGACAUACCCGAAUAGCCGAAUCAAUAUUAUUCGAUCAAAUGUGGUUUGUAUUUGGUUCAAUGGCUCCAUGUUAACUGCUGACAUUAAGAAAAAUUGAGAACUAACAAACUAUGUGAUUACAGCUUAGAGCAAGUUCACCCGUUGGGUUAGAAUGAACAUAGUGACCUGGGUCAUUCUGGGUUACUGUGACUGGACAGCGGUUUUCACCCGUCUGAAAUGUGAGAUUGCUGCCACGUGGCAGUGACUGUUUAUUGAAUUUAAAAAAACGUUUUUAAGUGUAAAUAAUCGUUUUAUGUAUAAAUAAAUAGUAAUUUAUAUAUAAAACGUUUUUUCUUUUUAGAAAUGACAAUUAUUUUUCACACAGUAUAAAUUUAUUUAUUUUUACAGACUUUCCUAUUUCUACAUGUUAUUGAUUAUAUACUUUUCAAUUAUGUGCUAAAUCAAAAAAAGAAAAAGCAUUUGUUUACAUUUGCAUAAAGAGCAAACGACAAAAAGUGAAAGAGGGUGUCAUGGGGCCAGCCCUAUUGCAUGUCCAGUCCAUUUAGAAGAACGUGCUCUUCACGCGGCAAUUGAUACAGCCAAACAGAUGGCUGUGCGCUUCACGCGGUAAUUGGGGGUUGCUGCUGACCCAGCUUGACGUCACCCACGUAAUGGGUUCAGCUGAUGUGGCGCAAGUCGCCUGGGCUGGUGUUCUCCUCUAACCUGGGUCAGUUUGCUCAUUUUUCAAAUAACCCAGGUUGAAUUGGGGAGAUAUCACAUUUGUGGGUGGAAGUAAAAAAAUUUGAGCUGGGUUACUUUGCCUAUGUGGAUCCAACCUGGGUUGGAUUUUUUUCCCACCGGUGGACUUGUUCUUAAUGACUGAAGAUGGCUUCCUCCCACCAACAAAAAACCUAAGAGACUAUUUUGUCGCCAGGCCCAUACAAUGUAAGCCCAAACCAGGCCCAUUAAAUAUUAACACAUAAUAAUCCUCAUUAUUAUCUAGCCUCCAAUGGUGCUACAAAUUUUCCGAUUACAUAGAUAAAGUGUUUGAUGAAUUGCCGCAUAGAAACUAAGGGGCGAUUAGUUAAAACACAUUAUGGGAGAUUCUUCAUCUUGUCGUGUCGCCAGAUGAAAAUUCCACUUCCGGACUACAGGUAACAGGUAGUUCUAUAACUUCAUUACUGUAUAGUUUAACCGUGGUGAUUUUGAAACUCGAAACUCGGUAGUGUAUUGAUAAGGGGAUGAAGAAGCAUUGUCAUUGACCUUUGAAUUCUCUCAUUUGUGCGCAGUAUAGAAGAAUCGCCUAUCAUAAAAUAACAUAUGAACCAAGAUAUGGACACUCUCUUUCUUUGAUUCUGCUCAGUUUUAUAUCCAUUUCUAUCACAUAACGCGUCUCCUCCAAUCCAGAUUUGAAUAUAUUUCUAGGAACUUGCUUGUACCUUGUUCAUAACUCAUAAUCAACUCUGAAACAGGACAGGAAAUAACAUGGAGCAAGGCAUUGAAUCAACCCAAGUCGUUGACUAACCCGAAAAUUAUUAAGGAAUAAGCAGGGUUAUGUUCUUUUAUUUUUUUUCAAAUUUUUUUUUGUAUCAGUAUAAUAGAGCUUAAUUCUGUGUAACAUUAGACAAAUCCAAUUUCUGAACUUCAUCAUGAGGAGUCUGAGGAAAGAAGAAUCAGCAGCUGCGUUAACCAUUCUCCUCUAUUCUGUGCUGACUUCUCUAUUUUUCCUUGCAGUUCAAGCAAGAAGUCAUAAACAGGCAUGUCGUUCUUCGUGUGGAGGUAUUGAAAACAUCAGCUAUCCUUUUCGCCUAAAGGGUGAUCCGGUAGGCUGCGGUGAUCCUGACUAUGAGCUAUCAUGUGUUAACAACAAAACCAUCCUAGAAAUAUUUCCAGGAAAAUACUAUGUAAAGAACAUUUCUUAUGAUGAGAAUGUUAUCCGUUUGGUCGAUGUCAACUUUGCCAAUGGUAGCAGCUGCAGCCUUCCAUCAGGAUCUGUUGUAACGAGGAAUGGAGAUGUCAAGGAUUUGCGCUUUGUGAGGCUUGGCGCCGAGCGUACUUACACACAGUUUGUGAAGUGCUCCAGAAACAUCAGCCAGGCUGAUGUAACAGCUUUUAACUACACAGCCGUUCCAUGUUUGACUGGAGUUAAUGGGACUAAUUACUUCUAUGCUGUUUAUGAUGGUGACUACUUAACUGGUCAUCGUAAACCACCAUGCUCGCUUAUUUCAGUGGCUUCAUCAGAUAAUCAUGAAAAUCUUGUUAAGCCCCUUUCUUAUGAAGCCAUCAUGAAGCACUUGGAGGCAGGGUUUGAUCUCGCAUGGUCCGUUGAGUGUCGCGAUUGUUCUUUAGCUGGCAAAUAUUGUGGAGUAGAUGUAAGUGAUCUGAAUUUGGGUACUAAGCCACUCCCCUAUCAAUGUUCUGAAGGUGAGUUUACUUAAUAAUGCCUACUUUAUCUUUAUCAUGACCAUAUCAAUUUGUCUGUUGGCUCUUACAUAUCAUAUUAUAUUUCUACAGAUUCAGAGUACAAAGAACUCACAGAGCUCCAAAUGAUCUUAAUAUAUGUGGGAAUUUCUUUGGGAGGUAUAAAUUAUACAAGUCUAUACAUCUGGCAAUCUUCCUUUUGGUGAAGUUUAGUUUAACUCCCUUGAAAGUUGGAACUUAUAAGACUGAUUUUUUGUCUGCAUUUUCAGCUCUAUUUGCUUUUGUGCUUAUAGUGGUUUUAUUGGUGUUACGCAUCCGCAAAUGUAUGAGACAAAGACAGCGGGAGAGGAAUCUGCAGAAUCAGCAGCAGUCAUCGACACCAGCACUCCACAGUUCUUGAACUAAUUUGAUACCUUCACCCUCUACAACUAGUCAGCAAUAAUGCUACCCAUCUGAUACCAUCAAUGUAAAAAUGGCUUGUUAGCAGCUUCACAAUUUGUUGGAUUCUUGUUGCUUGAGACCAUAAGAAUGUAACUACAUCGAUCUGUCCCUCUGUGAUGAAUACAAAAAAAGUCUGCAUUUAUCUGUUCCUCAGCUAGUUAUACUUUUCUUCAAAAGCCAAUUAUUUAUUGCUAAAAAAAUGUACAUAAUGUAUUCUAAGGUUGACCCUUUAGUGAAUCUUAACUCUAAAAUCUACAGUCUGUAACAAACAUUAAACCAGAUAAUGAGAGAUAUUCAUACAUACUUAUAUAGUGAACUUCCCUCAAUAUGAAAUUUCCCUCUCACUAUAUUUCGAAUUUUGUGUACUCAUUAGGAGAGAGUCUGUUAUUUAAUAAUUCAAACCAGCUGACUUACACAAACGUUUCAUUUCAGGUAUUGCUUCAGCUAAGAACGAACUUGUCCAUCAUAAGUCAAUUUUGGAAAAGAUAGAGAACAUGGAUCUCUUUGACCAACUCCAAUCCCUUAAUUAACCAGAAUUGCAUGUAAAGCUGAUUCUAUAUUUAUUUGACUUUAGUGGUCUAACAUUUGUCUCUGUCAACUUUAGGUCGAUCAUCUUCAAUUUCAUCAAAAACACCCUUUGACUUCUAAUUUUCAUCGGUCGUGUCCAAACAUUUGUUUUCCUCCGUCAUGUGAUGACUUGCGUUAAAAAGAAAAUCAAAUUUGAAGUCGUUGGGCCCAUAGAAAAAGGACAAAAUAGACAAAUUGCAUUCAAUCUCACCAAAAUCACUAAUGUUAGAGGGUUGUGAUAGGAACGAAUGUAUCGAUAUGGGGGAAAAAUGGUCAAAAAAGUUAUUAUUUUUUUUAGGAAUUUGACUUUCUUCUUGAUACCACGUCAUCACUUGACGGAUGAAUUGAAUGGAGAACGGAGAUUUUAGACAUGGCUGAUGAAAAUUGGGAGUUAAGGGGUGUUUUUGAUGAAAUUGAAAAAAAGUGACUAACAUCAUGAUCAACCUAAAGUUGAUGAGAUAAAUUGAAAUUAGUUCUAACAAAAAAGAGCCGGCACCUUUGGGUAAGGAACCAUUAGCCACACUUAAUUCUUGAAAGUUUAAACAAGUUAAGAAUUUCACUCUUAACUAUGCAAUUUGAAACUCUACAAGAAUCUGCUGCCCCAUGGUUUGGAUAAGUUGUGACUAAUAUAGUGACUAUGUAUAGCAAGAACGUACAAGUGACCUCAUCAAAGAGAGGGUGAAGUUUAGUAGUCCAACCCCAGCUUUGACUGAACUUGUUACAGUGCACUUGAUACAUUGAGGUUCUAUGUUAUAUGGCAUCUUCUUAUAAGUCAUCAUCUUUGAUCAACUUUAACCAAGAAUUAGUUCCUUAAAGCAUGUCACAUAACAAAUGUUUAGUUCCCUCUGCUAUGAUUCCAUUGUAUGUUGACUAAAAACAGUUUUACAGAACUCAUUCCUUGAUCACUUCAUCUCCAUUUUCUCUCUGCCUCAAUUGUGCAACAAAACAAUGCUAACUGUUAGGAGCAAGAAUCAAAGCUACAUUGCUUCCCAUAGAAGAGAAGCUCGACCCCAUUUCUCCAGCGCAGUCAGAGUCCCAAUCGUUGGCUCAUCUGUCUUCAGCUAGUUGACCCUAGUUCUAAUUGAUUGGAUCCAUUUGUUUGUUCUCACAAAUCAUACAUCAAAUCCGAGAUGACAUGCAUUAGAACCAGAACAUCUUAACUAUGCAAUUUGAAACUCUACAAUAUAUGCCAAAACAAAUGUUAUAUCCCUUUUUGUCUGUAUAUACACUCGAUCAUAACAAUGUAUCAAUUUCCAAAUUUGUGGCCGGUAGAACUAUUCACCCUCUUCAUCAUACACAAGACCAUAUCUUUGAUAUAUACAAUACUAUAACAAGGUCCCCUAACUUUCUUCCACUCCCUCGAUCUCUUUCCUUAUUUCGACAAAUCCGUCCCUUCACAAGUUCACAUCUAUAAGAACACUGCAUUAUCCAUUUUAAUUUGUAGUUUCAGACUUUCGGAAAAACGAAAACAAAAAUGGCCACCUUCUCAACUCUAGGCUACUUCCCCAUUACAAAUAAAUUCUCCGCUCUCUCGAAUAGGGCCAGUUAUGACCCGAACAAGAAGAGCCGCAACAACAUCAAUAUCAAUGGUACUUUUACCAAGUACUCCACAAUCAAGGUUGACAUCGUAAGCACUUUAACAUCAGUUGCUUCUGUUACUGAAAAUGGUUACACUAGUGAACAGCAUGUUCAACAAAAUAUUUCGAUAACCAAGCAAUCUGUUGAUCAUUAUCGCCAAGGGAUGAUCAUAGAAGGCGGUGCAGGGUACAGACAGAGGGUGGUUAUUAGGUCAUAUGAAGAUGGUCUUGAUAAAACUGCAACGUUGGAGAGCAUCCUUAAUCUUCUGCAGGUCAUAAUAGAAUAUCAACUUGUUACAUAUACAUGAUGUCCAUCUUAUGCAGAUUAGUACAUUAAUAUUAGAAUUACUGAUUCCUUAGGCAUGUUAUGCAGGAAACAGCAUUGAAUCAUAUGCGGAUGUUAGGACUCAUCAGUGAUGAGUUUGGAGCAACUUAUGAAAUGAUGAAGAAUGAUCUCAUAUGGGUUGUGUCAAUAAUGCCAAUUCAAGUUGAUCGCUAUCCAAGCUGGUAAGUCCAAUCAUCGCAUUGCUGUUAAAAUUCAAUUGCUUCAAAUAAUUCAGUCUCAGCCAAACAUGAGCAGUCUAGCAGUGAUGUUUCCCUUAGUUACUAACGAUAGGAUAAUGAAAUUUUAAGUGGAGAAGAAUCCUAAGGGAAACAAUUGAAUCCUACGAUAGCAAUGAUCAUAGGAUUCUUCUCCAUGUCCAAAACCAUCAUUUCUCUAAACUUAAAAGGCUUGAAGUAAUUGACAAACAACUAGUAAUAGUAUAACAGUAAGGCAACAUUCCUAAAAUCAGAGGGUAGCUUGCGGGUUAUGUGUUUGCCACUGACUCAGUGAAGUAAAAAUUGACAUAAUAUGAAAACACUAUGCAGGGGAGAAAUACUGGAAAUUGACACUUGGGUUGGGGCAUCAGGCAAGAAUGGUAUGCGUCUUGACUGGUUGAUCCGAAGUGAAGCCACAGGUCAUGUUUUUGCUCGUGCAACCAGGUAUGUGAUAAUUUCUUCAGACUCAGUUAUGACUACUUCAUGCUUGAUGAGGCUUUGUAUCUCUUAGUGAUAGCUAACUGGGAUAUUUAAAACAUGGAACAGCACCUGGGUGAUGAUGAACCGAAUGACAAGACGCCUCUCAAAAAUGCCAGAAGAAGUGAGAGCUGAGAUUGCACCUUGGUUUAUACAGAAGCAAGCAAUCACAGAAGAUAACUUUGACAAAAUUGUCAAGUUGGACAGCAAAGCCAAGUACAUGAACAAGGACUUGAAGGUAAAAAGACUCCUACACCUCAAGUCAGGGUUAUAAAGAAUUUUAGCAUAUGCUGAAUAUGCAAUUUUCUACCAUGUGUAGCCCAAGAGAAGCGACUUAGACAUGAACCACCAUGUCAACAAUGUCAAGUAUGUGAGGUGGAUGCUUGAGGUACAAACAAACUAUAUGAUCAACAUUCUUUACCUAGUUAAGUUCUGAUCACUUUUAACUCGUUACUAAUCGGGUAACUCACGUUUUCGACAGACCAUCCCUGACCAAAUUUUAGAGGCACAUCAACUGACAAGCAUUGUCUUAGAGUACAGAAGGGAGUGUGGGAGCUCAGAUAUAGUUCAAUCACUUUGCCAACCCGAUGAAGACGGCAUUCUCAAAGAUGGACUAAAGCAAGAGAAAGAUACCAGUCUAGUAAAAGGGUUUUCCUUGGCAGAGUACAUAAAACCCACUACGCUCCAAAUAAUCUUAAUACUUGUGGGAUUUUUGAGAGGUAUAAUGUAUACAUUUGGCAAUCUUUUGGUGUGAAGUUUAGUUCAACUCCCUUUUGGUAUCUGGAACUUACAACAUUAAUCUUUUUCUUCAUUUUCAGCCCUACCUGGUGUAGUGCUUAUACUGGUUUUAUUGGUGUUCCACAUCCGCAAAUAUAUGUGAAAAGAAUCUGCAGCAAUCUUCGACGUCAAAAAUCAGCAGUUUUUGUACCUUCACCCUCUACAAACUAGUCAGCUAUAAUGUGUACUUGUGUAAGACUAUAAGAAUGUAACUACGUCUGUCCCUUUUCUGUAAAAAAGUGUGCAUUUAUCAAUUUCAAUUUGCAUGGAAAUUCUGUUUAGCCUUGCCUUCAGCUGGUUAAUAUUUCCUUAUAAGGUUGACGCUUGAGUGAAUCUCAACUCUAAAAUCUACAGUGUAUGUGCAGGAAAGGAAUUAACAAACAGUAAACCAGAUAAGUUAUGGCAAAUAAUCAUAUGCAUAUAAAGUGAACUUCCCUCAUUAUGAAAUGCCCCUCUCGAUCACUUCCUUUGCAUUCUAAGUACACAGUAGGGAGAUUCUGUUAACUUGCAUAAACAUUUCAUUUUCAGGUUGGCUUACACUUUCUGAAAGCCAAAUUUUGUUGUCUUUCAGAUUCUCGACACCUCCAAAAUAGGGUACUGCUUCUGCUAGGAACAAACUUGAUGAUCAUAGUCAAUUUUGGAGAAGACCUAGGAACAAACUUGACGAUCAUAGUCAAUUUUGGAGAAGACAAAGAACAUGGAUCUCUAUGACUAUCUACAAUUUACGUAACUAGAAAGGAAUAUGAGUACAGCUGAUUCUAUAGUAGCAUUUGCUCGUGAUAAAAAAGAGUCGGCACCUUUGGUUAAUGAACCAUUAGCCAUACGUAAUUCUUGAAACAAGUGAAGAGCUCUCUGAACAAUCCUAAAGUUAGUACUACUUCUGCUAAUUUUGAGUGAAUAUCAUGAGGAGGCAAGAUGCCAAAAACUGAACUAUUUGAUCUGAUCUUUAUGUUCUAGCUUUUCUGUUUGUCAUUGUAGUUCAAGCAAGAAGACACAAACAAGUCUGUUCACAAUCUUCUUGGUGUGGAGGCAUUGUAAACAUCAGCUACCCUUUUUUGCCUAGAGGGUGAUCCAACAGGCUGCAGCGACCCUGACUAUGAACUUUAAUGCGUCUACACACAACUAUCCUCCAAAUGUUUCAAGAAAUACAAAAAGGAAAAUACUACGACAAUAUCUUCUUCUUUUUUUUAUUAAAUGGGCUGCAUUUAUAUCGAAAAAGUUACAAUCGGUAUGAAGAAUACAGUCACGAGACAUUAACAGACCACUUAACAAACAUCAUACCGACAACUUUCUAGUGGAAGUAAAAAUUCUCCGAUAGCAUGAGACAUGAAAAUGAGCAUUAAAAAUUUAAGACCCAGGAGGCUCCUAGUCUCACAAACUGCUAACAAAGAGUCAAAGACCAAGAAGACAACAGAAGACAAGCAAAAGAAAACAAAAGGAGAUACAACACUCCUCCUGGGUCGACACUGCCAGACCCAAGAUAUUCCUCUAAGGCCCAAUCCACAUCAAAUCAGCCCAAAACCGAGUCACCUCGAAGAGAUCGAUAGGAUGAGAUGGGACUGUUAUUGACCUUUGAAUUCUAAACAAUUCAUUGCUUCCAAACAUUUCAUUUGAGGUUGCCUUGGAAUUUCGAAAUCCAUAUUUCACAUUCGCGUCUCCUCCUUGCUAUAGGAAGUUUAUUGUUCAUAAUCAAACUAAAUAUGGAAAAGACAGAGAAAUUUAUAUUGUGAUAUUUGAUUCAGGUGAUUGAAAUUUGCACUCUCAUCUUUACAAUUCACACUUUUUAUUUUGUUUUGUUUUAUAAUAAAUUUAAAUUUUUCUUUACUCACGUAUGUUUUAUCUUUUUGUGAAAUCUUUAACUAAAAGAGGAAAAAUGGAGUGUGGAUUGUAAAAUGGGGAGUGAAAUUCAAUGUGUAAAGCACUAUAUACCGAUGUACUCAUAGAUUAGUGAUGUUUUACACAAAAUAUACUUCUAUAUAUCGUUCUUUGUUUCUUUUUCUUUUAUAUACCAAAACGGAAAAUGCUAUAGAGUUAUAUAAUACAAAAUUUAUUAAGAAAAGCCAAUGCUAGGUGAACCACCUAAUCUAAAUAUUGUCACUCAUUAAGUAUUUAUCAUUCAUUGAGUGAAGAUUUCGUUCAAGAUAUCUUGAUACGAUAUUAAUAAUAACCUCUUAUUUAUUAAUUCUUUUGAGAUAUUCGGAUCUUCAUUCUUCAGCAACAAUUGUAACUACGCGUAUACGAAACUGGCCGGUAUUCCGGUCAACACCAGCCAACUAAUAAAUGCCCAUUUGCAGAGGCUGGUGAAGGAGCUAGUCUUAUCUUGGAUUUGGAUAGAGGAAGAGUCACUUUCGACGGCUGAGAUAGUGUCAGCCUUACACUGUGAGGUCUGAUUUGGUUCUAGUCUUCCUCAAAGGGAAAGGAGUCCUCCACCAUCCUUUGACUUUUCUAACUCAUACUCGGUAUUAUUGACCUUUCAAUUCUCAUUGUGAUAUAUAGAAUGGACAAUCUUAUAAUCCUUUCUCAUCGAUCGAUCAUCUGCUCAAUUCUUAGCUCAUCCCAACAUUUCCUAAGCUUUCUGGAAUCCAAACCCAAGUUUUGAAAGUUGUUCUACUAGCUUAUAUCAUGAGGAAACGCUCUACAUCAGUCGCAUCAAUCAUUCUUCUCCCUGUCCUUAUCUUCUCCCUUUUUCUUAUCCAUGUUCAAGGGAAGUUGAAUGAAGCUGGCUGUUCUUCUUCCUGUGGAGAUAUUGACAACAUCAAGUACCCUUUUCGCGUUAGAGGCGAUCCAUCCGGCUGCGGUGACCCCGACUAUGAAUUCUCAUGUGUCAACAACAAAACCAUCCUCGAAAUAUUUCCGGGCAAAUACUAUGUCAAGAGCAUUUCAUACACUGAUAAUCUACUCCAUUUAGUUGACGUCAACUUCGCAAACGGAAGCUGCAGCCUCCCAUCUGGUUCUCUUAAAAAUAGGGAUGGUGUUGCCCAAGACUUUCGUUACAAGGGUGAAGUCGACUUCGCAACUGAAUCUCUUAUCCGAUUUGUCAAGUGCUCUAGUAAUGUCACACUGCAGUUUAAUCAGACACUGCAUUAUAACUACACGGAGGUUCCUUGUUUGUCAAGAAAUGGAACUUACAUGUAUGCUGUUGUAGAUGGAAGGUACGAGGCUAACAAUUAUCCACGGACGUGCUCGCUUGUUUCGCUGGCUCCGGUGAAUUAUCAUGAUGAACUUUAUAAGAAGAUCCCUACUUAUGAAGCCGUAGCGAAAGCGUUGCAGGCCGGGUUUGAUAUCGGAUGGUCUGUUGAGUGCAGGGAUUGUUCUUUGGCUGGUAAGUAUUGUGUAUACGGUCCCAAAGCAUCGGACACUAGGCCUAUCAUAUUCGAAUGUCAAAAGGGUAUGUGCCUGACUUUAUGAUCUUCAACUCCUCUGUGCCUUGAACUAGUACUAUUAAUGUUCUCAUUGUUCAUUGUAUUUUAUGAAAAAUGCAGAGUACCAUGAAAUCACAAGGUUUGAAGGAAAUUUGAUCAUUGCGGGAAUCGUUGUGGGAGGUAUUGUUUGCAUGAUAUAGAUGAUGUACAUUGAUAGUUAGUCUUGUUUGCAUUGCAGUUUCGAUUUGUUUUGGUCUUUUGGAUAUUGGAACUUAUAAAAUCUUUGCCUUCAUUUUCAGGUGUAAUUGGUCUAGUUAUUAUAGUGGCUGUGUUGGUGUGUGUUAUCUGCAAAUGUAAGAAACGAAAACAGCAGCCGAAGAAGAAUCUGCAGAACCAGCAAUCAUCGACACUCUGAAUCAGCAAUUCUUUGUAGAAGUUAACAUACACCCUCUAAGCCAAUCAGCUGUAAUAUGCUAUGUGAUACAGUUAAAUGUAAAAAAUGCCUGUUAGUUAACGAGUAGUAUACAAUUUGUGGGAUAUAGUUUUGUCUUUGAGACUAGUCUAAUGUAAUUCAUUUGUCAUUCUUUGUGUCAAAUACUCUGUAAAUGUGAAGACUAUAUCCGUUUGUUAGUCUUAAUGAAUUUCGAGCUCCCUUUAGAAUUUGGCAAUUUGACACAUUAAUGUUUAACAGUUCUUGGGAUUCCGUUUAGCAAUUCCUCCAUUGCUUGCUGGGUUUGCUUCACGUUGCGAGGACGAUGCCGAAAAACAGAGUCCAAUUGAGACAAUCACAUCAUCAAUCGAAAACACAACAUUCGUUCUGAUCCCCUCAAUUAGCUUGAACUCAAAACUUUCUUUUUUUAUUGAAGAAAUGAAACGGAGGGAUUGAAAUAGAAGAAAAACCGGAAAUGGGUGGAGCCGAUUCUCGUCUGACUGCUGUGUUUGGCAUAGAAAGGAAGAAGAAGCUAAGACACCAAAAAGCUCACUAGUAAGAGAACGACAUGUCGCAUAUGGAUUACUCAUGGAUAUUAUAAAUGAAAAGUCAGUAUUGCCCCCACAAUCCAACUUAUUAACGGAUACGUAUCCGGACGUAUCGGACCGUAUAACGGCGUUUCCGGCCGUUUUCGGCCAUACCAUCGCGUACCUGACGCUUUGUAGGUUAAGAAUAUGUUCUCGGACACGGACGAAAACGUCGGGAUGUGGUCCGGUACGCUCCGGAACUGAAUUCUAGGAAAGAUUUCGGAUCUGCUGAUGCAGUAAAAUCAUAUGUUUAUAGUUUUGGGUUGCUGAUUUUAGCAAUGGCCAGAGGAAAAAAUGAUGGGAGUCAUGCAAAGGCAAGUAGUUCAUGAGGGGAGUGAUGUGCAUCUAUAACCAUUUAGUUAGUUGGAGAUUCCAGAGACUGGGAAAUCCAAUGUGCAUAUUGGGGUUAUGGUGCAGCACUCAAGUGCAGGUAUCUGAUCGUCCGUCGAUUACAGAAGUUGUGGAGACGUUGAAAGAAACAUAUAAUAGCCUCCAGUUCUUCAAAUGCCUCCUAAUCAGGUCAUAUUUGAGCAUGGACCAUGCUAAUCUUCUCUGUAUCGUUCAAAUUUUAUCGUAUGGCCUUCAAAGAAUGACAGUAUUAUCUGAUUUCGCACUAUUAUAUCUACAAAGUUUCGGGACACUUUGGUAACUGAUUUGUUAUUUUAAGGAAUUAAGGACUCAAGAAAUGAGGAAAAGUCAUGGUGAAUAAUGGUUGCUGCUUGUUUAUCCCUUUAUGUAAAAGAUACUAUUUCUGUUUCUGGUAUGGACAGCAAUUCACUUCUGGCCAUAAAUAAUUGAAUGGAAUAUUUCUCUGUUCAACCUACAGUCUAUCAGAUACAAUAUUGAGUGAGCAUAUAACCCAAAUACAGUCAAACAUUACUGAAACUUAUAUAUAUGCUCAGACCCAAAUACUGAAAUCCAUACCCUCUGUGUAAAACAUGAGCAUCCUCAAGUGGCUGGAAAUUGAAUCGACUAGCUAGAUAAAGCACUGAAAAGGGAAAGUAGCAAAGUACUGAAAAUCAGAAUGGAAUUUCCAUGUUGCCAAUUUCUUUUCACAAAAUCAGAUUCUACUUUGAAUCAGCAUCUAGAUUAGCCAGAUAGUAACAAAAGAACAAAGAGAAAAAGAAGAUCAAAGAGGAGAGACAGAGACCAGAGAAUGAAGAUAAAGUCAUUCUUUUCUUAAUCACCUCCAACUCAUUGCAAAGCAAACAAAUUACAUGAUAGGUGUAAGUGAUGCAUGCCCAGCAGCCCACCUAAGUAAAGUAAACUAGCUAGCUUCUCUAGUAUGCAUCUCUUACAUCCCAUGUUUUAUAACAUCAAACAUACUUAAGAAAAAAGGAGCAAGUAAUUAACAUAACAAAAAAAAACCUGAAAAUUAAAAGCAGAAAGACCUCAAGAGUUAAGUAAUUAAGUACAUGAAAGAAAGUGAAAGACCAUAGUGAUAAGGUUAAGGUAAAUUCGGACCGCUACCCUCAAUUCCCCGCAAUGCAAUAGCGCCGCUCUCCAAACUCUUCCUCUCCCACUUUUGUGGUGGUGGCUAGACGUUCAGGAGAGCGCGCGCAAUUGCAAAGCCUUGUUUAGUAUGUUGUCUUUGCAAUCAGCUCCCUUCUCCUGGUCGCCGCCAGCCGCCAGCCACCACCACCUUCAUCAUCUCCAUUGCCAACGAAGUAGCCCAGGAAUCCCCACUGGUGGUGGCUGGCCAUCAUCAUAUGAUUGUACAAUGAUGAAUGAUAUGAUUGAGCUGAAAAUGUAAUGUGCUAGCUCAGCUGAGCUAGCAAGAAAGAGAGAAAGGAAGGAAGAGUAGUUUGAAAUUAUGAAUGAGUAAUUGAUUACAUAGCAAAGGGGACAUAUAUAAAGACGAGACAUGGUAGCUUUUUGGUUGAAUAUGGAUGCCAUUUUCUUUCUUUUUUUCAUUUUUUUUACACGAUGAAAUUAUUUAAAUCUCUUUUGGCUAAAGUGAAGUUGAACUUCUUGGUCCAAUUCAAGAUGGGGUUAAGCUAUGAGGGCAUGUUUGUGGGGAAUGCAAAUAACUCCACUAACUCGGUUUCCAAGGCUCUUGGAAUUUUCAUAUUAUUCUCUCUUCGAGUCUAUACUAGUCUCUCGUAUUCAUAUAUGAAUAGGUGAGCUGCAAUUUUCCCACUCAGGCCUCAACUCGAUCCAGACAAAAGCUUUAUCAAAUGGCAAAACCCUUUUGAGUUUUAUUACCUUAUAAUUGAGCAUCGAUGAUCCAUAAGAAGUUGUGAAGUGAGUGAGUGCGUGGUGGGUCGUCAUUUACGAAAUCAUGGAUUGCUGUGCUUAUAUAUUUUGCAUGGAAUAUUACGAAGCAGACAGAUGAGCUUGAUUUGAGCAGGAAAACACUGUUGGAAACACUCAUCACAAAACAUACGAACACUCUUUAAUCAUGUAUACAGAAAGAUGUAUAAUGAUGAAGAUCAAGAAGUAUAUGCAUGUUCUGCUUAGUUGAGCUUAAAGAAAUUAUUGGAGGUUUGAGUUUGAGUAAGGUUGAGCGGUUCCUUUUAGUAGAGCUGUGAUGAAUAUCUUUUCUGUCCUAUAUAAUUAUCCAUCCACUUUCAAACCAAAUCAUUGUAUUCAGAUUGUAUAAUGAUCAAACCUUUUUAGACAAGUUAAGGUUAGGGUUUUUCUCCCAAAUAUCAGUACUAUUUUCUAGUGCAGUAGAGUGUGCAUACAAAUAUAUAUACUUUCUAAUUAAAUAGCUCAAUUAUUUUCGGCAGCCUUGUUUGAACACCACAUCAUGAAUUCAAAUACUAGAUUUGAAAUUUAUGAUAGGUAAGAUAAUAAGGAUGAGAAUUUCUGAUGCAAUCUUCAAAUACGAUGUAAAAAUAAUGUCAUUGAAAAAUAGUUUUGUUGUGAUGUAUCAUGAUAUAUCAUGUCAUUUCGUGUCAUAUACUAUUAGCAAGUCUUUUACAUGGGAAUGAUGGGAUGUGUUGUGUUAAAAGUUGAAAUUACUUGUUGAAGGAACUAGUCAUACAAGCUAAUUGAGAGUUGUGCUGUGUCUAAAUCAUUUUUAUGAAUGAGUAAACAGGUCGACACUGUCACAACAGAAAAUGUUUAGAAUUUGGUAUAGUAUUACAGUCUUGUUUACCCGGUCACUGCCAUAGAAAUAUGUACGAAACUGACAUUAGAUUAAGGUUCACUUAAUGCAACACAUAUUCAGGAACUGCUGCUGAUAAUAUGUAUAAGAUCCACUCAAUCAAACUGAUAAUUAUUAAGAGAAAACAACGAAGUUGGUGGAUUUCUUUGUCAAACUUUGGGUGGUAGAGAGAAUGUUAGAGACAUAUAAUUGAAGCAAAGGCUUUUUGAUUGAUGGAAGCUCAUGUGGGUGCUUGCAAUUGAGACCAACAAAACAAAGAAAAAUGGGGGCAAACCCUCACUUUUACCUUGGAUACGUCCUUCCAUGAAAACAAAAGCGAAAGCUAAAGCAUAUAAAGACGAAGGCAUAAGUCAGCGGUCUCAGAUUCUCUCCUUCUUUCACUUUCCUGGCUUUGUUAUUAACUUAUUGCUCUCUCCUAUUUCCUUUGUUUGAAGAAAAACUGAAAAAGAAUGAUAAUCUCUCUCUCUCUCUNNNNNNNNNNNNNNNNNNNNAUCUCUCUCUCUCUCUCUCUCUCUCUCUCUCUCUCUCUCUCUCUCUCUCUCUCUCUCUAGGGUUUGAAUUGAAACAGUGCUCCCAUCUCUACCCGAAGUUGGUGAAAUGUCUCAGUCGGCACUGGGAGUGGGUGUUCACUCGUCUAUCUUUUCCGAUCAGAAGCUGGUAACAGCUAGCUAGCCUUCUGAUAUUGAUCAUCUACGGCUCAUGAUUCGACACCUCCUCAGUUGGUUAUCUAUUAUUGCUGAUUGAUGACAGGUUUAUCUGUUCAAAGUUGACAUUUUUAGAAUUCUCAUGUCAUUGUUCUAGAAAUGAGCUGCACAAAUAGUCAUCACCCUUGCGUCAUUUUCACAUCAAGCUUAAUGUGGAAGAUCCGAGUUCCUUGAUUGGUGAUUUAUUUAGGUGCUUUAUGAAAAAAAUCUUAGGCUGAAUCUUUUUGUAUGUGGAAGAACCGAAAAACAUACGUACGCCGACUUAUAAAUAAAUGAGGAUAUUUAUUCGCUCUUUAAUGUGCGACUCAUUUUGAUGUGAAUUUUCUUCUUAUAUGAUUUGAACAAGAUUACAAAACUAUGAAUGAUAAGUGGAGUCAUGUCUCAUUAAACUAAACAUGCGGAAGUAGUUUCAAAAUAUGUCAAUGCAUGCACGCUCGAUUAUUCACCUAGUAUAUGAGUAUAACAAAAUUGCAUUUGAGAUAUAUAAUGCAAAUUAAACAAUCAACCCAUGCCACAUGAAGUUACCAAGGUACGAGGCGAGUGUGAUGAAGGAAAUUGAGAACAAGUGUAGAGUCCACUUCCAACCAUACUAGUUUUCAGGCUCGAACCAAAAUUAACAACUCAUUUCUUACUUUGUUAAGAAUCACUAUGACCUAAAUUCUUGAUUCACUAGCUAUUGAGAUUGUACUCUUCUUUUCUCCCGCAAUUCCCUCAUCUCAUGGGAUCUGAAUUCAUGACGUCCCAUUCCUUGUUCAAGUCGAUCGGGGGAUCCCUUGUUAAAGCAAAACCCUAGAAAGGGGUAAAAAGAGUGAGAGACGGUCAAGGAUUGGAUACUUGAAGGCCAUGUGUCCCAUGAGUGUCCAGUGACGGGCGGACAAGAAGCGGCGCGUGAGGGCCUCGACAACUUUGAGUCGUUUUGAGCCGUAUACGGCGCCCCAUUGGACCAGAAAGUACGUACAACCGAGUAAGCACGCACGCCUCCGCAUUGGAUCCCUCGUAUAUUUCCUCUCCUAGAUUAAAGCAUGCAUGCAUUUUCCAAAGGAUAACACACUCACUUUGCUCACUUAACAAUUACUUUUUCUUCAUCUUUUACUGUGUGUAGAUGUUAAUGGGGUACAGAAAUUUUAUCUUCCAUUUCCAGGGACGACGUCGACCCCUUUUCGAAAAUGAUUGUUCUGGAUCUGCAGGACCCCUCUUGUUAUUCCCUUUUCUUGUCUUGGAGCGACUUGUUGUCUUGGUAUGGCAUUAUCACCCAUACUUUUCCAAGGGUAUGGUGCCCUUAAUUUUCUUGUCUUAGAGCAGCUGAUCACGGCGGUGUCCGGCCGAGUCUUGCUCGUGGAGUGCAGCUGUACUCCGCCGGAGAGAGAUAUGAAGAGAAGACGGCCAAAGAGCAGCUCUGGCCUGUUUUAGUUUUAGUCCUUUAGGUUUUUUUGUUCUUUUAAAGGUGGGCGAACAACCUGCUUAGGCCCAACCAAAGUGGGUUCCGUCUAGCUAUAGCGCAACUCCACCGAGCUCACGCAAGGCCCAGUUCACCUUUGCAUUUUAGAUUUUUUGUAUUUUUUAAAGGUGAGCCAAUAAUCUGCCUAGGCCCAAUCAAAGUGGGUACCGCCUAGACAUAGAAAGACUCCGCUUAGCCGCGUAAGGCUUAGUCCGGUUUUUUUGAGAAAUUUUGAUAAAUAACCACAUUUUGGUUUAUAAAUUGAUUUUUAACCAUGUUUUCACAAAUCAUUGAAAAUAACCAUAUGAAUAAACUAGAAGUCUAAAUUGCCCUUACAUAAAUUUCUUCAACUCAUUUAUUUUUUUAUCUUUAUCAAUUUUCACAAUUGCGCAAGCUGCUCUACACCGCACCAAAAGUCUAAUCCCCAAACUCCCACAUAUUGUUGUUUUUAUUAUAUGUCUCAUCGUUCGAUGCCCUAAUUUAUGCUCUGCUUCUCUAGACUGUUGUGUAUGAUCUUGGAAGUAUAAAAUUUGGUAAACAUGAUCCAAACAAUCAGAGAAAUAUACUAUAAUUUGAGCCAAUGCCCUUGAGAGACAACCCAGUAAUUACGUUGUAGAAAACUAAUACCAACUAAACUUGUUAAGACUUAAGAAUGUCAUAUGGAACUAAAAUAUUGGGCUCCUUGACUUGCUUCUCAACAGCUCCCAAGAAUCUCAAAGCUCCCAUGUGGCUAGGCUCUUCAUCUUGUUCUAGACCUUCACUUGCUUCCUUCUCCGUAUAGCAGCUUGUAUAGCAGAUAGUAAAAUAUUGAUAAUUUUUCUCUAACAUACAUUUGAGUUCAGUUCAUUGAGUGAGAUAUCUAUAUUUUUCUCAAACAGACUUCUGAUCACUAUAGGCUAAUUUGAGGGCAUCUUAGAUCAGCUCAUUACUGCUAUGGUAUGAUCUGAACUUGGACCUCUUCUCAAAUAUGUUCAAAUGGUUUCAAUUUUAUUUUGGGUGCAAACCAUUCAAAUGCCCCAAGUGUAUCAAGAUUAGCGAUACCAAUUACCAAGUAAAGAAGGAUUUGCCGCAUGCCCUAAAAUUACCAGAAGUUGAUUUAGUAGAAUUGCCUUAUGAAUCUCUGAGGUCUAAGUUUACUGUAAGGCAGCUCGAGUGAAGAAGGUCUUGGAUAGCUAAAUCCAUGGCUAUUCUCUGUUUUUUGUCAACUUCGGAGAGUGAGAGAUCGAUGACGGAAUCUUAGUGAAGAAAACUGAGUUUAUUUUAUUUUAUUUUUUGUAGUUUAUGAAGUAAGAAUAAAAUAAGGGCAUUUUUGAAUUUUCCUCCCUUGUUAUGGUUAUUUUUCAUUAGUUUAUAAAAACAUAGUUAUAAAUCAAUUUAAAUGGCUAAAAAUGUUCAUUCCUCAAAAUUUCUCAAUUUUUUGUUUAGAAUAGUCCACCUUUCAAAGCGCUUCUAGUAAAUUGUAGAAGGUUACGGUCGAAUUUGUUGGAGGCUGUUUUACUCGACGACGUCUAGGUCCAGAGAGAUUGCCAGUUUGCCGUCAUCUCCUCUGGCGAGCUUUAGAAAAGGACAUUUCUGUCCCAAAUGGACUUCAUUCUCAUCGCCCUCCCUUGAGUGCGUUCAUUGUUUCAAUUUUCAUCAUGCAUCUAAAUCCAGACCAAUAUCCGAAUCAGCGAAAUAAGAGAUAAAGCAAAAACCAUAGUACACACACAAAGGAAGACGGAUACUUGAGUAGAAAGUAGAAACUAUACUAUAGGCAUGAUUUGGAAAGAGAUUAUGAGCAGUCCAGGUCUUUUGUAUUUGUAUGGAUGAAAACGUUUAAUGGGUAAAAGAGAAGGGAAAGGGAGAAACUAGAGGAAAUUGUAGAAAUGGGAGAUUGGGAGGCAUUGGUAAGAAAUGAUUAUGAUCUCUGUAAUUACAACAGAGAAAUAGAGAGUUCCAUUUCUUGCCAACUCUCCCAUUCAACAACUCUACCCAAUCCAGACUAUCCUCCUCCAAUGGAAUGCAAUCUACUCUGUAUUAAUCUCAUCUUCAUAUACUGAACUGAGUCACAGAACAGUGUUGAGUUAGCCUAACCAUGGUUAGCACACUAGUACUUGAUCCUCAAGAUUCAAACUUCUCACAAAAAUCUUGACCAACUCAGAGAAUUACUGUCAAAAGAUAAGGUGAUAUUUAUAUCUUGUGUUGCGAUGAAAUACAAUACUGAUAUUUACUUUCAAAGUACACAGUUCCUUAACUAACUUUCAACUUUCAAAGGAUAAUGAAGCAAGUGACUACAAGAAAGAAAACCUAGUUUUGAAGAAUAGAGCAUAAACAACAGAUUUCUUCUCUAUUAGGCUUGGCCAAUUGUACUUUACUUCACCAAGAAUUAGACCUAAACUAUCAACCGUGCAGUGAAUACAGUAUUGACUAUUGAAUCCCUUACUUGAUUGCUCUUCUCUCUUGUGGCAAUCGAAAUUGUUGUAACACGCUAAUCUUGUGUCUUAGAAAUGCAACCGGGUUUCAUAUCAGAUAGAAUUUCUGACUCUGGAAAAAAAAAAAAAAAAAAAAAAACUAACUGCAACACACUCUCAAUUUGAUUCCAGAAUGAAUAUGAAAAAGUGAUUGGAAUCCAAUGUUGGGAAAAUCUUUAGAAAUAGAAGAAUAAUAUCAAACAUGUCAUCCACAAGGCCACAAUAGAUUUACUACUAUGUUAAGGUGUCAAAGAUAUCAUUUCAGUUAAACCAAGCAUCUCUUGUCAAAAAAGAUAUUAGCUAUGUUAGCUAUGUUCAUAUAAGUUUACAGUUUCCUCUACACACUUUAUGCCACUCGAAACUAAAUGAUAUAAGUUCAUUAUUUCCGUAACCCUUCUUUGACAUUCCAAAACAAAAUAUCUGAAAAUCGAAACAAAGUUUUUGAUAAAAUUAUAAUCAUUGAGACCUUCUCAAAAAAAAAAAAAAAAUUAAAAAUCAUUGAGAUGCAUAACUAAUUUCAACCAUUCACUGCAGUACUCAAUUACUUGCUCAAAUUCUCAUUCUGGCAUCAUUGCAUGUAUCUGAAACGAAUCAAACACAAUGCCACCAACAUCUCUUCAGAAAUUACAUACAUGCAUGGAUAUACUAACGGAUCAAGUGAUCAACUAAAGUAGCAAUUACCUUAAUAGCUAAUUACUCAUUUGUAUUUUGCACACAACGGAGAAGCUAGGUGAAAAUAUUUGAUGCAGUCUUGGAACCUUUCAAAAUAUUGAAAGGACCACAGAACCUUGGUCAGAGAGCCAUAACUUGAAUUGAAAUUUAUCACCUACUAUUUUGCCUUGAAUUCUAACAAACUCUGGGGUUAUGAAGAAAAUAGAUCAGUCUUGUCAUAAGAGAAUAGAUCAGUCUUGUCAUAAGAGUUCACACAUAAAAGUGUUUUUCUUUCUAUCCAAGUUCAUCCACCGUUUCAGAUAACAUUUACUCUACCUACCACCUAGUCUCCAUUUUUUACACCAAAUCUCUAUAUUAUCAAGUUUGGUUCGAAAGUUAUCCCAAUGAGUUCCUCUCAGAAUCUCUGGCUUCUAUUCACUUGAGUGGUGCACAUAAAAGAUUUACCCAAAAGGGUAGGUAAGUGAAGCUAUAAUCCCAGGCAAGUAAACAAAGGAGUGGACAGCUGUUAUGUAUGUAUCAAUAAUCAAGCUUAUUUCAGAGACAAGAAUUAGAUGUUGGAACAAAGCUCAUCUCAUAAAUUUAAUAACAAGCAGAACAUUUGCAGAUGAUAAAUAGAUCAAGAGACGAAGAAUCUACCUGACUUGCCACUUUGCCAGAAGCAGACUUGCAGAAAAGAAGAAGAAGGAAAGGGAGGAACCAAAGGAUCUCAUGGGGAAUAGGUGGAAUAGGGAAGAGAAACUGUUCAGGGAAAGAACAAGUCUUUGAUCUCUAUCCUACCCACCUAUACCCCAAAACUUCCUUGGGAUCUAUCUACCUUUCCCAUUUCUCUCAAUAAUUUGUUUCACAAGAAGAGCAGAGUUAACACAAGAUCAGGGCAAGAAUGAGGAAACUAAGCGGAGGAAAUCAAUGGAUCUGGUGUUAUAGGUAAGAGAGAGUGUUCAUCCAGAUCCAUAAAGAUGAGGAAUCUCAUCUCUCACCUACCAACCAGCAACCAACUCCUCUCACCCUUUCUCUCAUAUCCUCUCCCCAUAUAUAGGUUUAUUGGGUUCAUUUGGGCCAGUUAGGGGCAUUAUGUUUGGAUUUGGUUUAUUGGGGGCCCGACCCAAUACGUACCCUUUACCCUGCAAACUCCUCUACUCUUCAUAUAUAGCCAUAUAGGUCACACACAAUACACAGAAGGGCAUUCAGGGGCUAAGACCAAACACAAAAGCACAUCAGAAGUAACUGAAACCAAAAUGAGAGUGAGAUGAAUAGUUUUGAAUAACAAGUCCAAACAGAAAACAUAUUAACAUUGUUCAGCCAAAGAGAGUUUCUUCUUGGUUGGUAGUUUGGUUUGACAUCACCAGACAUCACCAGACAUCACCAUCUACCUAUGAAAACCAUCACAUACAAUAGAAGCAAGAGAGCCUCUCUAUUUCUGGGAACCUCAUCUCUUCUCCAUCUUCUGCACUUUUUCCGCAUACUAAUUAUUUCUUACUAUGCCAUGUAUUUCCAUAUUUAUACUAACCCACAUAUAACGAGGCAUUAUAUACUGAGGGCAUUGAACAUAAGCAUCACUACUGUACUCAACCCCAGCUCUCUCCCUCUCUUAUUAUUUACUGUCUUCCAUCAUAUUUUACCUGAUUGGCCUGUUGAGCUUAUUGUUGCCACCAGCAAGCUGCUUCUCCUCCUCAGUGAGUGCAUGGCGAAAAUGGCAGCGGUGGCCAUAUGGACAGACAUCACCGGCUAGCACCAUUCUGCAAACUUCAGUUUUGUAGCGUGGGUGGCGAAUCACCGGGCGCAGCUCCUUCACGCCGUGAGCAUAUUGGCAGUGGUCUUUGUAGGGGCAGUCACCAGUCUCCUGCCAUUUGUUGCAGAGUUCAGUCUUGAACAUUCCCUGGUUGAACACCUCCAGUUCAAGUGGCACCUCCUCUUUCUUCCCUCCUUGAACAUACACCUUUUGCUGCACCAAACACACUAAUCAGAAGGAGCUCCAAUGUUACAGAAAGAAUCAUCACACAUCUCAGUUUGGCAUUUUUCACAAAUCAACAAUUUAUUAGAAGAGGCAUGUUCUAAGAAUAUAUUUACAGGUAGUAUCAUCACCAAUCUCAUUUUGGCAUUUUCACAAACAGCUAAUGUGCAUUGCUUAUAUACAGUCUCAAUGUACUCUAGUAAACCAACUGUUCCACCCAUUACAAUGAAUCAAAGCUCAUAACAAUUGCAAGCCAAUUUUCCCCCAAUUUUAAACACAAAGGAGUCCAUCAUCAAAAGUAAUCAAACAUAGAAAGAGCAGGCACUAAACAAAAUUGAUAAUCAAAUUUAUGAUUCAAAGCUAAUGCUUGCAGUGAGUGAAACUAAAUACGAUUCCCAAAAGUAAACCUGAACACAGAGGAGAGCAAUAUAGGACUCCCUGUGCAAUUGAUUCCUGUAUCUUCUGAGAAAGGAAACAUUUUUCUACCAAUUUCACCCCAAACAGUAAAACUCUCACUCUAACAGUAAGAACUCCAAUUAAAAUCCAAACCAAAGCGCAAUAUAAUUAAAAUUACCAAGAAUAACAUGUAAAAAGUAAAAUAGCAUAGACUUACUGAAGCACUGACUGGUUUGGCGGUUCGAGAUCUGGCAGCGAUUCGAGUCCGAGCGGCGGCUUUGGUAGCAGCGCUCAGCGGAGGAAGCUUCACAUAGCCGCUGGACCUCACCGAUAUGCUCUUCGGCAGCGCAAUCCUCUCCACAUUAACAUUCUCGGCCUCUUCGUUGUCCAUGACGUCACUCGUCGGACUGUAAUCGCUCAAAUCCUCUUCCUCGUGAGUCGACGACUUGCCGUCAAUCGACAGGCCACGAAUCCCGUUGACGAUCCCAAACGGCGACCUCGGCUGGCUCGCCGCAGAGCUUGAAGAAGCUUCGAUCUCUUUCUGGAUGGAGGCGUGGAUGAGGAGAUUGAGUUGCUUGUUGAGCUCGACGUUGACGUUGCGGAGGUGGCUGUUCUCGCGACGGAGAGCGUCGGCUUCCUCCGCCGCCUCGUGGAGGCGCUUCAGGCAGAGGCUGUGGCGGUUGACCAUCUCCUGGCGGUUCUGGACCAGCAGAGACUGGUAGAGUUUGUUGCGGUAGGCCUGCGACGUGUCGGAGUCUGAUUGGACGCCGUAAAGUCCGACUCCGACGGAAGAAGACUGCGACGGUUUCGGACCGAAGAUCGAGGAGGAGUAAGCACCGCCGUAAUUGUAACCACCGCCGUAAGGCUGAGGCUGCGGUGAUGACAUAGCGGAGGUUCCGAUGCGAGCUGAGGCGGUGGCGUAUGCGACGUCGUUUUGCAUUCUCGGUUUCAGUUCCACUGUAAACACGAACAAAUUUCCGAUCAUUUCAGCACUAAUCUUUCCUCGAAAUCACAAAAUUAUACAAUCAAGAACAGUGAAUCACAGUUUUCUUGCAGUUUUGAUUCGAUUUUCCUCUCUAAUUAGGUUCUUGAAUUUUACAGAGUACCGAUCCUAAAUCCUAAAAUCCUUAUCUUCAAGAAACAAUUUCGCUACAGCUCUAAGCCGCAGAAUCGGAUCAAACUCGUUAAAUUCAACAUUCCGAUCAAGAAAAUAAAGAGAUUCAUGUAUGGAGGAACACAGAUUUCACAUACUGAGAAGCAGAUCUAGGAUUUGAACAAACAAAAUUGAGCGAAGAAUUAAAGCGGAGAGAAAAAGGAAUUGGUUACCUUCAGAAGCAUUGAAGUCGUAGCGUGACAUAGCAAAGCUUCUCUCUCCGAUCUGAGAGAAAGAGAGUGGAGGAAUGGAGGUGGAGACUAGCUUUUAUAGGUGUGAGGAGGAAGGGGGAGAAAGAUUUGGAGGGAAAAAGAAGAAGCAGGGGCGCAUCCAAAACCGUCCUCUAACUGAAUGCCAGCUCAGCUCUCGAGGCUAAUUUUACAUAGAAUACCCUCGGUGCUUUAUCAGUUUGUUUGGAUUGUGCUCGGGUCUUUCGUCAUUUCGAAGCGUUGAGUCUGUUAGGACAAAGGUCAGGUAGCUCUGUUAGGACAAAGCGUUGAGUCUGGGGAUAAUUUGAACCGUUGGAUUUCCACGUGUUGCUCAUCUACAGCGUAUGCCACCAGUUGACUGUGAGUAAUGUUGAGCUCCAACAAACAUACCACCUCUGCUUUUAACUUGCUCUUUUUCCUCCGUGUGACCACCUUCACGUGGUUGGAGUGGCAACUGACUUCCACGCGCCACUUUGCACGAGUUGUUACGGUAGUAACUAAUAAAUAGAAUUAAAGUAAAUAACCUACCAACAAAUCCGGUGUAGCACAUGCUUGGAAAAUGAAAUUAUUUCUUCCAGGUUCGAAUCCUGGCACCGGAAAUUUUAUUUUACUAAAAACUCGUUUUAUAUAACUAGGUUAGAUGUCUUACAUAAGUAAGAAACAGAAAAUAUUGAACCUAUACCUAUGUAGUAAAAGACUAAUAAGACACUGGUACACUCACAAUAAAGUAAGCCCUACUAAGUACUAACUACUCGCUCCUUAUGCAUUUAUGCAUUUAGUCUCCUACCUCUGCCUAGCACGCAAUUAUGGUAUAGAUGGAUCUAGUUGUUAACAUAAGGCUCAUAUAGUAGACAAAUACUCAUUAGCAUCUAUCUGAAAACAGAAAUUAAAAAGGAGGCCCUAAAACUCAGCGCAGGCCCAGUCACCCAGUCUUCCACCGCUGUCUUUGAGCCGUCUGGAGGCUGGCCUCCCCAAACGUCCAUCUCCAUCUCCGUCACCUUCAAGCCCCCUGCAAGAGAGAUGUUAUUCAAUCAACUUAGUCUCAAUUACUCUCGUAUUUUGAAUAGUCUCAUCACUCACGAUAUAGUGUAUAACGAUGUUAUUUUGUAUAAUAAAAGAUAUUGAGCGGGCUAUCUUGACACUAAAUUUUAUUCAACUAUGGAAUCUAAUUUUGUUGCAUUGACAAUAAGCUAAAUCUGAUAUGCAAACGCCUUUUUGUUUUUUGUUUUUGGUAAUGAAACACCUUUUUGUUUCAUUUGUAGUGUUUUUUUUUUAGUAGAGAAAAAUAUAUUGCUAAAAUAAUGGCCAGAAAACACGUUACAUCAUAUGUCGGGCUCUAUACAAUCUGUCGAUAGAGACCUACACCUACAAGCACCAUGACUGACACUCUCAUUGAUAAAUAGCCUCAAGCAUAGGAACAAAAACCAUAACACCUAAUUUCCGGACAAGAGUAAAAGUAUCCCUCCAUAGUUUUAAUACUGAAAAGCUGAAUAAAUUUUUAGACCGGCCAUCUUAAUCGUCCAAUGGCCUUUUUACUUUUUAAUGUUUGUUAUUAUUCUUGUUAUAGUUCUUUAAGAACAACUUUGACAAGUUGAGGGGGAUAUAUUAGACAGGUUAGGUUGUAAGAAGUGAUGAUCGAGUUGCAGUUAGCUCUACAUUGUUGCUUAGUUUGGAAACAUAUAUGUUGAGAGCAGUUUAGUACAAGAAGAAUUGUGAAGGAAGUGAAGAGCCAUCAUUUUCGGUUGGUUUUAGAGGGAGUUUUGCUUCUUUAUCACAACUAUAACUACCUCUUUUUGUCCGAAUAUAUAGCUCUUCCAUCAAAAUCUAAUAUCAUCUGCAUGUUUGGUGAAUCAUCACAUAAAGAAUUAAGCUAUAUAACCGGCCAAACUAGUGAUUCGAUGAGAUCACUCGACGGCUUAUGCGUGAAACUAUAGAAGAAGCACUACAUGAGAAAAUACACACUAUCAUUCUUUUGCACGUUUUACUAUCUUUGUUCAAGUUUAUGUUAGGAAACAAUGAGAGUCUAACAAAAAAAAGACCAAAUUUACUCAAUCUAAACUCAACAAGAAACAUUUGAGCUUUGCAUAAUCAUUAUUUAACCUGAGUCGUGAUUCCUCAGUCAUCACCAAUAUUUUUUCUGUCUCGUUUAAUACAAUGCAUACAAUAGUAAAUAAGUAAAUUUAGUUUCUAAUUAUCAAAUUUAUGCUAUUAAAUCAGUAACAGUUUCAUUCGCUGAAUCAAACAUAACUAAAAAAGUGUGAUCGGUCUUUAUUAUGUACCACACAUAGUUAGUUAAAUUUGAUACAAAAAGAGAAAAUCACGCUGUUACCUACUCCUACACGGAAGAAUGUGUAGUGUUAGUUUUAACUAAACGCAUGAGAGCUUAAGCUUCAGUGAGUUGAUGCCCUGCUUCUUAAUUUCUCGCAAAUCGACCUCUCACCCGUUUACGUGAAUCCGCUAUGGCUUUCUUCCUUUGAUAUCGAAUUUUCCUUUCGUACCUAAAAAAUAGAAACCAGACUAAUUAGCAUGUAUAUAAAAAAAAAUUAACAAAGAAGUGACUACACCUUAUAAUAACUAGCUAGUGUAUUUGAGAGGUUUAGAAGACGUGACUUAAUUGUUGUAGUACUUACACACGAGAAUGCUUCUUCUGCUUGUACCUCAUCAUGGCAUUUGCUCUGGCGUCAAAAACUUGUUCACCCUUGACACCUUGUGAAACCAUACUACUACUGCUGAAUGUAUUGCAGGAUACCGACGACGGCAAUGAACAUGAAGAUCCAUUGGCGGGAAGAGAUGAACUUUCCGUCCGACCGUCCUUGGAGGCUGCAGCCGUAUCUAGAUUGGGAUCAUCAAGUAGCUGCUGAGUUUUCACAAUAAGAUCUUGAUCAUCUUCGUCUCCAAUUAGUUCUUCCAAGUUCAGGAAUGCUAGGUAUUCAUCAUCAGGUAUAUGUGGAUCAUCAUCAGAAACCCUAAGCUGGUCUUGCAUCUUGUCAGACUGCAGCUACAUAAUCGGUCAUUACUGGUUAGUAUUGACAAAAGGAAAAGGAUAUAACAAGUAACCAAGUAUAUGAUCACUAGCUCCAUAUGUCAUAGCGUCCCUUACAAACUCUAUGUCGCUGUCGACGUGAAGUGUGAACGAUGGCGGGCACUGAGAUUGACAAUAUCAUGAGGCAAAAAUGGAACCAAGAAGAAUUGGAUGGAAUAUGGCAACCCAACAAAUAUAUGAACUAACACACUAGAUAUACAGUAACGCAUUUUCAUCCAAAACCUGCAACCAAACCCAAAAUAGAAAAAUCUGUAACUAGCAAGAAGAUUUGAACAACGUAUACUCAAUUUUUUCUUGUUUUUGUUUUUCUCAAUUGCAGCAAGAAGAUCAUGUUUAAAGUUCAAAUGAAUAACAAUAUAUGACAAAUUAUAGCAAUUUAGAUCCCCUUGUUACCCAAAAGGUUUUGUUUUUGUUACUAUAUAUAUUGACAAUUAGCGUACAUGUGAGUGAUGUCAUCCCUUUGCUACCUUACCACAAAAUGAUGAUCACGCAUAUAACUCAUUUUGGAUAGUGAAAUUAUAAGGGUGAAAGUGAGGUGGAAUUGAUUGAUUUAGCUAAAAAAUGAUGCGUUCAAAUACAAAAUGAAAUUUACAUUAAAGGGUAAUUGAGCAUGAUCUUCUUGAUUAGUCAGCGACCAGAUGAACAUGGUCGUCGAUUUACUUACAUGGAGAACAAAUACUCUCCUUCAUCUCACCCUGUUCAUUUUAUAUGAUGUAAUUAGAUUUAAAUCCGACACUUUUCACCGACAAAAACACAAUAGACAGACUAAUAGUACAGCAAUGUCAGCAAAUAAUUUGAAUAAAAAAAACUAGUGCCCAACUUUUAGGAGGAUCUGAUCAAAAUUACCUGGCUAGUUUUAUUGCUGCACAGUCCAAGAGGAACAGUCGACUGAGUCCUUUGCAAGUCGAGAAUCUGGCCCAAUAUAUCCAAGCUCCCCACAUGACUUGCACUACUAAUGUGAUCAUGAUUCAUUUGCAAACCCCAAAUUGCUGCGAAGUCCUCGGCAGCCGGGCAACCCGUGUAACUGUAACUGCUACUUGAAAGUCUUUGAUGCACCGGGGACGUCGUCACAAGGUGGCUCCGGUCACAUAAAUGGCACAUAAGCCCGCCGCCGCCGUGAUCCAGACACCCAUCAUAAGCUGAGAGGUGGUUGCAUGAGUCGCAUAAGAUGGUGCGGGGAUGACGGUUCACUACUUGGUUAGCUGAAUGAAGUUCUGAAUCGCAAGACAGGCAGAGAUGUGCUACGUCGGCUUUACAGUGUACCGCUGCGCUUGACGUCGAGCAGAAGUCACAAAUUCUAGCCAUGGAUGAGUCUCAGCCUGAUCUUUCUGUUUGUGCUUGAUUUGAAGGAGCCUCAAUUUUCUAUGUUGGUUGGUUUUAGAACCUUUAACAUGUUGGUUCUAACUCAGACAAGCUAUAUAAACCACGUAAAUAAAGCACAAACAGUCCUAGGUCUUAUGCACUUUUCUGCCUAAAACUCGAGAUGGAAUUGGGCAUGAGAUUUGUUAGCCUUCUAUGUCAAUAGUGAGCGAGGGUUAGGCAUUCCGGUAUGGGAGUUAGGCCGGAGUGUGGGAGUUUCUCGGCCACGAACUUCAUUCACUAUACAAACAACCGUAUAACUGUACAUGAAACUAUGGUACAUUUAGCAUUGGUUUUCUUAUUCGUUAUGAUCAUAUGUAUGAUACUAAAGUGCUAGUUGCUUCGCUAAAAGCAACUCUCUUGUUGCCGAAAAAAGAAACGUACACUUGAUCAACAUAAAUUGAUUACUCCUACAUAUGAUGUCUCGAAGAUGGAUCAACAUGACUUGGACAGGGAACAACCUUCCUUGUCUUAGUUGCCGGAGAGAAGUUAGAAAGGACAUUCUUACCUAACUAGACCUAGCUGAACCACCCAUGUUCAUGUUCAUGUUCAUGUUCAUGCUUUCGAAUCCGAUCGAACUACACAUACAUGAACCUAACAAUCCUGGAAAUGUUUCACAACCGUCCCAAAAGAGCUUUCAUUUCAUAAUUGCAUAUUUUCAUGAAUACAACGAAAAAUUUACUGUUAAGAGCAAGUAACUGAGCAACUAUUGUAAGAGAAAAGUUCAAGCAUGCUUUGAUGACUGUAAAUUUUAAACCAGAUUGCACCUUCACUGUAAAUGUACGCACAGACAAAGAUAGCUUAAGUUCGAUCAGUAACUUCUUGUCACAUCAAUGGUGUAUGAAUCCUAUUCUUCUGUCUUAACAAUGCGGCCUCUUCCCCGCCUAUGUACAUCAACUGUAGCUUUUCGUGGUGAAUAUGGAAAUUUCUUCUCAGUUCUGAAUAUAACAAUGAACAUGUAAAACUUAAUAUGUCACACUUUGAUGUGAGAAAUUGCAUGUGAGAGCUUUAGAAUUAUUGUACUUAGUACUUACAGUCGAGAUUGCUUCUUCUCUUUGUACCUCAUCAGUGAAUUUGCUCUGACUUGCAGCUGUCCAGCAUCCACAUCAGGUGAAGUGCUUGAAGGUACUGUAUCAUGGCAAUCUGCUUCGUUGUUAAUGGUGAAGUUCCUUGACACAGAGAAUGAUAAAGUUGAAGAAGAUGGUGGAAUAUCCAUGCUUCCCGAGACGUUUUCAACUUUGUUACAUGCUUUGUCAAAGUUUGCAGGCUGAGUAAGGUACAUAGAUGAAGCCACUGAUGCAUCCUUCAAAAUAAAUUAUAUAGGAGUAGAUGAAUAUUUAGCACCUUACUAUCAUCUUAUAUAGAGGUGCUUGUUGAUUCUAUUAUAGUAACACUAACAUUUCAAUCCAUACCACCAUUACUCUUGAAUUGCAGUCGUCUGAUUUAUCGAGGGACAUGUUCCUCUCUACUGAGGAAUACGAGACAUCUUUAUCAUCAUGCAGCACUCUGGUAGGAUCUUGAUCACCACCAAAUAUUUCCUCAAAAUUUCGGAAUGUUAAAUCAACAUCAGGUAUAUUGAAAUCAUCACGACAAACAAGCUCUUCACAAACCCCAAGGUCUUGCAUAUUUUGAGACCACAGCUACAAAAUCAGGACAGAUGGUAAAACACAAUGAAAAAUUGGUUCUUUAAAUAAUGAAUUGUUUAGAGGGUGUCCAUUCUAUAGUACAUCUCCAACUUCCAGACCCCCUUUCUGUUGUCAAACAAGGAGGGGAGUACCAGUGUUGUUAAGAGUUAAGACAAAAGUAAGUUGAUGAUCUAAUAUUGCAGAAACAUAGAAAUUCUUGAAGUUAUUUAAUGAGCAGUCACUUAUGAAUGGUUGCAACAAAAGAACAAAAACAAUGAUUAGAGUUCCUUGAUCGAGAUAUGGUAUUUAAUUUCACCUCCAUAUGGUGAGCAUAAAUUAGGAAAUUUCUUCAUCUCAGGAAACUUCUAAACAGUAUGAACAGAAUAAUUUUAACAGAUAACUGAUGUAACAUAACAAAAGUCCAGAUGAAUAACUUGCACUAGUAUUGAUCGAACCUGACUAUUUUGGACCGGACUUCUGUACUGCCAAAUGGAAUCUGUCUGCAACGGAAUUCCAAUAGUUGAAUUUGAUGCUAAAUGAUCCGACUGAGAAAAUGGAAAUGGCAAAGGAUCAUCUUUCAGAUUCUGAAGCGGACUCUCCUUUAGCUGAAAGUUAGUAUCAGUAGUCUCACAACGUUGUAAAUGCCGAUCAAGGUUCUCAUCAAAGCUCUUCCAAGUAUUAUGUGCUGAAGAAGAUAGGUCACUUUGUGUUGAAGGGGUAUUCCCUUCGGCUAGCUGCAUCCUUUCCAAGUCAAGUAUCUGAUGCAGAAUAAAACUAGUCUUCUUAUGCUCUUCACCUUCACAAAAUAUCUGCAAAGAUAAAACUCAUAAAACACAUGAAUAUCUCAACAGUGACAAUUCAUUCAACUAUUUCUGGCUACCUUCUGUUUACUGGUCGAUCCCAUUUCAAACUGAGCACCACCUGAAAGACAUUCAAUUUGUGAGCAAGACUGCCCAUGAAUAUCAUAGUUUACCACACUCGAGUCACAAGAACCACAAGAAGUGGAUAGAGUCUUGUUAUCUAUCCCAUCUGAUUGGAAACCCCACAAUGCUGCAAAAUCCUUGGCAGAUGGGCAACCUGUGUAACUCUGGAGAGUGCGUUUAUGAUGAUGUUGGGAAGAUGAUAUGUGCUGGCUCCUGUCACAGUCAUUGCACACAAACAUUCUGUGAUCCAAACACUGAACAUAAGCAGGGCGGCCUUGGCAGGUUUCGCAUAAGACAGUGUGCUGAUGACGGUUGAAAACUGUGUUAGCCGAAUGGAUCUUUGCAUCACAAGAUAGGCAAAGAUGUGCUGCAUCAGCUUUACAGUACACAACCGGCCUUAUUGCUCUGCAGAACUCACAACAUUUCUCCAUUUUCUCCAAAACUCGAAAAACCCUCACAAAGUGAAGCUUCACAUUUGCAGUUUCUAUACUGAAACACCAAUUCUUAUUAGUCCUAAAGAUACAAAACAAACUACUACAGCAGAAUGGUAGCCCUAACAAUCACACACAAAUUUCAAGUUCUACAUCCAUAACCAUUUCUGAAGCCUUUUCUUUAUGGGUUAGAUCCGGAGACAUGAUCCAAAUUUGUACUUGUGAAUCUCAAAUAUGUUCUUAUUUUUGAGGUUCAAAUUUGCUGAUCAUGUGAAGUUGAAUAAGAACAUAUUUGAGUUAUUUUUUUUUUUUUUUUUUUUUUUUUUNNNNNNNNNNNNNNNNNNNNAAAAGAAAGAAACAGAGGCGAUCAAAACUGGGAGCUAUAGUUAGAGAAACUCAAAAGCUAGUAGCUUCGAAAAUUUGUUAAAAGAAAGAAUGAAAAUGUACCCGGUGAUCUUUUUCCCAGGAAAAAAUAAGGCUCGGAAUCAGAGAGGCAGAGAGCUAGCUCAUCUUCUCUGGUUUGCUUUGAUUAUCUUGUUCUUCAUCUUUCUUCUUCUUGUUGUUGUGUGCUGCUUAUGAUUUUGACACUUAACGGGUCUGACGUGUACAUCUGUGAGCUCAACUUUCCAGCGUGGAUUUGAAUACGUGGCUCAUGAACCAUGCGAUCAUCAUCCACGUUAUCCCAAAUUCCAAUCUGAGUGAUGAAUGCAUGUGAAAUGUAUGACCCAGGUCAUCCACAUCCUAAAAGCCGAUCCAAAUCCAAGUUCACAUAGAUGGGAGUUUCACGUUUGUACCAUUCUGACAAUGAAAUCGGAAAACCCUACCUAAGAAUUUUUCCGAAUAAGUUCAAGUACCAUCGAUAACCAUCGACGUUAACCCGACUACAGUCGGAAAGAUAAAAGCUGGGCUUUACAGCACUUCUUGUUAUGGACCAGCGAUAGAAGUUAUAGGAGUAACAGACAGAGGUAAAAAUCAACUAUAGAACGACACAACUGACACAAGGAACAAGUCUGUAAUGUACAUCAGACAAAAUCAUGUACGGGUGUUUUUCGUUCCCUCCAGCAAGCUAUGUCUUUAUAGCUUGUAGUAGUUCCAGAAAAGAAUUCUGAAGAAGUUUUGGAAUGUGAACUACAACUAUACAAUUGGGGAGAAAGCACAAGAAUAGUUUUUACACUAAUACAUCAACCAUCAAAAAUUAGAUGGUUACACUAAUACAAUUGGGGAUAAAGUUAUUUCCGUUACCCCCCCCCCCCCCCCCCCCGGGAAACAGAGUCAUCGAGUUGCCUUGGUUGAAGAAACACCUGGAUUCAAAGAAGAAUGAAUAAGAAUUUGAAUGGACAUUGAGCACAUAACUUUGGAAUGAAAUCUGCAGCAGUAGUAACAAUUUGCACAGGAAAAUGAAGUGUAUAAAGUCGGAUACAAACCUAAACGAAAUAACCAAAAGGAUAUGGCUAAAAGUGUGAAUUCAAUAACGGGCGAAAAGUAUUAAAUUAAUUACCCAAGGAUCCUUCUCAUUUAUUACCUUUUUGGUUUGAAGUAUAAUGUACUUCAAUAAUAUCUUCGUCCUCCAUCCCAAGGGAUUGAGGUGUUGCAUCUGGAGCUAUUUUAUCUCCAUCAAACCUAAAAACUAAACUCUGAAUGUCAAGCUUAACUUUAUCUGCAUACAGUUUGAAUAUCCGAUCAAGCUUGUCAUCCUGUUAACAUAGAAGAAAUAUUAUAAGAUUUACAAAUUCCUAAACAUCCAGUAAGCCAUAUACAUGAAACUUCAAUACAGAGAACAUGGCACAAAGCAACAUAUAGAAAAGAAAAAGAGUUGAGGGUGGCUUUGGGGGAGAGAUGAGGAAGAAAAGAACUAGAAGGUUGUACAUUCAGGGUCAGAGGAGUUGGGUGAAUCUAGCACAAAAACCUAAUGCAAUAGAGCUCAGUGACAUGUAAAACAUACAUAAUCCCUAUCCUUUGUUGUACAGUCCUUUUUGUGCUUUAUCGUACAGUUGUACAAAUAUAUUGAAUUGGCAGAUAAAACACCUCCUAUAGACUCUAGAUGGAUACGACACUCCAUGCUCAGUUUAGCAGACACCAGCUUACUUAAGCAUUGCAUAUGGUACAUGAAACUGAAUGUUACUGAAACCUAAACGAUAUUUUUCGGUUCUCUCCAAUUAACAAGGACUACUAGUUUCUUUGCAAUAUCAAACGUAUAUCUCAGGUCAUCAAAUGCGUAUAAUGUUUCUGAACGACCGUCCGUUUCCUACUAAGUAGCCAUAGACUAAUCAAUUAUAAGAAUGCAAAUGGACUAAACAAAUACAUUAUACAUGUUCACCUGUUACAUCUCCAUAACAUAAACAUACCAUGAAUAUGCGGAACUGCUUGGAUUCAUCCUUGUCUUGAAUACAUAUAACUACUUUGUUUCUUUCAACUUGGGGCUUUGGAGGUGGAGCAGCCAUAGCAUCUGGUGAAGUCUGGACAGAACUAAGAAGUUCUUGUCUCACAGACUCCUCCACAGCUCGGACCACAUUUUCAGCCGACUCAGCAAAUGAUGCCAGCUCUUGCUUCUGUAACCUGCAUCAAUAGUUGGCAAUUUUCAUCAGCAAGAUAUUGCAGCAAGUCCCAGCAACUUACAACAUUGGCGGAUCAAACAACUCAAAACCUUUGCAUAACUAUAGUUACGAUAAUCAAAAGGCCUCAUUUACAUGCUAGAAUUGGCAUAACAAAGCUUUUCACUAAAAAAAAAAAAAAAAAUCAAAAAAAUCAAAAACUACUAGAACUAGAAACUACCUCAAUGCCUUUAAGAUCGAAUCUUCACCCAACGGCCUAGUAACUUUAGGCGCAGGAAUGAGCCAGUCCUCCUCGUCUUCCUCAAUAACAGUAACUUUCGCACUUUCAUCAACUUUUUCAACCUAAUCCCAAAUCAUCCAAAAAUAAUCAACAAACUAAAAAUUCAUAUGAGUAAAAACCGGAACCCGAAAAGUGGAAAACAGCUGCUUACAGCUGGAUUCAAAGCCGUCUUCGCCUUCUUGCUCGGAGGAGAAUCCGGCUCGUCGUCUAUCAAUACAAGAAUCGAAAGGUUUCAAUUCGUUAGAUUCAAGCUUGGAUUGAAUUCGGAGAGAUACAAUCGAGAAAGAGCUCACCGUCGUCGAGGACGGAGAUGACAUUAAGCGGCUGCACGCGGCUGUAAUCGAAAAGGGGCUCCAGCUCUUCCGUGAAAUCCGCCUGCAAAAUCGGAGGCCCGGAGUCAAAUACAGUUACGGGAAGAGAAACGAAACAAUGAGAGAAGAAGAAGAAGAAGAAGCUGACCAUGGUGAAGUGGCGCUCUGCGUCUUUUCAGUUCUAACCUUUUUGAAGCGUCCCGCCUGAGAUUGGAGACAGUCACCAGGCUUAUAAAGCAAAGCAAAUCCAAACCCGAUUUCUGUUUGAAUUAAAAUAAAAAUCAGAUAUUCGAGUUUGGGUUUGGUCCGGGUCAUUUAGUCUGACAUGGGCCUUGGAGGGUAUUAGCCCAUAUGUCAAGACCAAUUUGGGGCAACAAGCCCAACUGCACUCAUGGUCUCCUGCGUUAAAAGGGGACAAUCAGAACCUAGAAUCACUCAUGAAACAAAUAUUAAGGACACUUACGGUUACGGGUUACUAUAUUCUUCUUCUUUGUUACUUAAUAAAGGGAUCGUCUACGGUGCAUUAGUAUACAUAGACAGAUCUAGUAGACUAGCUCAAUACAAAAGUAAAACAGUUCAAGAUAAAGUCGAUUAAUUUGAGAUCAAGUCAAGUUAGUCGAUUUUUGGAUAGAGUCAAUAUACCUUUGUAUCAAGUCUAGUACUCGAUGUAUUGGUACAUUUACAUAAAUGUAUCGUAGUAUUUUCUAUUGUUUAAACUUUUUUCUUGUGUGAGCCAAAUUUAACAUUCUAAUUUUAAAGAAAAGACUUAUGUCGUAGACCAACUAGUCGCCAACUUUAAAGAUUGUCUUCAGAUUAUGUUUUGAGACAUGAACGUGGUUUAUGAUCCAAUCGUAACGUCAAAGCACGUUAAAUACGAAUGGAUGAACUUAACAUAUGUCCGGCAUGUGAGAUAUAUUCAAAGAACUUUCUAAUAAGGUGGUUUUGACUACUAUACUUCAAAUAAAAAAAGCCGCUUUCCUUAUUAUCGAUCGUGCGUUAAAACUAUUAAACAUUAUUAAGUUGCAAAUGACUCUCAAUGUAUAUCAAAAGUUUUGUCCGCAUGGAAAAUCUCUUCACAUGAUUUAUAAGAAUAAAUUUCGGCUUUGAUCUGAAAAACCGUACAAAUUUGUAUGUGAAAAAUCUAUUGUUUCAAAUCAUAUUAAUUAUUUUUUCAUUUUCAACUUUUUUUUAACUGCAAAUAACAAACUGUUUUUGACUCACUAUAUUUUUCUUUAAGAAUAAAUGUAUGCUAGAAUUGGUUAUUUAGGUGAAUCUUUGAAUCAUUUUUUCUUCCAAAACCACAUCUUAAUCUCCCACGUUUUUAUAUGUGAAUCCUUUAAUGUUACAUGCCAAUUUUAGCUCAUAAGUAAGAAAUUUCUCGUGAUAUUAUGAGGUCAGAAUAGAAAUUAUCCAUUGGACUCCCAAAAAUAAAUAUAUUUGUUAGGCUUGGAUAUUAUGAGUUGUCCUUUUAUGAAAUAAUUCUCUAAGUGGAAAUUAUACAAUGAUUUACUACAGGGCUGAACAUGAUUUUGACUAUCUGGACUGAGGUUGCUACUUUCCUUUUGGAUUGAACUGAGUCAGUUCAAAGAGUCUCUACUCUGACUCCCUUUUUAAGCAUAGAACUGGAUGACACCAUUCUUCUUCUCAGCUCAUAGUUUCUACAUUAUACAUAAUCUGUUUUCCGAAAGCAGCAAAACACCCUCUAAGUUUGAGCUGCUAGUGCUAACUGCUAAGUGCUUGUACUACAGCCCUGGUAAUUCCCAUCCUUCUUUUCUGCUAAAGCUUCUUGAUAUCAUUCUUAUCUUCUUCACAUUCUGCUCAAGCUUAUAAGCCUCCUAAUCUAAUUUCAGGCUCAAGCUUCUGGAUUUAUUGCACUCAUUCUUUGUGUAGUUUUGGAGAAAAUGGACAACAUGAGCUUUACGACUGACCUUGUUCCUGAAUUUGCGCACGGCCUCAAAAUCCUGCUGAUUGAUCAUGACACAUAUUCCCUCAAGUACACAGCAUCAGUGCUUGAACAGUACUCAUUCAAUGGUAAUUCAUAAAUAUAACGUAUGCAUAUUCGAUAGUUUCUAAGAUAACGCAUGUCUGCGCAUAAAUUUUUUAGACAAUGAUCGAACAUAUCUGUCUCGCGAGGAUGCCUGAGAUAUAAAUUUUAUUCUAUAUGCAUAUUUAUCUCAUGAAGUAUACGAAAUGUAACCGCUAUAUAUUUGUUAUGGCGCUGUGGAAGAAAUUUCUCGAAUAUAUUUUUCUGAUGUAAAGAAUUAUCGGAAAUUUUGUUAAUGGUUGUUAUUUGCAGCCUGGUUUACUGAAAACACCGAGUGAAAUCUAAUUAUAUCUUGCAUUUCAUUCCAGUUGCUGCGGUCCAGCAGGCAUCCGAAGCUUUGUCCUUGAUUAGUGAACAAAACCAUUGCUAUGAACUAGUAAUGGCUAACAUUAACAUGUCUGACAGCGACAGUGUUCCUUUUCUGCAUACACUGCUCGAGAAGGAUAUUCCUGUCAUAUGUAAGCUUCAAUUUUUUUGAAAGUUUCCACCUUGAUUGAUAAACAUAAAAAUUAUUUUCUCUUGCAUAGUGAUUGUUUGAUAUCUUAAUUUUUUUAUGCAGUGAUGUCCUCGGAAAUGAAUGAUGGCCUAAUGAGGAAAGUCCUAGACAAAGGAGCAAGCUUUUUCCUUCAGAAACCAAUUCCUUUGGAGGAUCUUAAAAAUGUGUGGCAACAUGUAUACUGGAAGACAAACCCAAUGAAGGACACUGGUAAGGAAAAUAGUGAAGAGUGGAUGGACUGGUUAGAUAAUGGCGUUGAGAUGAAUGAAGACUCUGAGGAGUUUGGACAUUCCUUUGGAGGAGGCUCCGACAAGCGUCAAAAGCCAUAUGAGACUGACCUAGAAGGUAAGUAUGAGCAAGUCGACACACUAAAUACUUGCACAUUGACAUGCAAUCCCAGUAAGACUGACUUAGCUGAUGAAAAUUAUGAUACAGAUUUGCAAAGCUAUAGCACAGAAGAUUUCUUCCCCACUGAGAGCGACGAACAAAAAGCAUCUGGGAAAAAACAUUCAGCUGAUAAUACUGUAGAACAAGGAAGAAUGAAGAGGUCGAAACCAACUGUACAGCAAACUGAUUCCAACAGCAUAGCCAGAUACCAGGAAGGGAUCGUCGAGAAACAUGGCAAUGACGAAACCAAGAAGAAACGUAUUGUUUGGACACCGGAUCUCCAUUACAAGUUUACAGCAGCAAUAAGUGCCCUGGGAGAUGAAAGUAAUUUUUCUUCUAAUAUUUAUAUGCAAUUUCCCUUCUAUCUAUUGAGCUAUGUAGUUAGUUCAGCAGUAUGCAGUUCACCUGUAUAAAUUACUAAAUUAUCUUAAUCUUCUUGUUGGCUUGUUGAAAACAGAAGCUCGUCCUAAAGCAAUUUUGAAUAUGAUGGGUGUGAAGGGAGUAACAAUGCGCCAGGUUGCAAGCCAUCUGCAGGUUCUCUUCUGUUCAUAUCUCAACAAUUAAAGGCCAAUUCUUUCGAUCAAUCAACUCUUGAUUGAUUCUCUAGAAAUGGAUUAUUGUUUUAUCUUCUUGUUUGCUAUAUUUCUGUUUUCCAGUUUGACAACUUCUAUGUACUUUUACCAGUAUUUUUAUCUAUCUCAGUUUGAAGGAUUUAUGUUUUAUUCUUUACUUUUAGAAAUACAAAAAUCAAGUGAGGCGAAUAUACCAGACUGGCAUAUUUACUGGAAGAACUAGCUUAAGCAAUUCUUCUAGUUGGAAUCAAGGGACUUCAAGGUUUGGAGGAGGAGGUAAAAAACCAAUAGAAUCAGCUACUCCAAGUUCUUCGACCAGAUCAUCUAUCUCCGCAGCUAGUUUCAACAAUCAUGACUACAGAAUGCAGAAUCGAAAUUCAAGCCAUGAAGGAUUGUCUCGCUACGGAAAUCAUGAUACCAAUUGUCCCAAUGACUCUUUAAGAACUGAUGGAUGGUUUCAACAUAUGAACCAGAUACCAGAAACAAGCACUUUAGCAUACAGAAAUGAACUGAUCGAAUAUCUGAAGAGAAGACAGCGUCUUGGAUUAGAAGAGAGCAAUGGCAAAGUAACUGAAAACUUACCGAGCAUGACGUACAUGACUUCAGAGGUUGAUUCUCCCAACAUGUCAACCAAUACAUUCCAGCUCCCCAAUCAGCCUCCUGUUGUGCAUCAGGAGCAAUAUUGUUCUCCUGCUUUGAUUGAGCCCUUCAAUUCCAGAAAGCAGAAACAGGUUUCAACAGAAGUGCUUGAGCAACAAAAGAUGAACCUACCAAGUACGAACGACUUGACUCCAGAGGCACAUUCUCCCUACAUAUUGGCAAAUGCAUAUCAGUUCUCAAAUGAGAUUUCAGCUGUGACUCAACAGAAAAAGUGUACUCCAGUUGUAAGCGGUCCCAUAUAUUUUGAAAUUGAGGACAAGUUUUCAAUAGAAGAUGAACGAACUGAAUUAGUUGAGCUCAUGCCAAUGAAUUUACCAAGCAUGAACUACAUGACACCAGAAGAUACUUCAGUGAACCAAGAGAAAUAUCAUGCUUCAGCAAAUUCCACCAGUUCCGGAACUUGCAACAGUUUUUCAACAGAAGUUGCAGGAACAAACGAACUACUUAACUUUCUCCUGGAUUCACCUGGUAAGGAGAACAUUACUGAUGGGGAUGCUUCUACCCAAAAAUCAGAAAAUGCAGUUCAGCUCCCGAAGGAGCCUCUUCUGAGAGAACAAUUCUGUACUCCUGGGUUGAAUGGUCACUUUGGUACUCAAUAUGAGAACAAGUUUUCUGAGAGAACAACUGAACUUGGGUUUCUGGAAAAAGAAACACCCUCAUUUGCUGCAAACAAUCUAGGGAACCUUCCAGGAGACUUCAACGAUGGAAGCCAGAAGCUGGAUUCUCUGGCAGGAGAGGCACCUCCUGCCAUUUCAUCAAAUGAGCACCAGCCCCUGUCUGAAUAUGCAGAUCUGUUGAACAUGCUUGAAGAUGAACCGGAGGAGUACAAUUCUUUUGGCAAUGCACCAUAUGCAGGCAACGUUGAUGAUUAUUUUCAAUGGCUAGAGGAAACUUUAUUUGCGGAUAGCACAGAAGAACAGCAGUUCAAAGUUCCAGAUGCAGAUGUGGAACCUCCAGUUGAAGAUUCAUGAAUUCUCUUCCCGUAAAUAAAAUUUGCAGUAACAAUACUGCUGAAUGUAUUACAUUCAACCUGAUUCAGACUCUUUUCCUAGAAGUUGGUAGUUCACAGAUACUGUUGGUUAAAGUUGUAAAGCUUUGGCAACAAUAUAUUAAAAAAAAGUUUUUUUUCCUUGAAACAUAAACAUAUAAUUGCUUAUCACAAAUCUGGUUUUAUGCAAAAGGACAGGAUGCUGCAUCAAGAUCAAUUACAGAUAACUGCAAUCUAUGAUAUAUACAAGGAAAUUGCUGAUUUUAAAUAACAUAUGUGAGUUUAUAAUACAUAUAAUCCCAUGUGGUUAAGAAUCUGUAAAUAAAAUUUGAUGAUAAAAAUCUACAAUAUAUCUUGACAGAACUCAAAUCAAACUCAUAUCUCCACUAUGACUUGGGCGACUGCACUGCUCUGAUCUGGAUGUUACCAUUGAUUGGGUAGUUUAUAAAAAUUAAUUCAUUUUCUUUUAGAAAAAAGAAAAAAAGAAAAAAAGUGAUUUCCAGGACAUGCUUUCCUUUCAACAUUCUAUUCUAUAAAAGUUUCCAACAAAUAAACAUCACUGAAUAUACACAUGUUCAUGCAUCUAUAUUGGUUAUAGGACCUUUAAACCAGUGGCGAGCACUGAAUACCCAUGCAAAAACUGUGAUAAUUAACAAACCCCCAACUGCAACAGGAGUAUAGUUGAGUGUCUCAUUGCUAAUUGGAUAGGCCACAGGCAAUGAGAAGAGUACCGAGAUUAUUGCCACCCAAAGAACUGCAAUCCAGCCAACAAGGAUCCCAUAGCGACCCAAGUUGAAAGGUCCGGGAACGAAGGACUUGCGUGCCAAGGUCACCCUGAAGAAAAUGGGCAGGGCAUAAGCAAUGUACAGUCCAAUGGUUGCAAUAGACACCAUGGCAUUGAACGCUACAAGGCUUCCAAGAGACUGCAAAGAUUGAAGAAAGCAAGUAAUGGAUUAGCACUUGCAGAUAGGAUGGUGAUAAUAUUUAUCCUAAGUUAUAUACUUACUGUCAGUGCCAUACAAAACGAUAUAAGAGCAGAAAGCCAAACUGCAUUUAAUGGGACUUCAUGCUUGUUCACUUUAUGCCAAAAUGGGGAAAAUGGCAUGGCUCCAUCUCUGGAGAAUGCAUAAGCCAUCCUGAGAGGACAAUUAAGCACCAUAAGCAGCUAAAACAUUUCAUUGUACCCUCUUGCUUCUUGCUGUAUAUCAGUAUAUGUAUGAAACAGAUAAAUUAAAUAAAAAAUAUAAAAAAAGAUUUGAUACCUGGAGUUGCUAGUAACUGAACUCAUUCCACAGAAAAAUAUGGCAACAGCAACCACUCCCAAGCAUAUAAUUCCUCCAACUCCAGUCCCAUACCUACUCUUGAAGGCUAGAUAGAAUACUUCAGCAAUGGCAUAACCACCGGCAUCAUUGUUCUCAUCUAAAAGGUGUGGGAUGUUGGUAACAGCAAAGGUGAUUCCAAGGAUAUAACCCCAUCCAACAAUAAUAGAUAUUCCGAUGGAACUGAUUAUUCCUUUUGGUCCAUUAAUAUCAGCACUCUUGGUUUCCUCUGUCUGGAAACAAAAGUUAAAACGAAUGUACACAUUUAGCACCAAUUAUAUGGCCAAGCAUUGAGCUAAUAUCAGACACAGUGAAGAUUGCUAUAUUCUUUUGUCUUUGAUUUGCAUAUCAUAGAAUUACAAUGUUAGCUGUUUCAGUGAAACGGAAUAUAUAUCAAGUUUGUAUAUGACAAAUAGCUUCAUAUGCAGAAUGAUAAUAUAUCUAUGUAGAUUCCCCUAACUUUGUACUUCUGCAAAUGGGAUGUUAAGCUCAGAGAAUUCAACCUUACAGAUAUUUCCAUGUUCAACAGACAAGUUAACGAUAGCUACUAAAGGAAGAGAAAAGUCUGGAAGCAAUGAAAAAUAUCAGCUUACCAUAUGAGCAGAUGCAUCAUAGCCAGUUAAUGUAUAUUGACUCAUUAACAGUCCCAGAACAAAUAUGUAUAAUUUGUUGUUAACUCCGUCGCCAUUAUCAGUGUUGAAGUGAGUGAAUACAAACUUAGGGCUAGCCCUUUCCGUUGCAACAAGGGGAAUGAGGAUCAUGAGGACAAAGACACCUAAACAUUCUUAUGUCAAUAUGCAAUCCAAUAUAUAGACUCAAACGGUAAAUAUAGUGAAAGGGCUCAAAAUAUUCCUACCUACAAAAUUCCAUGCAGCAGCCAGCUGUCCAAAGAAGGAUAAAUAUGAGAUGGGAAGACUGUUUAUGAUGGCAUGUAGAAACAAAAUUCCUCCAUGGAAACAAAUGACUACAUAUUUAGAAGCCUCAUAGCCAUCAUUGUUCUUUCCACCUGUGCUAAGGAGAAUGAUCACUUGAAUCAGCGUUGCAAGUGAAAAAUCCACACUCGUUGUGACUGCCCACUGCAAUUAGAAACACAGCAAUGCAGUUAGAGCUAAUGAUGAAUCAUACCACAUCCAUGACAAGUUUGAGCUCACAAUGGAUAUUGAAGGUAUAUGAACUCCAGAACAUACGAGUUCUUAAAAGUACCUGACCAACUAUGUUGAACCUGCAAAAAGAAAAACCAUAUAUCAUCAUCAGAGAAUACUAUGCCAGGCAGUCCAACAUAGAAGCGUCUUAAGAUUAGUCGCAGGCAAUAUACAUUUCACUCGUACAUCAUCAUAGCAAAGAAUGAAAGAAACAAUAGCACCACUCUAGAACAGUGAACAAGAAACUAGCAUCUUGAACAAAAAUGGCGAGUACCAUAUCUACCUAAUCCAAACAACUACACAUUGUCCAAAAAUCAAAUCAAAAGAGUGGAACUACACAUCAUUCAAACUCUAGACCAAGUUUCCUUAACAGAAACUUAACUCAUGCACAAGACCUGUGAAUCUCAGUAAGUCAACUACUGCAGAUCCCUAAAGUGAAAGACUUCAGAUUACUAAGAGAUGAUUCAGCAAAGAUAAAAAUUACCAGCCAGUGAGCCAAGAAGCAAAGGGUGCCCAUUUGGGGCCAGCAAGCAUGGCACUCCAAUAAUACAAACCCCCAGAAGUUGGGUAAGAAGAACAAAUCUCAGCCAUGGACAAACCAACAAUCAUGGUGAAACAACCAGCUAUAAACCACCCAUACACAAUAGAAACUGGGCCCCCAAAUUUCAGCCCAGUGCUGUACAGCGUCGUUAUACCAGUGAGAACUGAUAUGAUGGCAAAUGAGAAAGCAAAAUUGGACACCACCCUGCAAUUCCAAACCAAAACAGACACAAAACACAAACUUUCAAACCUUUUUUUAAAAGAUUCUCUCUUUAAAAACCAAACCAAGAACAAGUUGGGAAAGAUUACGAGAGGUCACGCUUGAGCUCUUGUUUGUAGCCGAGCUGAUGGAGACGAGCGUGGCCGGAAUCCUUGGAAACGCCGCCGUUGGCUGCCAUUGUGCCGCCGCCAGACACCAAAGUUGUUAAAGCUCAAAGACAGAGGAAGAACAGAGAACCCAGAACCAAAAUGACAAGUGUUUCCUUGUUCCUCAGAUGUUGGGAAGUUUAAAAGGUUGUGAUGAAAUGUCAAAAGGAACAGAAGAAGUACAGCUAAGUCAGCUUGAGGCGCGGAGAAGAAGAUGGCGUAGCUUUGGACUAAAAGAGAGUUUUGGACUUUCCCCCCCAUAUACAACUAGUGUUUUUUUUUGGCGAAAAUAUAAGCACUAGAUUGAUGAUUCAGUUAUUGGCUUUCAUGGUUGGUCUUCUCUCUCCUUUCUUUCUAUACAAAAUGAUUUUGCCAUUUUCAAUGGAUGAGAGAUGCGUAUAGCUAGCCUGUCAUUUCUACCCGUUCAGAUUCCAGAGUCCAAUAUAAUACUCUUCUUCCUUUUUGUUUCAUUGGUCAAAUUGGAGACUUUGCUUCGUAAUUCGUACACGUAACUAUAGUUUGUUAUGAGAUUACGAUUCCAACUCGAAGGUCAGAGAUUCUGAGAUUGAUUCUUAGAAUCUUUUUUAUUGAAUUUGAUGUAUAAACUAUAAAGUAAAUAUUAAAUUAAGAAGAAAAAAAUUAAGCUAAAUCAUAUCAAUUGGUCGAUGUGUACUUAAAAGAAAGUUGAAUAAUCAGUAUCUGUAACUAUACAGACUUUGAACAUGUGAGAUUGUGAGAUUGUGAGAUUGUGAGUUGCUCUCGGCAACGCUCUUCUCGAAUAAUUUUGUAAUCCGAAUACAUGUGCUUUUUUAGAUCACAAUUUAUUUAUGAAGAAAAUACAUACGUCUUUUUUUACUAAUUUUUUUUAACCUAACUUGUCAAACCACGCAUGAUGUACCUUCUUUAACCUAACUUGUCAAACCACACACAAUAUGCCUACUAUGUAUCUCUUAAACAAAAAAAACAUAACAAGAAAAAAGGGCACACGAAAAGACCACCUCAAUUUUAAACUUUAGAUGGCUUGGCAACAAGAAGGCAUUUGAUAAAUUAUGGGUAACAAGGUUUUGUCAUGUCACACAUGUGCAUUGUAUUGCUAUAAGCAUAAACAGCCUCUACACGACAAGUCAUUGGUAACAUGUUAUCUACUUGAUAUGCGGUCAUGAAAUAUGGAUAUGUCAUUAUUGGUUUUGGAGUUUGGACCAACCCUCAAUGUCUCAAUAUAUACAUGGUAUCACAAAUUGUUAAGACCCAUGUAAAUGUUUUUUUUUUUUUUUGGUAUACAAGACCCAUGUAAAUGUUGAGGCACCCCCUUAGAUCUCAUUUGGUUCGUGAAAACUGAAAAGUAAGCAUCAAAACAAUAACUUUUCUUUUCGCGCACCAAGCAAUGUCUUCGAGUCAUAGUCCACAUUGAUGCUUAGCACGUUGGAUCUCAUUAACUUAUGGACUGGCUGGCUGGCCCAGAUAAGUGUCAAAGCCAAGCCUAGCAUAGUACCCAUCCAGCUAAAGCUUCGUAGUACAUUUUUUGCUCAAUUCGGGAUUGGAUUAAUGGAUUAUAAACUAUCCUAAAAUUUCAAUGUUGGUGCUAAGCCCAAAUCUGAUCUAAUCAACAUUAUCAAAAUGAACCUAAACGGAAACAAUCUAAGCAAGUAACCAUCACAGUGAGCCUCCCAGCCUAACAGUAAGCUUAUUUUUAAACCGAAAGUGAGCGACUUGAUUAGACUAAGUAUGGACAACUAAUGAAUUCUAUUUUUGGGGCCGCGUCAUUGAAUCAUGAAGCCCAAUGACCUUCAAAACAAAAAACCGUUUUAAGGAUUUGGUCUUGGGCCUUAUGGGUGAGGUUAUUGAGAAAUCAACAAAAUGCUAUCCUUGACUGCUGUGUUGAACACAAAAUGUCACCGUGGCAUGUCUUCAACAACAUAAGCUAAAAUGAAUGAAAAAAAAUAUCAAAUCAGAAAAUAAAAAAGCUUACCAGCCAGUGAGCCAAGAAGCCAAAGGUCCCCAACGAUUGCCACAAAGUUUGGCGCUCCAGAAGUAUAGUCCACCGGAAGUCGGGUACGCCGAGCAAAUCUCCGCCAUCGAUAGUCCCACCACCAGCGUCAACAUCCCCACCACCGGCCACCCGUACACCAUCGUAAUCGUCCCACCAUAUGUCAGGCCAAUACCAAACGUCGUGCUUAGACCAGUGAGGACUGAGACGAUGGAGAAAGUCACUGAGAAAUUUGCUAUUGCCCUAACACAUCACAAUGCACACCAUACAACACAGGAUCAGAACCCUAAUUGAGACCAAAUUAUUAUCCUUCUAGAAUUUAGACCCAUCAAAAAGUCGUCCUGAAAAACUGUUAUUCAAUAACAACGGCCAUAGAAAUAUGUCUCCAAAUAUAAGAAAUAUAUGCAAGACGAAAUCUUAAGCAAUGUUUUAAGAAUUUAAAAUUGAGCAUAGAUUAUGAUUUUGGUAUAUAUGGAACUUUGCGUGCCAUGCUGAGGUGAUGAGUGACACCACAAGAUUAAUCUAUAUCUGCAAAUUCUUAGCAAGAAUAUGUUGCGUAUAUAUCAAAUCAAUGUGCCCAUCAAAAGUAUAUGAAUGAAUUCGAAAAUGAAAUGCAACCAACAAAGUUUUAUCUAUGGCCCUCUGACAUCGACAACCCAGAUAUUAUGAGAUUUCCCGGAUAUUUCUGAUACACUUUUGUACAUUUUCCUUGCAGCCAUCAGUGUUGUGUUCAAGUUCUCUUCCCAAAGUCAGAAACAAAACAAACAAGGAAGCGAUAUUUUUGCUUAAAGUCUAAAUUAGCUGUGAGAGUGAUGCUCAUCUAGAAACUGAACUUGAAGAAACAAGUAAAAGUGCAGGAAAAAAUACAGCAAAGAAAAAAGAACAGUGAACUCAAACGAAAAGAGAUCGAAGAAGAUAGAUUCGGGUUUCAUACGAGAGAUUGCGGCUGAGUUCUUGCUUGUAACCGAGCUGUUUCAAGCGCGAAUCAUCGGAAGAAAUGGCGUCUCUGUCUUGAAGAAGAGGGUGAUGAUAAGAAGGGCCUUCUUCCUCUUCCAUGAUAUCCUUCGUUUGAGUUAAGAAUUUACCUCAAACUCAAAGUACUAUGUAUGCUUAGCAAGAACACUUCAAUUUUCUGGAUGAAUCUCUUACUGUUUGUUCACCUCUGAAUCAGUGACGAAGAUCUUUUAAGAGAUUUUGUAGCUAACAGUCAAUGCAAACACGUGGUGAACCAAAUCCUCAGUUGAAAAGGCACUUCAAAAUGACAGUACUAAUUUAGUGUUGUUCUUCGAAUUCGAUGUCUAUAAUUAAUUUGUUAGUUGGAGUUGCGAAAUAUGCCUAGCUUUUUCAUAUUCCCUUCACAAAGUACCAUUAUUGUCUACUUUUCUAUAUAAUUCUUCACAAUCUAAUUAAGGCAUAAGAUACAUAUUGGGCAGAUUCCUUCACUUUCCAUGAGCACAAAAUUUUUACAUUUCAAAACUUCUUAAGUUUUUGUUACAAUUAACAUGCAUGCAUGUAAAAGCUACUACUUCACCAUGCAAGCAGCCCACUUCUCGUAGAAAUGAACUAACUCUAUAACAACUUCAGAAAUCAAGCUACACAUAUCACACAAUUUCAAAUUGGAAAUUUGAAGUUUUUGCUUUGCUUCAAAUCUCAGCACGCAGAUAAUUGGCGAGAAGCAGCCAAUCUCUUGUAAAUCUCCAAAACCAGUCUAGUGUCCACGGCUUGCUCACCGCAAGUAUCCGCCACAGCAAUCUGAUCCUGCGAUUUAGCCACCUUCUUUGACCCUCCUGCUAUCCUUCUAGCGCCGCCGACGUUUCCGGCCAUCUUUACCAUCAUGUCAACAUAAGCACCAUGGAUCUUAGCCAAGAGGUUUA